AAACCCCCUCUUGUUCGUUUCCAGGGACUUCACCUUGAUGGCCGAAAAGCAACUGGAAAUCCUCCGCGGGUACGAGCUGCGGCUCUUGCGCUGCACCCUCGCUCCCCCACCGUCCGAUCUUCGCAUUCAAUCGCAACCGUUGAACGAAGAAAGCCAAUGCUCUCUCCUUCCACUCCACGAGCACAUCAACAGCCUCAUCGACUCCAUCGAGUCCGGCCACUAUCUCCAGGCUCUGUCCUCCGACGCGGCUAAACUCGUCCUGGACACGCUCGACUUCGUCGACCUCAACGACUCAGCCGAGUGUGCCGACCGCGUCUACUCCGCACUUCUCCAGCGUGUCGAAACGUUUAUUGUGAACGAUUCCGAAAAUGACGUGGAUAAGGCUUGUCGAGUUAUUCUGCUCAUGUGUCUUUCAAUUGCUGCUCUUUUUUGGUUCACUCAGUGUAACGUGACUGGGUGAGUUGCUUAUUUAUAAAUUUUUAAAUAAUUGCAAUUAAUAUAAUAAAUAUUAAUAAAAAAAAAAAGGUUUAGUGAUGAACUUUUGAACAUGAAUUAGUAGGCCUUCAGUUCUUAAUUUGCCAAAGUGUCGGUUUCCACUAGAAGUUUCAACUUUAGAAGGCAACGAAUUGAUAGAGUGGGAGAAUUGGGCGCGUUAUCAGCUCAUGUCUGUUGGCUCUGACUUGCUGGGAAAGUUCUCCUAUCUUCAGGUACUCAGUCUAUCCAAAAAUGAAUAGAUUCUAUUGCUUAGACAGUGUUAAUAUUAAUAUUAGCUUUUUUAACUUAUUUUACAUUUUGUGAUCUUUUUGUAGUAUAUAGUUUUUGCCAAAAUGUUGCUCAUCAAGACAAAAGAUUUGCUGUUUGAUGCAACUGUGUUGCCUGUGAAUGGGAUUAGAACCAUUUCAUGGUGGCUCACAAGACUCCUACUUAUGCAUCAAAGGAUUUUAGAUGAGCGGUCGUCUUCUUUGUAUGAUCUAUUGAAAGUUUUUAUGGCUGAGACUUUACAACAUUUUGGCACUUUGGAAAACGUAACUACUUAUUGGGGCAACCAGUUGCAUGAUAUCGAUCCUUCAGAGAUUGUUUCAACAGUUCAUUUGGAAGCAGGACUGUUAGAACACAUUUACAGGAGAGUUGAUUCUUGCAGGUGAGUUAUCCUGGGAAAGUUUUAUAUUCGGUGGUCUUAUUUCUGGCUACAUUAGAAAAGUUUUCUCUUGGAAACAUGUUAUUUCCAACAUGGAACUUGCCUGUAGAACUCUCUCAGUCAUUGCAGAUGAUUUUGUGCAUUGUGUGUGAGGGAGGUGCAAGAAUGAAGUUUUAUGUUUGGACUUCAUCAAAAUCUCCCAUUUUUUAAUGUAUAUUGUUUCAAUCAUCGAACAUUAGUUUGAGUUGUUAGCACUGGAAUUUGCAUUAACUGAUUACUAACUUCCAUCAUUACCAUUACUAUAGGACUUCUUCUAUAGUUUCUGCUGAUUUCUAAAAUGCUUUACGGUAUCAGGAAACGUUUUGAAUCAGCUGAAGUGGCAGCUGGUCUCCAGCUUUCGGUUACUGCGGUUCUUGGUUUCCGUACCAUCCACCAGGUAAAGAUCGAAUGUGCAUCAUUUAUAAAGUUGUCGGGAUCUACCUUCUUAGCUUUGAGAUUGCUCCUGCAUAUAGGUAGAGCCAAAGGCACAAAUGGUACUUGUUGCAAACACAAGCUCAUCCAACACUUCUGAUGCCUGCCCUUCAAUAAGCCAAGUCAUUCAUACACAUGAUUCUACUAUUGGUGAUGCCACUGAUGUUUUUGUGACCCCAAAAUUAUUGGGGAAUAGUCAUGAAUCUGAAACUGGAGUCCAAUGCGUUCAUGCUGGUGGCUCAGCAGCCCAUUUAAAGGCAAUCCAACAGGCAGUGAUCUUGUCGAAGUGCCUUCUAAUAGAAAAGAGCUCACGGCAAGAUGAAAUGCAAAGUAAGUUGUUUUAUGGUUGGGCAGUGCGUAGUCGUCUUGUUAAAUGCCAUAAGACGUUAAGCAUAUUGCUAUUUAAUUUUUAAAUCAUUCUCAGUAAUAAUUCCUUUAGUAGAUUGAUGAUAAGAGAUUGCAUUACAGAUGAUAACUGAGCACAAUUUUUGUAGUUGUAUCCCUGUACAUCCAUCUUAAUAUCCUCAUUAUAUUCACAUGCCUUUUACGGGUGUUAUUUCUGGAUGCUGAAUGCUUUGUUCCACUUCUGGAUACCAAAUGCUUUGUUCCACAAAGCUGAGCUGGUUGCAAAGCUAGCUGAUGAGGUCAACAUGUCCCUUAACUAAUUUGAGGAUGAACACUGUGUUCCUGAAAGUCUUACUCUAAUGAUACUUAAAGAAGCAAUGAGAAUGGAUGUUGCAGCAGCUUUGCCUGAACUCAACCCCAGUUCCAAACAUGGAACAUGUGAAAACCAAAAAUGCUUUGUUUUUUUCUCUUUAUGACUUCUCUAGUUGGGGAAUGUAUUAGAUAUUCACCUAAUCAGUAGGCCUUGAAGGGAUCCCAUGUUAGCCCCUUGAUGUUGGUCUGUAACUAAGUAAAUACUUGACCUUGAAAAAGCUUUUGGAUCUGUUGAUUUGGUCAUUUGCUGAUUUAUAGCUUGUUUUCUGAUUCAGGAUGGGAUAUGGCUCCAUACAUAGAGGCAAUUGAUUCACAGCAGUCGUCAUGCUUCAUUGUAAGUAUAUAUACAAUACAGUGUCAGUUUUUCUUGAUGUUAAAUUUCAUAUCUUGAAGUGGUACUUCUGAUUCUCACAUGAUUUUUCCAUCUUUCAGCUAAAGGUUUUCUGUGAUCUCUUACGUGUUAGAUGGGAGUCCACCCGUAGUCGCACAAAAGGGCGUGCUUUAGAGAUGUUGGACAAACUGGUAUGAUCUGUGAGCCUUUUCUUCUUAAAUAUUUUGUUGCCUAAACAUUUACAUUCAAAUCGACAAGAGUUGCUUAUCCAUCUAUAGAAGAUUCCAAACUUUCUGCAGCUAGUACUUUAUUGGACCCAAAAGCUUUUUUGCUUUUUCUAAGCUGCUAAUCAAGACUAGAUUUCUCUCCCUUAUAUCGCUAGAUAUCCCAUUAAUUGUUAGAUUUAAUUGUCUAGAGACAUUAUGUACUGUGAAAAUUCAGAUUUCCUCUGUUUUAAUCUCUAUUUUCUCUUAUUAUACAAUAGAGAAGAAUACCUAUUUAUAUACAUUACACCCUAAGAACAAAAUGGUAAAAACAGUUAGGAUAUUGCAAAUCAGUAUCCCUGAAAAUUAGGGAUUGUAUCUCCUAAAAUCUAGUAUUUAAGUCAACACAUAACUGUAAAAUACAGCUGACAUCUACAACAAUAGUCAACACACAGUUGUAAAAUACAACUGACAUCUGCAACACUCCCCCUCAAGCUGGAGCAUAGAUGUUCUUCAUGCCGAGCUUGCAUACAAACUCUUCAAACUUGUGUCCAAGUAUUCCUUUUGUCAACAUAUCUGCAGUUUGUUGUCUUGUUGGAAUAUACACCAAACAGAUAACUCUAGUUUCCAAUUUCUCUUUAAUAAAAUGUCGGUCUACCUCCACAUGUUUUGUCCUGUCAUGAUGGACAAGAUUAUGAGCAAUAUUAAUUGCUACCUUAUUGUCACAGUAAAGUUGCAUAGGACUGUUUUUGAUUAACUGCAGUUCUUUGAGAACACGUUCUAUCCACAUAAGCUCACAUACCGCAUGUGCUAGUACUCGAAACUCUGCUUCUGUACUGCUUCGUGCCACUACAGUUUGCUUCUCCACGUUACAAGGUUUCCCCACACCUUAGUACAAUAACUUGUUGUAGACUUCCUAUCCAUGACGUUUCCAGCCCAAUCCGCAUCAACAAAAGCUUCUACAUUCUUUUUUUCUCCCUUUUCAAAAUAAAGUCCCUUUCUCGGUGUUGACUUUAGGUAUUGAGCUUUUCUUGGAGAGUGCAUAAAUUGGCUCACUAAGCUAACAACAAAAGUAAUAUUAGGUCUAGUAUGGGAAAGAUAAAUUAAUCUCCUUAUUAGUCUUUGAUAUCUCCCCCUCUCCACGGGUGCACUAUUUUCUUCAAGACCCAACUUGCUAUUUGGUUCAGUUGGUGUGGCAGCAGGUUUACAGUCAAUCAUACCAGUGUCCUUUAGCAAAUCUAGGGUGUAUUUCCGCUGUGUAACUAGAAUACCUUUAGCUGUUCUAGCUACCUCCAUUCCUAAAAAAUAACGUAAUGGUCCAAGAUCCUUGAUUUCAAACUCACAAGCUAAUUUUGCCUUUAAUCCUUCCAGCUCUUCUUUGUCAUCUCUUGUUAGUAUAAUGUCGUCAACAUAUACACGAUCAAAAUAGCUAACUUCCCUUCUUUAGAGCGUUUGUAGAACAUAGUGUGAUCAACUUGCCCUUGAGAAUAACCAUAGUUCUUCAAGACUUUUCCAAAUCGGUCGAACCAGGCCCUAGGGGACUGUUUAAGGCCAUAUAGAGACAUUUUUAACCGACAAACUCUUCUAGCAGGUCCUUUUUCUUCAAAACCAGGCGGCAUAUCCAUGUAAACUUCCUCUUCCAAUUCUCCAUUCAAGAAGGCACUCUUGAUAUCGAGCUGGUUGAGAGGCCAAUCUAAAUUUGCAGCAAGAGAGAGAAAGAUCCUUACAGUAUUAAGUUUUGCCACUGGGGCAAAAGUCUCUAGGUAGUCCACCCCAUAGGUUUGUGUGAAACCCUUCGCCACGAGUCUUGCUUUGUACCGGUCUACACUUCCAUCAGCCUUAUAUUUGACUGUAAAUACCCACUUGCACCCCACAGUCCUCUUGUCUUUACGUCUUGGUACAAGCUUCCAUGUGUUAUUCUUUAUUAAGGCUGCCAUUUCUUCUUGAACAGCUUUCUUCCACUCAUUUGACUCUAAGGCUUUAUGGAUGUUUCUUGGAAUAGUGCUAUGAGAUAGAUUAGCCACAAAAUUUCUAUACUCUUUAGAUAGAUUUGCAUAUGACAAGAACUUGUAGAUAGAAUGUUUGGUGCAAUUUCUUACCCCUUUCCUUAUCGCAAUAGGCAAAUUUGUGGACUUCUGAGCUUCGUUCUCAGCAUAUUCAGUAGGUGGGUUUUGAUCCUCCCUGAGUUCAGAUCUUGGUUCUGCUUGGUCUAUAAGUGGCUGUACCUCUUGAGUUUUAUUCUUCCUUCGUGAAUAAACAUGAAACUCGCCUAUAGGUUCCUCCAAAUGUGAAUUGGCUUUUAUCCCUUCAUUCCUUGGUGACACUAUUGGUUGAUUAAGUUCUAUGGUGUUAGGUAGGUUAGGAUGAAUGUCUGGACUGAGGGAGGAGGUAUUUGGUAGAUUGAGUUGUAGGCUGGAACUGCUGGACAUAUUGGGUUCUAGGCUGGAAUUACUAGGCAUCUUAGGUUCUAAAAUGUCAAGAAGAUCCCAAGAAUUAUCUUCUCUCAAAUUCUGCCCCUGAAGAGAAUUACUCGGGUAAAAAGGCCGAUUUUCAAAGAACUUAACAUCCAUGCUGACAAAUAAUUUUUUUGUAAGAGGAUAAUAGCACUUGUACCCUUUCUUGGUAGGAGAAUAUCCUAGAAAUAGGCACUUGAUGGCUCUAGGAGACAGCUUUGUUCUUUGAAGACUUGGAAGAUAGACAAAGGCUGUACAACCAAAAGUUUUGAGUGCAAGAUUAGAGGUAACAAGGUGAUUUUGUGGGUAGCUGUCAAGAAAAACAUAAAUAGGUGUCUUGAAUUUAAGAACUUGAGAGGGCAUACGAUUUAUGAGAUAAGAUGCUGUAAGAAUGGCCUCUCCCCAAUAUAUUUUUGGUACAUUAGUUGUGAACAUAAUGGCCCUAGCAACCUCUGAAAGGUGUAUGUUUUUACGUUCCGCAACCCCAUUUUGUUGUGGUGUUCCGGAACAAGAACUUUGGUGGACAAUUCCUUGUUGUGAUAGGUAAUUCCCUAAAAUAGAAUUGAAAUACUCAGUUCCAUUAUCUGUACAGAAUACACGAAUGUCAGUUUAAAACUGAUUUUUUACCAUGGCAUGGAACUGUUUAAAAGUUUGUCCAGCUUCAGAUUUUUCCUUCAAAAGGUACACCCAAGUGGUCCUAGAGAGGUCAUCUAUGAAUGUAAUGAACCAUUUUGCUUUUGACAGGUUGUGAACCCUUGAGGGGCCCCAAAUAUCACUAUGAAUCAAAGAGAAAGGUUGGGAUGGUUUAUAAGUACGGGCAGGAAAUGGAACACGUGUUUGUUUACCCAUUUGACAAAAAUCACAAUAUAAUAAACUCAAAUCUUUAUUUUUAAAUAAGGAAGGAAACAAGGUUUUUAGAUAUGGAAAGCUAGGGUGGCCUAACCUAUAGUGCCACAACAUUAUUUCAGAAGAAACAAAUUCACAUUGAGAAACCUAAGCAUGUCCUUUCACGGGUCCUUUAUUCUCGAGAUAAUACAGCCCCUCAUAUUCCUUCGCAUUCCCAAUCAUCCUCCCCAAGAUUGGAUCUUGAAAUAGACAUUUAGAACCACAGAAUUUUGCUACACAGCUUGUGUCCUUGGUAAGUUUAUUAAUUGAAAGAAGAUUACAUUUAAGAUUUGGGACAUAUAAAACUGAAAAAAGAGUCAAACAAUCUGAUAGUUUUAUUGUUCCUUUUCUAGCAAUAGUGGAUAAUGAUCCAUCAGCAAUCCUCACUUUAUAAUUACCUGGACAUGGAGUGUAACUAGAGAAAAAUUGAGAAGACCCUGUCAUAUGGUCUGAGGCCCUUGAAUCAACAAUCUAAGGACCUUUUUCAAGGGAUUGGAUGUUAAGGGCUGAUGGGUUACCUGUAUGGACUGCAUUACAACCAGAGGAGGUCAAGUCAUUUCUUUUUGCUUGCUGAUUUUGUAUGAGAAGCUGUUGCAGCAUCUCAAAUUGAUCUUUUGUGAGGGCAAACUGAUUAGUUUUCUCUGUCACCAUUCCUUUUGCUUCCUGCUGACGUUUUGGUUUCCAAUCUGCUGGCUUUCCAUGAAGCCUCCAGCAUGAGUCUCGAGUAUGUCCUUUCCUGUGGCAAUAGUCACAGUAAGGACGUUCUCCAUGUUUUUGUCCCUUUUGGUCAGCUGACUAGUCUGUCUUUUUGGUCACCAGCGCUGAUCUCUCUGUCUCGGCUUCCUUUACCAGUCCCAUCAUGACUCUUUUUUGACUUUCUUCACGCCUUACCUCAGCAAAAGCUUCUUGGAUGGAGGGUAGAGGAUUCUUUCCCAAUAUUCUGCCACGAACUUCAUCAAGUUCUUUGUUGAGUCCAUAAAGGAAAUCAAAGAGGCGUUCUUUAUUCAACAUCCUCUUAUAUUUAAUGGCAUCCUCGGAGCAAUGCCACUGCGAUUCAUAGUAAAAGUCGAGUUCUUGGCAUAUAUUGUUUAGAGAACUGAAAUAUUGAGUCACUGAAAGACUCCCUUGUUUCUGGUCACGUAAUUGUGACUUGAUUUCAAAGAGCUGAGCUGCAUUCCCAAGGUCAGAGACUCAGAGUAGGUUUCUGUCACAGCUUCCCAAAGCUCCUUCGCAGAUGGUAGGAAGAGAUAAGUCCUACCAAUAUCCACGUCCAUCGAGUUGAUCAACCAAGCUUGCACCAUUGAAUUUUCAGCAUCCCACUGCGGAUAACUAGGAUCUAAGACAUCAGGGGCUUUGGUUUCCCCUGUAAUAUACCCUAAUCGGCCUUUGCCACAAAAAAAUAGGGUGACGGAUUGAGACCAUUGCAAAAGGUUUCUGCCAUUUAACUUGUGCAGAGUUAUUUGCAAAUAGGGGUUUUUGGUACCUAAGGAGACUGAAGAGAUGUCCUGCCUUGUUACAGAACCGGAGGAAAUCUCAGAUUCUUGUGCAGGGUUUGUUGUCUUCUCCAUUGGAUGGUUUGAGACUUUAGAAUUGGAAGAGGAGAAAAUUUCAGAGGCUCAGCUCAAAAGCUGCUCUAAUACCAUGUGAAAAUUCAGAUUUCCUCUGUUUUAAUCUCUAUUUUCUCUUAUUAUACAAUAGAGAAGAAUACCUAUUUAUAUACAUUACACCCUAGGAACAAAAUGGUAAAAACAGCUAGGAUAUUGCAAAUCAGUAUCCCUGAAAAUUAGGGAUUAUAUCUUCUAAAAUCUAGUAUUUAAGUCAACACGUAGCUGUAAAAUACAGCUGACAUCUACAACAAUAGUCAACACACAGCUGUAAAAUACAGCUGACAUCUGCAACAUGUACUUGCAUCUCUGCUUUUCACUUCACAACUGAUUUCAUGUGCUAUCUUGUGUUCUGGUUCAAGAUUUUUGAUGGUUGCUUAACAUCAUAUUUUGCUUUGUUUCAGGUUGAGGGCAUUUCUAAUUCUUCUCCCGGUGUGACUCAAAGGAUUCCCUUUUGUUAUGUGAUUUACGUUCCAACUAUUCCUGCCCUGCGAAAGUAAAACUAUUUCUUCUGCAUCUUUGAAUGAUUGUGAUUUAGUUUUCUUGUCAUUUUGCCAACUAUCAUUAUGCUGUCAUUGUUUCAUAUCUUAGUUGAUAUAUGUUGACUUGGUUAGAGUUUAAUUGCUCUGUUUAUUCUCUUCAUAAUCUGUCUAUUUCGAUUUUUCUUGAUUUUAGGGAAUUUGCUGAACUUUUAGUAAGCUGUGGCUUGAUUGGAGAGGCUAUUAAAAUUUUUGAGGAUCUGGAGUUGUGGGAUAAUCUAAUAUACUGCAACUGGUAUGGUGUCAUAGAUAACCAUUAUCCUAAUCUCUCUCUCUCUCUCUCAUGUUGCUAAUGGGAGUUGGUUUUGUGUAUGAUGUAAAAAACAGCCUAUUGGGGAAGAAAGCAGCAGCUGUUGAACUAAUAAAAGCAAGGCUGUCUGAAAAGCCUAAUGACCCUAGAUUAUGGUUUGUUGAUGAGCCUUUUCUACGAUCCAUUUUAUAGUUACUUCUCAUUUCAGUUAAAUCCAUUGUUGAUGUCACUUAUUGCAAUGUAGGGAUAAUUGUUCAUUGGAUGUGAGGAUAUUGUCAAAAGAAAAUGAAACAUUUUAAUUUUAUCUUUUACUUGCUGUAGCCGAUUUAAAAGCUCACAGUGCGUUCUUACUGAUUGCUUUUGGUCUUGCAUUUGAGUCAAUGGAUUUUAUACUCAUAUUCUGACAUUUAUUGUUAGUCUUCUGACGGUUCUGCACCUUGGUCCUAUAUUAUCUUCAGCAGUAUUAUCUAAAAGAUAAGUUUUUGCCGAAGAAAAUUUGCAUUCUAAACUAGAAAAUGAGGGGCCUGGGGGGGGGGGGGGGCGGGGGCGCAACAGGAGACUGUUUUCCACUUAUCCUCUUCCCUGCCUGCAUUUUAGAUGAUUCUGAUGCACCAGGUGCUGUGAAAUGGUUGAGAAAUACAUACCAUCAAGUGAAUUCUGAAAAUCAUAUCCUUCUUGAAAAUAUUUGGUGCUAGACAUUUGAAUAUAUGGCCACAAUUUAAACAAUAAAGAUUUUCUGCAUUGAUUUCUUAUAAUGGAUAUAUGCAUGUAAGUAAAAUAUGAUAUCUUUUGAUUAUUGGCCCAUUUGUUCAGAAAGAAGGAAAAAAAAAAAUACAUGGUGAUAAUGUAGCCAGAAUGAUGAGUUGAAUUGUGGGUUGCUGACUUGUGAUACAUUUUGUAGGUGUUCAUUAGGUGAUGUUACAAAUAAUGAUGCCUGUUAUGAAAAAGCUUUGGAAGUUUCGAAUGAUAAGUCAGCUCGAGCUAAGGUGAUAUUUGUUGCACAGAGAAAAUGUAGUUCACAUUAUGCUUGUACCGUGAUCAUUUUUUAGUUAACAUAUCUUUAUGUGAAUCAGAGGUCUCUAGCUCGUAGUGCUUACAAUAGAGGGGAGUACGAGACGUCUAAAAUCCUUUGGUAUGUUGCUUUAAUGCUUUACUUCUCUUUCUGCCACACAGUAAUUUGCUGCAUUGACAACUGAGAUGGCUGAAUGACAAUUUACCCUUGGUUUUGUCUCAGGGAGGCUGCCAUGGCCUUGAAUUCUUUGUAUCCAGAUGGCUGGUUUGCUCUUGGUGCUGCUGCAUUGAAGGUAUCAUAUUUUUGUAUUAGUAUGUGUUUAGUGUGGAGAGAUUUCUUAUCCUUUUGCCCCAAGUUUCUGAAACUCUCGGCUGAAAUAUAAAUACAGGCUCGGGAUGUUGAAAAGGCUCUGGAUGGGUUUACUCGGGCUGUUCAACUUGAUCCAGACAAUGGGGAAGCUUGGAACAAUAUUGCUUGCUUGUAUGCUCUUUUCUUUGUCAUCAUGUCAUUCCAUCCUCUUGCUCUGUAUUCUUUAAUAUGGUGUCAAUCACUUUCAUCUUCUAUCUGCAAGAGUAUGCUUCCCAUAUUUGGUUUACUUUGUUUUGACUUUCUUGUUGCAGUUGUUCUAUAUAAAUUUUAUAUGGUUCCAUAUUCCCUUGAUGAGUGAAUUUAGUUGCUGCAAAUGCUAAGAGCUAGAUAGUACUGUUAUAAUUAGGAAUAGGGCAAAUAUUAGCCAGCUCUUUUGAGGAUUAUCCAUAGCAUAUGCCUCCGUCGUUUUCAAAGCAAUUGAAGUUCUCCUUUUCGUCUUAUUUAAAAGAAAAAAGCACAAAUUGCUUCCCUCACAUCUCUCUACAGUCUCUUUUCUCUCUGUUUAAUUUUUUCUUGUGCUUAUUAUUUGUCUUUUAAUGCGUCUUUUCUUCUUAUUUUAUACUGUACUAGAGUUUGUGCAGUCUCAAUUUCAUCUUGUCUGUGACUUACUGUUUUUUUCGCAAUUGUGGAACUUUAUUUAGCAGCAUAAUUAUUAGUUAGUGAGACAUUAAUUGGUAAACACCACUUGUGAAAAGAUACGAAGAGCUACUUAUUCUCUCUACUAGUACAUUUAAAAAAUUCAUGAGAAAAUAUCUGGGAUGGUAAAAUUCUCGUCAAUUAUAACAAUGGAAGUCUUGAGAUUUAUGUAAUCUUGCAGGCAUAUGAUCAAGAAGAAGAGCAAAGAGGCUUUUAUAGCAUUCAAGGAGGCCCUAAAGUUCAAGUUCUGUUUUUUUCCCCCCUGAUCACAACAUUUUUAUUUUCUGUCAUGCACAAUGCAGUCGGACACUAUCUGAUCACUAGAACACUGUCAUACAUAAUUUGUUGCUGCUAGGCAAAAGGUGAUAUCUAAUGUAAUAACCUAUAACAUGAUUUUGUAACAGACGGAACAGUUGGCAAUUGUGGGAAAACUACAGCCAUGUUGCUUUGGAUGUGGGCAAUAUUGGUCAGGUAACCGCGGUUGUGCGCUUAAUUUCGAUCAUUUAUCACUGAAAUCUUUUGAGAUGAAGUUGGCAUUUUCUUAGCCACCCUCUGAUGGUUUUGAUUGCUUCAUGUAUGUUGUCAUCUUUGUCAACUAAUGAAAGCUGCAGAGAUUUUGUCAUCUUUUCAUUUAAAAGAAUUUGAUAGUUUAUAGCCCAUUGUCAUUUUUGCAUAUGUAUGUUAUUGUUCUUUUGACCUUUUUGUACCUCAGCUUCAUCCUUUUAUGCAAGCAAUUCGUUGUCAAGAAAUAUCUGGAUAACAAUUUUUUCCCAUGAAUAUUUUUACGCUCAUCAAGGUCCUUGAACAGUCAUGGUUAAUGGAUUACAGAUUCUCAAAUUUAUAAUUAUUUUUUUCAGGGUCAUUGUCCUUUGAUAUAUGCAACUUGAUGCAUGACUUUCUAAUGAUUAACUCCCUGCCCUCACCAUGGUCGUAUAAAUAUUUUGACAAGUGGGGAUUGUAUGAUUACUUUGUGCUAGGAAUUUUUUUGGUUGGAAAGAAAUGGGAGGAUUUUUCAAGAAGCUAGGGAGGGAAGACACCAAAUUAUUUUUGGUGGAUAAAGCCUGCUGUCACUUUGGGCAUCAAUUUCUAAUGAAUGCAAUAAUGUUCCUUUCUUUGCUAUUCAUUAAAAUUGAGUUGUUCUUCUUGGAUGGCCUUCUUUUUACUUCUCAUUAUUUUGCCAGCUUGUUGAUUGUCAUUUUUGCUUGUUGGCAGUCUUUUCCUGCAGUGUUAAUAAUAUUUAAUUAUAAUAUUAGACAUCAGUGUCCUCAACAUGAUCUCUCUCCCAAAUUUUUACUCUUUUAUUCAUUAUAGUUUUAGCAGUUUCUUUAUUUUUGUUUUAUUUUAUUUUUGCAGGCUCUAGAGGCUGUGCAGACGGUGUUGAACAUGACUAAUAAUAAAAGAAUUGAUACUGAAUUAUUAGAAAGAAUAGUGCUAGAUCUGGAAGGAAGGACUUCAAUUAUAGAAUCUGAGUCUUGCAGGACUACGCAUAAUCUUAACAGAACUAAUAACACUUGUGCAAAAGAUUUACCUGUAGAAUCUGUCCAUGUAUCAUCACCUGAGGAGUCAAUCAUGGGAAGAUCACGAGAAAAUGAGCACUUGAUGGAGUUUCUUGGGAAAAUUCUUCAGCAGGUUGCACAUGUUUCCGUGAUCAUCUUUUUUCCGUCUUUUAAUACUGAGCUAAGGGACAUUCUCUCUCUUUCACGCAUAUCCAAAACACAUGUACAUAUUUCUCAUAUUUCUAUGCGUAUAUAUUAUCAUUUCUGAUCUUUCUUAGUUUAUAUGAUAAUUGUCUUUGGGCAUAUGAUUCAUAUUUGCUGGGCAUCCUAUGGUCUGUGGGUCAAUAAUAAUCCAUAGUAUCUGAAUUUCUUGACAAAAUUGGUCAUUUUGGCAAAUCAUUUGGACGUAUCUAUGCAGCAGUUUACUAUUUUAGUGCUUGCAGGAAUUGGUAUGCUUAAAUUUUGGGCUUAAAUUGUGGGAAAAUAAUCAAAGUGAUAUGCAAAUUAAUUCAAGCCACACGAGGAAAGAAUAUCCUUUCUUUUUUUUUUUUUUUAAGCUUAUGUUACAUGUUUCUCUGUAUGGCAUAGGUAGUUCGAAGUGAGAGUAGUGCAGAUAUGUGGGGAUUAUAUGCAAGGUGGCUUAAAUGUAAAGGAGAUCUUACAAUGUGCUCUGAAGCCCUCUUAAAGCAAGUCAGAUCAUAUCAGGUUUUUCCAUAAAUCUCAUCAUCUUAUAAUAAGUUAGCAUUAUGUUUUACUUUGAUGUUGAUGGAAUUUGUUAAUGCUAAUCAAAUUUUGUUAAUCUCUCUCUCUCUCUCUCUCUUUUAAAAAGAAGGCAAAGAAAAAGCUGUGAUUUCAUUUUUGUUUUCUAAAUUUGUUAAAUAAAGGAAUGACAAGUUGACAACUCAGCCUCUCUCUCUCUCUCUCGCUCUCUCUCUGUGUCUGUGUCAGGGAUCUGAUUUGUGGAAAGAUAGAGAUCGGUUUAAAAGGUUUUCAUAUGCAUCCUUGGAACUUUGUAAGGUUUACACGGAAAUUUCUUCCUCUUCUGGUAGCCGUCGAGAACUCUUUGCUGCUGAGAUGCACCUGAAGAACGUACUUAAACAAGUAAAACACCUUAUAAUUUGAUAUUUAGGACACUUACAGUUGGUUUAAAGAUUGCAUUUUCCGUUUCUGUUUUUGACUGGUUCAGGGUAAAACUUUUUCCCACUGUGUUAGAGUGCAUUUCUGUUAUUAUAUAGUUUCUUAGAAGAGAAUGCGCUUUUUGGAAUCUCAGGCUGAAGGAUUUGCUGACAUGGAAGAGUUCAGGGAUCUUCAAGCUUGCCUUGAUGAAGUGAAGACGAAACUCCAAUCUGGUCCCGUGGCUACCUAAGUAUCAGGAACGUGCUAUUUUUGAAUAUCAGGAAUGUGCUAUUAUUUUAGUUCGUACUGUAGUUGAGACCUUAACCAUGACUGAAUAUCUUGUAUUGCUGUACCACCUUUUCUGUAACAAAACAGUCUAGUUUUAGUAUUUUUAUUAUUUUUGUAUUUUCAGUGCUGUAACUAAUCUCAUUUGACAAUGUAAAUAUAUGGCUUCAAGUUAUUUAAAUGUAAAAUCAAGUGUUGUUUUCAACCUCUGUUCUUUUAUGUAUAGCUUACAUGCCGUGAUUUCAUUAACCUCAAUUUAAGGACAAUUUCAUAUCUUUUUUCUUUCUGCUUUUCUUUUAUCAUUUAAGAACAAAUAUGAAUAUAUUUCAGACAGCAUUUAAACAAAGCAACCGAACGUCGCUGGUUUCUAUUAUUACAUUGACAGCAAUAAAACAAAGAAGCAACUGAAAGUUAUCUUCAUAUGAGAAUGAAAGCUUUUCAGCAGCAUAACACUAUUCAUUUCCAAACGAGUUCCUCAACAUGAGAACAAAUUCGUAGACCUUUUCUGGGUCUGGAAGGAUCCUGGCAACAGUUUCCCUUUGCAUGCACUUGUUCAUCCAAGCGGAGAAUUUGGGGCACUCAUUCGCAUCCUUAAAUCACCCAAAUUUCUCAACCGCGUAAAACCAACAAAUUUCUCAACCCCCAAAUUUGGGACAUCAACGAAUCCAAAGCUAUCCCCGCCAAAGAAAUCCUUCUCCCCUAAAGCUCCCUCUAGUUGCUUCAAUAUCUCUAUAAAUUCAUUCUUUGCCGUCUCCUGUGUUUUAAAAAAUCUAUUGUAAUGGAUCUAUUGUAAAUUUAUCUAACUGCUUGUUAUAAUGCUUCUAUUGCGGUGUUAUUCGAGUUGUCAUUUUCAGUUUUAUUUUAUUUGUUCUUUAAACAUAGUUAAUUUGAAAUGUUCUUUAAUAUCCAUUACACUUGAGAUCAUCAAAUAAGUGAUUCUUGAAUAUAAUUGCUGUUGUUACUCGAAUAAGAAAAGAAAACAAAAAAUAGCUAAGGUAAAAGUAAAUGGAAAUGAGAGCAACGUGAUUUUGCAAAGAGAACUUCACACUAUCAUAAAACCGAAAACAUUACAAUUUAAAGCUUUAAUAACAACACAUCAAAGUCAAAUAACGACCCACUAGAAUCAUGGUCCAAAGAUUGUGCCAUGAUCACAACAUGAACUACAAAAAAAUAACCAACACCAGAAAAGUAGGAACAGUUUGAAACUUUCAACUAAGCAGCAUUUAUGAUUCCACAUCAGCAGCCCUAAACACAUCUUCUAACAAUCGCAACUGCUCAUUUUUGCUUCUGCCAAUAAAGAGUUGAUUGUAACCAAAGAUUGUUGUCUUUAUUGUCAUUUGAGAGUAACAAAUUACUUACGCAGUCACGUAAGUUGUUGGUUGGCCUCGCACAUUUUUGAGAAGUUUGUUUCUGAAGGAAACCAGCUGAGCCGCAACCUCUUCCAUGCUCAUUCGUUCUCUCGGCAACUCUGAAGAGCAAAUGGCUCCGAUUCCCAGUACGGAAACCAAGCACUCUUUACCACUAAAACUUCUGGUCCAUUGUUUGUGAGCAUUGGCGUUGCUUUUCUCCCCUUCUUCUCUUUCUACAAGAAGCACUGGAUCAACAAUUUCAGCGAGUCUUUCAGGAAGAGCUUCCUUGACAAAAUUAUGUAGGGUUAGAUUGCCUGUAAACAUUUCAUUCGUCGGCCUCUUUCCUGUAAACAUUUCCAGCAAGAGUAUUCCAAAACUGUACACAUCUCCACUUGUUGAGACUUCGCUCCCCAUUCCGUACUCUGCAAUUCGAAAACUAAAAUUGUUGGUUCAACUAGUAAAAUCUCAAAGGAUUGAAAGACAAGUUAAUUAAAUAAUAGUAAUUACCUGGAGCAGCAUAACCAACGGUUCCUUUUACUCCAACAGAGCUUGAUUGAUUAGAUGACAAGUUAUUGGUGGCUUCCGGAAGGAAUUUUGCUAAUCCAAAAUCACCUACAUGGGCAGUCAAUUCACUAUCCAGAAGAACAUUGCUUGGCUUGAGAUCACAAUGGACUAUUGGAGUUUCGCAAUAAUGAUGAAGAUAAUCCAAUGCAGAAGCAACAUCAACGGCAAUACUCAGUCUUUGCAGGAGAUUUAGAUUCUUAAGUGCCUCACGGUUUGGAUGCAACCAUUCCUCCAGGCUUCCGUUAACCAUGAACUCAUAAACUAAAGCCUCGAAAUCAUUUCCUUGGAAGUCAACACUUGCACAGGAAGUUAUUAUUUUGACGAGAUUCCGAUGCCUAAUAUUUCUCAAGGCCUGACACUCCGCUAUGAAACUCUUUGAAGCUCCUCGAUGUUGAAGAUUAAGCACCUUAACUGCCACCAGCGUUUCAUGAUCAUCAUGAUUGAGGACUCCUUUAUAGACCGAACCAAAGCUACCGGCACCAAUCAAGUUUUCCAAAGAGAACCCGUCAGUUGCUUUGAACAGAUUCUCAUAGGACACUCGUAAAACCGAAGCCAAGAGAGCUGAUGGAGGAGUGGCCGGCUUCCUUUUUGAUUUGCCCCGCCAGGAAGUAAUUAUCAAACACGACAUCCCUGUUACUAACAAAAUUCCUGUAACAACAGGAAUAAUCAGUUUCAGGAAACGGGAACGUGAUUGCAUUGAUUCUUUGAUGGAACAAGUAGAUAAAUGCAACUCAGAUAUGCCACCACAGAGGUUAUCAUUUCCGUCAAGAGAUAUAGCACUCGAAUUGCUGAAGACUCCUUUUAUUGGUACUUCACCCUCAAAAUGAUUAAAAGACAGAUUUAAAUUCUGCAAAAAGGGAAAGUUUUCCAGAUAUUUUGGAAUUCGGCCAGACAAAUUGUUCCUCGAAAGAUCAAGAUUCUCAAUGCCUCUCAAAGAACUGAAUGAUGAAGGGAUAUUCCCUUGAAAGAAAUUACCAUUCAUGAUGAGUUGUACCAACAUAAUGCAACUUCCUAUACUGCUUGGAAUUUCACCAGACAAUUUGUUCUCCGAUAUGUCUAUAAAACCCAGAUUUUUCAAGAUACCAAAAUUAGAGGGCAAAGGACCAUUCAAAUGGUUUUGAGAUAGAUCAAGAUAGAUUGACAAGGAAGAGAGGCCAAUCACUUCAGUGGGUAUGGUACCACUGAGGUUGUUAUUGGAGAGAUCUAAUAAUAUCAAGUUUUGGCAUUUCCCUAGACUUGAUGGAAUGUUUCCCUCUAACAUGUUUUCCGCAAAAUCUAGUAUAGCUAACGAUGUCAAAUUUCCUAUAGAAGAUGGAAUUUCCCCCCAAAACUUGUUCCCCAGAAGCCACAACGUCUGCAGCUUAUGAAGAUCUCCUAUACUUCCCGGAAUUCGGCCUGUGAAUUGGUUGCCCCCAAGGUGUAAAAGCUCUAAGUUAACAAGAUUUCUUAAUCGAUUUGGGAAAUUUCCGAACAACUGAUUGUUUCCAACUAUUAAUAUUCUAAGUCGGGUUGACAAGUUCCCCACAGCUUCAGGUAACAUUCCACCAAAAUUGUUGUCACUAAUUUGCAGUAGCUCUAGUCUGGAAGCGUUGACCAAAGAAUUGACAAAUUCCAAGUCAUCCUUUUUCCCAUUUCCUAAGUGAUUCAGAUAAAAACUAACCCAUUGGAGUUUAUGUAAAUUUUCCAAACUAGGCACCUUUCCACUGAAUCCAUUCAUUGGGAUUGUAAGUCUCAUUAGAUUUGAGGCAUUGGAUAUUGAAGCAGGAAUAGGCCCAGUAAACUGAUUACCACCAACGUUUAAUCGUUCAAGAUUAGGCAGAGUGAAGCCUAAGUCUGAUGGAAGGCUUCCUUGAAGUUGGUUAUGAGGGAAAUCCAAAUAAUUAAGCGAAGACAAGUUGUAGAUUGAGAAAGGGAUUUCACCUGAUAGCUUAUUUACUCCCAAUAAUAUAUCACGCAUCCUCUUUAGCUGACCCAGUGUUUCAGGAAUUUGUCCCACAAAUUGAUUUGCAGCUGCUGAGAGGACCUCGAGUGAUGACAAAUUGCCCAAGGAAGAUGGGAUUUCUCCCGAAAAAUUGUUGUAGUGUACUGUGAGCAUCCGGAGCUUUGAUAUGGAGCCUAGUAACCCAGGAACUUUCCCCACAAGCUCAUUGACGCCUAACCUGAGGGAUUCAAGGUUAACGCAAUGCGAUAUGUUGUCAGGAAUUUGACCUCCGAAUGUAUUGUUGUUCAGCUCCAAAAUUCGUAACCUGAACAGAUAUCCAAUCUCUUGAGGGAUUUCGUUGCGGAAGCUAUUGUUUUUGAGAUCUAACACUCUGAGAAAACUCAAAUUACCAAUGUGAGGCGACAGAGACCCCUGCAAGAGUAAAGAUGGAAGACGUAAUCCAGUCACCCUUUGGUGCCGUCGACUGCAAGUGACACCUUUCCAUUGACAAAAGUGCCUGGAAUAGUUCCAUGAUCUCAAAACCUCAAGAGGGUCAUGAGUAACUUUGGCCUUGAAUUGAAGCAAUGCAAGUUGAUCAGUUUCAUUGCUUUUGAGCAUAUAAUCGGUUGAUUGCAAGCUGAAGCUGAAGCAACAUAAAAUAAAGAAACAAAUGCUUACAAUGAUUGAACUCAUCAUGUUUACAAAAUUCAUUUAACUGCCGAAGGAAAUUAAAAUGAUAAAACUUUUAUAGAGGUUUGUAAGAUAAAAUAUGUUUGUAUAUAUUUUGCAAUGAUUUAUGGACUCUGUCUUUGAUGCUCAAAUGUGAACCAGGUGGCACCGUGACAGUGAAACUAAUACUUUUUCUUUUUCUAAUAAUAUUAAUUAUCAUAUUUAUUACUAUUGUAAGAAUAAUAUACUGCAGCUUUAAAGAAAGACUCACCAUACUCUCUUUUGAGUUUAAUCACCAAUAUUGAAAAGGAAAAAAAAAGUAGGGCAAGAGAAAGGUAAAUACGAUGGGUGGAGUGUUAAGACUACUGUUAAAUGAGUUGGGAAACGUUCAAAGCACGAUGGGAAUUAAAGAUUCACAACACCUUUUUUCUAAAAUUUUCAAUACAGUCUCCCCCAAAAUUUGCUAGUGCAACAAAGAGACGUCGCGCCGUUAACAAUUUUAAACUGUAAAUGACAUGUCGUUUUCACAGAAUUCGUUUAACUGCCGGAGGAAAUUGAAAUUAUAAACUUUUAUAAAGGUUGGUAAGAAAAAAUAUACUUGCACAUAUUUUUUUUUCAAUGAUUUAUGGACGCUGUACUUGAUGCUGAAAUGUGAACCGGCUGGCACCGGGACAGUGAAAUUAAUGCUUUUUGUUUUUCUAAUAAUAUUAAUUAUCCUUUUCCUUUAAGGAAGACCCGCCACACUCACUUUUGACGCUCUAUCAGUUUCCAGCAUGUUGUCGUUUUGUAUUUUAGUGCAUUAAAGAAAUCCACAAUGAAUAUAAAAUAAUUUAAUCAACAGUAUUAGAAAAAGAAAAAAAGUAGGAUAAGAAAGUUAAGUAUGAUGGAUGGAGUUUCACAUUUCUGUUAAAUGACUUAGGAAAUGUUUAAAGCACCACAGGAAUCAACGUUUCACACGCUUUUUAGAUUUUUUUUCUAAAAGGAAAAAGAUAUUCUCACGAAAGAAAGUACAAAAUUUCACACAAAACGGUGCAUUUAAAUAAAGUAAAAUUGCAAAAAUACUCAAAAUAUAUAAGAUUGAUCAUUUACACCCUCCUUGUUUUUUUUGGGUGAACUAUUUCUGGAAAAUGGGCAGAGCCUAGUUUUGGUUCAAAAUUUGAAAUAACAAAUGGUAUAUUGGUGGAAAACCAACGACAUAUUUUCUAAUGCUUAACCUAAAUGGGAAUUAUAUCGGUUUGUACUGUCAAUAUAACAAACAACUAACUAAAUUAUUUAGAAGUCAUGAAUAAAAAUGGAUAGAACAAGAAGUAUAUUGCUAUUCGAUGCAAGAUGUUGGAUUAUUAAACCAUAAUAAAAUAAUAUAACUACACAUGUGCAAUGUUAUUCACUAAAAAGAUUUAAUUUAGAUAUUAAACAGUUAGUGCAACUGUAUCGAUCUCAUCCUCAUUAAUUUAGAGUUUGAGAACUCAUAAUAAAAGAAAAUAGAAAUUUAAACAUAGAUCCUAUCCUAUUAAGUAGAAUCAGAAAAGAAGUUUAUAGAAAUAAUUUUUCACGGAAGCAAUGAAAUAUUAAUCCGGUUGAUGGAUAUAUUGGUGAACACAUAAUAGAAUAUUAUAAUAGAUUUUUAUCUAUCAAGCAAAGGGAAGAAUAUAAUUGGAAUAACAAAAGAAUUAGAAGUAAAUAGUAAUAUGCUAAUAGGAUAUAAAGGAUUAUUAUUAAUUAUCGUAUUUGUGUAUAUAUAUAUAUAUUUUAAAUGAUUUAGGGACUCUGUACUUGAUGCUGAAAUGUGAACCGGCUGGCACCGGGACAGUGAAACGAGUACUUUUUUUAUUAUUACACGGCCUGUCGUUUUCAAAGAAAAAUUUUAUCAUGGUAUUCUUAUCCCCUAGCUGCCGUUUGUCGUUUGGAAUUUCUCUGUAUAAGAUUUUAAAGCAGCAAAAAUUUCGCCAUCUCGCGCCGGGGGGGUGGGGUGGGGGGAAGAUGAUGAUUCCGUGGAAUAUUAUCUUCGACUUAUCUGCUAUAAUCAGUGCUAACCGAUUUUGACACAUUUGCAGUAACGGAAGGGUUACAAUUACACGAGAUUGACACGAGGUAAUUAGCUAGUCAAGUCUCCGUGGGAAAAUUGUAAGCACUCAAGACUUAAAAAAGACUUUAUAAAGUAAGGCGUAUUAUGGAUGGUGUGGUUUGAUUCUCACUUGCAUCAAUUGUUCUUUUCAUUUUUCAUUGGAGGAAAGGAAAUUCAAGAGCCUGGUGUAUCUAGCAAAUUUUGUAACACGUUCUUGUAAGAUAAAAUAAAUAAAUAAAUAUAUCGGAUCCUAUUUCAUAGUUUAGUUAUAGGGUUAUUCGGAUGUCUGAAUUCAAAACAAGUUAAGUUUAAUCUCUAAAUAAUUUUGAGGAAAUCUUUCUACAAGGAGAGUUUGAAAUCAAUCACUACCCAUGUGUCAUUGGUCAGAUAAAUAGGUUAAGAACUCUAAUCCUAUCCCGACACAAAAAAAAAUCGUAUCGACUCGGACCUAGUCCAUUUUAAAUAACGGUUUAUUUAAAAUAAUUAUUUUUAUAAUAAUAAUUACUACUAUUAGUUGUCCUAUUAUUAUUAUUAACAAUAAUUAUUUUAAAUAAAAAUUGUAAUUAUUAUAAUAAAUGAUGACAAUAAUCAACUAAGAUUAUUUUGGUAUUGUAAUAAUCAAUUCCAAUUCCAAUAAAAAUUAGAUACAUUAGUGACAAUAUAAAUUAGGGUAGGGGUGGGCAAAUUCGGUUUGGAUCGGUUUGGGACAUAUCCUCAAACCGAUCCAAACUAAUCGGUUUGAAAUAUUUUCAAACCGAUAUCAACCUAAAAUUUUUUUAAACCGAACUGAUCCAAACCGAUUGGAUCGGUUUGGAUCCGGUUUGAACUUAUUAGCUAAAAUUUCACUUCUUUUAUAUUAUUUUACCUAAAUUAUUUGUUAUUUUUUUGUGUCCGCAAUCUAAAUUGAUACCUCUUUUAUAUUAUUCAUAUCUACUUUGAUAUCUACAUAACAAUUCAAAGAUACAUCCAUACAAGUUUACAGCAUAAUACAUCCUAAUAAACAAGUUCUUAACCUGUUCAUUCAAAACAAACUCACAAAAUUAAAAUAAACUUAAACCACACUUGACAAUUAAAAUAUUGUGCAUCUUGUCCGUCAAAAUUUAUAGUCCAAUUACUUUUGAUUUGUUAAAAUCUGCAUAAAAUGAUAAAUAUAAUUAUUUAGAUUGAUUAACUUAAAAUAUAAUGUAAUUAUAUAAUAUUUCUGGAUUGGAUCGGUUUGAAUCGGUUUGGAAUCCUUCCAAACCGAGUGAUGUCGGUUUGCAAUCCAAUAAACUGAAACCAGUUUUUUUACUAAUGAAACCGAUCCAAACCGAUCCAAAAGGUCGGUUUGGAUCGGUUCGGUUAAAAUAUGCCCACCCCUAAAUUAGGGGUUAUUUUUAGAAACCUCCCCUGAAGUUUAGUGUAUUGACAGUCGGAUAGAAAGUAUUCAUAUAAUUACAGGGACCUCCCCUGACGUUAGUAUUCCGCUAAGUGGACUGUCAGUUGACUAUUGAAAUUCCAAAAAUGCCCUUGCCGCAAAAAUAUAUUUUUAACAUAGAGGAGGUUGCGCUCUGAUCCUUUGUUCUGAAUUCAUUUUUUAUCCUUUGUUCUUAGUCACGGUAUAUAAGCCCCAUCCUUACCAAACAAAAUUUUAGAUCAAACAUGCUUAAAGAAAAUGGAUAAUGCAACAUCUAAAAUAAUUUUAAAACACAAAACAACAAAUACUCCACAUUUCAAAGUAAUAAAAAAAUAAAUAAUCGUAGUGCAAAUAGAUUAAACCUGAGCAGAUUUAUAGGCAUUAAGAGUAUUCUCAACGGCGACUUUCCUCUCAUCGCCAGUCUUAAACUCAGCCAAGUUAAGCAAACUCAUGUCGAAACCAAAAUUAGAAUUUAGAAAGGAAAAAAACAGAAUUGAGAAUCAAUUUAUUUUUUGGGAGCACGUGAGUGAUGAGUUUUGGAAUCUAAAAUGAUAUCAAGUUAUGAAGUAUUUUUGGUGUAAACGCAACAGCCAUGAGAGGAGAGUGACGAGAAACUUCCAAAAAGAGGUGAAAAAAAAAACAGAAGAGAAAAAGGCCAAAAGGAAAAAGACUCAAAAAAACAAAAACAGAGAGGAGACGCAAGGGCAAUCAAGCAAGCAGACAAACAAUUUAAAACCUGAGCAGAUAAUCACCCUUCAUCUUCAAAUAAAACACCUUGGAAUCGGCAGCGGCAGCGGUGGGAACCAAUUUCUGGUCCAAUAAUUUCAAGAUCCCGCCACAGGAUCUCCAUCAACUCGGCUUCGAUCUUCGAUCUGUACUCCUUAAUCACGGAGACAUGGUCUUGGUUGCCGUGCGACUCGUCCUUCUGCUCGAUGGAGGACACGAUGCACCAAGAGGCGCGCCGUGCGCCGAUGACGUUCUUGUAGGCGACGGAGAGGAGGUUCCUCGCUGGUCGAGGCAGAGACGACGACUUUUUCCAUGUAUUGGACCAUCUCCUCGUACCACUCGGCUUGCUCCGCAAGUUUUUCCAUGUAUACGUUUUCUUCCCGUGGAGAAGGGGCUGCCAUUGUUCCGUUCAGUUAUCUUUGUGUUUGUUUGAAUUUUGUUUUUGUUUAAAUUUUAAAUUUAUUUUUACGUAUUUACCCUUUAUAAUAACGUUAUACGUAUUUUUGUAUUAACGUUAGGGGAGGUCUUUGUAAUUACAUGAAUAUUUUCUAUCCGACUGUUAAUACACUAAACCUCAGGGGAGGUCCCUAAAAAUAACCCUAUAAAUUAUUACAGCUAAAAUAAAUAAUUUAUAAUAAUUCUAAUUCUUUAUUUCAAUUCUAUUUUGAUUCUAUCUUAUUCCGAUUACUGAUUGGUAAGCAUACCACUAAACGAAAUGAAACUGUCCAUACACAAUAAAAUCUCUUUAAUUGAUCAUCUAGCCCAGCUAAAAUCAACGGUCCCGAAAGAAACAAUUUCGGAACUACUCAAGCCUGCAAAUCUUGCACUGUCGUAGUAAGUUACAGGAAUUUGAUUGGACGAUGUAAUAAAGAUGAAGGAUAAGAUCGCCAUUCGCCAAUCAAUUUUCUGUCCGCAUCAAGCAAAUAGGCCAUCUGUGAGGCGCAAAAUGAGUUAAAAAGAUGGAUAAUUUUGGAAUCCAUUAAUCCACAAUGAACAUAAAACAAUUUAAUCAACAGUAUUAGGAAAGAAAAGAAAAGUAGGAGAAGAAAGUUAAGUAUGAUGGAUGGAGGUUCAGAUUACUGUUAAAUGACUUAGGAAAGGCUUAAAGCACCACAGGAAUCAACGUUUCACAAAGCUUUUUUCCCUUUCUGAAAUAUUCGGUGCAGUCUCCCCCAGAUUUUGCCAGUGCAACCAAGAGACGUCAUGCCGUUAUCAAUUAUAAACUGUAAAUGACAUGUUGUUUUUACAAGACAUAUUAUGCGUCGAUACAUACCUAUGAAUGGGUUCAAGAAAUUCAGCAGGUUGCGAAACAAUAAGAUUCAUUCAAUCCGCGUAGAUAUCUGACUGACUGAAAUUAAAUAAACGAUGAUGAUAAGAAAUUUGAAAUCAACAAAUCUCGGCACAUCUAUUCUGCAGUUUGGCCGUACUUCAAAUAACCUUGCGAUAAAAAUUUCAUAAAAAAUCUCAGAAAGAGGACAGAACAACCAAGGCAUCAGCGAAAGCAAUCGAGGCAGGGCACGCUCAAGCCACGAAUUAGAGGAAUUUUAAAUAUCAAAACCUGCUCAGAAUAAUAAGAAAUAAAAUGAAACUACAAAAGGCUCAGAUUUUUGGAUGAGUGAAGGGAAGAUGAGAAGAUGAAAUGCAGAAAGUCAAGAAAUGAAUAAACCAAUAUUAAUAAUCUUGGACCCACAGCUCUAAUUUGGAUUAAGCAUCCAUCUACCUAUGUGGAUAAUAUUUUUGCUAACUUUUCAGCCAUGCAGCAGGAUCAUGUUCGUCCUGUUUUAUUUGAUAGAAGGAAUUUUCCCCUGGAAGAAAAUGAUGAGUCGUUUCAACGUCAUGCAACUGCCUAGACUGCAUGGAAUUUCACCAGACAAUGACAAUUUAUUCUCAGAUAUAUCUAACGCCCCCACAUUUGCCAAAUUUGAAGGCGUCCGUUUUGAGACUGAUAAAAACGUUUUCCAAAAAUUCGGGAUUCAGGUCGAUCAGACCGGUUAUGUUUUGCAAAACUUGUAAAUUUUCAGUGAUCAAAAUUCAAAACUUUGCAAAUAGGUCAAAAUAUGAAAAAUACUUGAUAUAUUAUUGAAUACUCAUUUUGUUUUGCAUUAAUAUACGGCUGUGGGUGCUAUCUAGUUCUAUUAGUAAAAUUCCUUGGGUUGAAAACAAGAAAACUAGCAUUUGAAACUCACCCAUAUGGAUGGGAAAGAAAUUUAGUUACCAUUGGAUUAAAAAAUAAUAAUAACAAUUAGAAAAAAAUUGUAAGGCUUCGACAAGAUUUGCUAAUCAUGUAUAGAUUAAUAUGAAGAUUAAGAACAUCACCUAAGCCAAUUAUUGAAAUUGAAAUUUUAGGAGAAAAAUUUAUGUGGGUUUGGCCACCAAUUUAGCAUUAGGAACUUAUUGUUUAGGAAGCUAUGGUGGGUUUCGUAGUGGGACUUAUCCUCUUUAAUGCAUAUGGUGAUUUUAAACCAACAUUUAUAUAAUCCCAUUAUAAAACUCAUCAAACCUUCUAAAAUAACUCGUUGAGAUAGUGUGCUAGAUCCAUAUAAAUAUUUCUCCAACUUCUUAGCUUGAAGCGAUAUUCAUUUCCAUUGAUAGUUUAAUGGGCAAAGCCUUUUGAAUUCUCCAGGUUAUCAAGUUAUUUUUUGCUGGAAAAUGCAAUCCGGAUAUGAAUAGAUUUUUUUGUGCAAUCAAAUUUUCUAUGUUGACGCAUCCUCUAGAACUUUCAGUAAAUUUUAUGGAGAAGCUUUAAUUUCUUAGUUGUUGAUUUCGAAUAAAAAAUUAAACUUAACUUUAAAAUUACAGUUGUAAUUAUAAAAUAUUUACUGAAUACAUUAGUGUUAAUACUACAAAUUGUUCCAUUAAAAGUCUCUCAAAAAGGAAGAAGUGACUUAAAAAAUUAAAAGAAUGCAGGAGCUGAAGUUGGCAAUUUUGUAAAUUGCAAUGGCAAUUGUGGGCUAGUAAAAUCCCUCAAUGAGUCACAGCACUAGCAAUUUCGUAAUAUACAUUAGUGGCAAUUUUGUAAAAUUGAAGUUGUGAUAGUUUUGCAAAUAAAAGUAAAAGCUUUUUGCCUAAAUUCGGCUGAGCUAAAAGCCAGCUUAGCCCACACUCUCCUUCGCCACCGGUUGACGAGCUCUUCCUUCAAUUUUUGAACUUGAAGUGAUGCCCCAUCGAUGUCCAGAAUUUUUAAAGUCAGAAUGAUGAUCCUAAUGAUUCUUUUUAGAUAGUCACCUGUACGUUGACGUGUUUAAUUGAUGUUUAUUUAAGCAGAAAUUGAAGUUUGAUCCCUGAUUAAUUAGAUGAGAACACACAUUCAUGAGUAAAUACUUAAAAUUAAAUUAAUCAAAAUAGUAUAAAUACAGGAGAAAAUCGAUCAUAUGCGUGCAGACAUCACAAUCGAAUUAUAUAUAUCACCGCCGCACAUAAAUUUGAUUCCCAUGAUAUGUGAUUAAUUAAUUAAUUUUUUUAAUAACAAUUAAAUUGUAAUGUCAAUUGUCCACAUAAGUUUUUUGUUUUUGUUGAUGAAAGUUAGUAAUUUUUUUCCAUCUUUUUAAAUAAAAGUUGUUAAUAAAUAUCAAGAAAAUAUUGGGACUUGAGAUCAGGGUCUACUUAAGUUAGAAUUUUUUAUUAGAAAAGCUAUAGCCAGCGAUGAAAAAUAAAGAAGUAACACAAGAUAAAGAGUAAAAUGAGAGAGCAUAUAUUAUAAAAAGAUUUUACCCAUUUCAAGUGUGCACCAAACAAAGAGACGAACUCUCAUUUUAUAGUUACAUAAUUAUUACAUGAAAUUAAUAAAAAUAUUAAGAAUUAUAAUUCCUUGCGAGAUAGUGGGAGUUAUAGAAAAGUCAAGAGUUGUUAGUGGAAGAUAGCAAGAAGAGUAAAAAAUAUAUGUUAUGAACAUUCACAUUUAUUUUAAUAAAUUUACAGUAUUUUUUUCGUUAAAUAAUAGGGUGUGGAGAACAAUUGGAAGGACUUUACGUGUGUUUAUAUAUUGACAUAAAAAUUGCAGGACGUGUAGUUUAGCGUUUCUUGGUUGUUCAGUGCUAGUUUUCUAAAUCUCGAGCGUGCGGGUUAUUUUUCGUUACCUUUAUCACCGAAAGGCUGUUUUAACCAACUAAGAACUAAAAGCUAAAACCCAAAACCCCCCUCUUGUUCUUUUCCAGGGACUUUACCUUGUCCUUGAUGGCCGAAAAGCAACUGGAAAUCCUCCGCGGGUACGAGCUGCGGCUCUUGCGCUGCACCCUCGCUCCCCCACCGUCCGAUCUUCGCAUUCAAUCGCAACCGUUGAACGAAGAAAGCCAAUGCUCUAUCCUUCCACUCCACGAGCACAUCAACAGCCUCAUCAACUCCAUCGAGUCCGGCCACUAUCUCCAGGCUCUGUCCUCCGACGAGGCUAAACACGCUCUCGACACGCUCGAUUUCGUCGACAUCAACGACUCAGCCGAGUGUGCCGACCGCGUCUACUCCGAGCUGCUCCAGCUUGUCGAAGCGUCUAUAGUGAACGAUUCCGAAAUUGACGUGGAUAAGGCUUGUCGAGUUAUUCUGCUCAUGUGUCUUUCAAUUGCUGCCCUUUUUUGGUUCACUCAGUGUAACGUGACUGGGUGAGUUUCUUAUUUAUAAAUUUUUAAAUAAUUGCAAUUAAUUAAUAAUAAAUAUUAGUAAAAAAUUAAUCAAAAAAAAGGUUUAGUGAUGAACCUUGUCGAGGUGCCUUCUAAUAGAAAAGAGCUCACGGCAAGAUGAAAUGCAAAGUAAGUUGUUUUAUGGUUGGGCGGUGUGUAGCCGUCUUGUUGAAGGCCAUAAGAUGUUAAGCAUAUUGCUGUUUAAUUUUUAAAUCAUUCUCAGUAAUAAUUCCUUUAGUAGAUUGAUGAUAAGAGAUUGCAUUGCAGAUGAUAACUGAGCACAAUUUCUGUAGUUGUAUCCCUGUACAUCCAUCUUAAUAUCCUCAUUAUAUUCACAUGCCUUUUACGGGUGUUAUUUCUGGAUGCAGAAUGCUUUGUUCCACGUCUGGAUACCAAAUGCUUUGUUCCACAAAGCUGAGCUGGUUGAAAAGCUAGCUGAUGAGGUCAACAUGUCCCUUAAGUAAUUUGAGGAUGAACACUGUGUUCCCGAAAGUCUUACUCUAAUGAUACUUAAAGAAGCAAUGAGAAUGGAUGUUGCAGCAGCUUUGCUGAACUCAACCCCAGUUCCAAAAAUGGAACAUGUGAAAAUGCAUUGUUUUUUUUUUUUUUUUUCUCUCUCUUUAUGACUUCUUUGGUUGGGAAUGUAUUAGAUAUUCACCUAAUCAGUAGGCCUUGAAGGGAUCCCAUGUUAGCCCCUUGAUGUUGGUCUGUAACUAAGUAAAUACUUGACCUUGAAAAAGCUUUUGGAGGCAUCAGUUCUCUCUGACUGUGUGCUACUUUUUGGAUCUGUUGAUUUGGUCAUUUGCUGAUUUAUAGUUAUUUUUCUGAUUCAGGAUGGGAUAUGGCUCCAUACAUAUAUAGGCAAUUGAUUCACAGCAGUCGUCAUGCUUCAUUGUAAUUAUAUAUACAAUACAGCAUCAGUUUUUCUUGAUUUUAAAUCUCGUAUUCUGAAGUGGUACUUCUGAUUCUCACAUGAUUUUUCCAUCUUUCAGCUAAAGUUUUUCUGUGAUCUCUUCCGUAUUAGAUGGGAGUUCACCCGUAGUCGCACAAAAGGGCGUGCUUUAGAGAUGAUGGACAAACUGGUAUGAUCUGUGAGCCUUUUCUUCUUAAAUAUUUUGUUACCUAAAUCAUUUUCAUUCAAAUUUACAAGAGUUGCCUAUGGAUCUAUAGAAGAUUCCAAACUUUCUGCAGCUAGUAGUUUCUUGGUUUCCGUACUGUCCAUCGGGUAAAGAUUGAAUGUGCAUCAUUUAUAAACUUGUCGGGAUCUUCCUUCUUAGCUUUGAGAUUGCUCCUGCAUAUAGGUAGAACCAAAGGCACAAAUGGUACUUGUUGCAAACACAAGCUCAUCCAACACUUCUGAUGUCUGCCCUUCAAUAAACCAAGUCAUUCAUACACAUGAUUCUACUAUUGGUGAUGCCUCUGAUGUUUUUGUGACCCCAAAAUUAUUGGGGAAUAGUCAUGAAUCUGAAUCUGGAGUCCAAUGCAUUCAUGCUGGUGGCUCAGCAGCCCAUUUAAAGGCAAUCCAACAGGCAGUGAUCUUGUCGAGGUGCCUUCUAAUAGAAAAGAGCUCACGGCAAGAUGAAAUGCAAAGUAAGUUGUUUUAUGGUUGGGCGGUGUGUGGUCCUCUUGUUAAAGGCCAUAAGAUGUUAAGCAUAUUGCUAUUUAAUUUUUAAAUCAUUCUCAGUAAUAAUUCCUUUAGUAGAUUGAUGAUAAGAGAUUACAUUACAGAUGAUAACUGAGCACAAUUUUUGUAGUUGUAUCCCUGUACAUCCAUCUUAAUAUCCUCAUUAUAUUCACAUGCCUUUCACGGGUGUUAUUUCUGGAUGCUGAAUGCUUUGUUCCACUUUUGGAAACCAAAUGCUUUGUUACACAAAGCUGAGCUGGUUGAAAAGCUAGCUGAUGAGGUCAACAUGUCCCUUAAGUAAUUUGAGGAUGAACACUGUGUUCCCGAAAGUCUUACUCUAAUGAUACUUAAAAAAGCAAUGAGAAUGGAUGUUGCAGCGGCUUUACUGAACUCAACCCCAGUUCCAAACAUGGAACAUGUGAAAACCAAAAAUGCAUUGUUUUUUUUCUCUUUAUGACUUCUCUAGUUGGGGAAUGUACUAGAUAUUCACCUAAUCAGUAGGCCUUGAAGGGAUCCCAUGUUAGCCCCUUGAUGUUGGUCUGUAACUAAGUAAAUACUUGACCUUGAAAAAGCUUUUGGAGGCAUCAGUUUCUCUCUGACUGUGUGCUACUUUUUGGAUCUGUUGAUUUGGUCAUUUGCUGAUUUAUAGUUUGUUUUCUGAUUCAGGAUGGGAUAUGGCUCCAUACAUAGAGACAAUAGAUUCACAGCAGUCAUCAUGCUUCAUUGUAAGUAUAUAUACAAUACAGCAUCAGUUUUUCUUGAUUUUAAAUCUCAUAUUCUGAAGUGGUACUUCUGAUUCCCACAUGAUUUUUCCAUUUUUCAGCUAAAGUUUUUCUGUGAUCUCUUACGUAUUAGAUGGGAGUCCACCCGUAGUCGCACAAAAGGGCGUGCUUUAGAGAUGAUGGACAAACUGGUAUGAUCUGUGAGCCUUUUCUUCUUAAAUAUUUUGUUACCUAAACCAUUCUCAUUCAAAUUGACAAGAGUUGCUUAUUUAUCGAUAGAAGAUUCCAAACUUCUGCAGCUAGUACUUUAUUGGACCCAAAAGCUUUUUUGCUUUUUCUAAGCUGCUAAUCAAGACUAGGUUUCUCUCCCUUAUAUCGCUAGAUAUGCCAUUAAUCGUUUGAUUUAAUUGUCUAGAGAGAUUAGAUACUUGCAUCUUUGCUUUUCACUUCACAAGUGAUUUCAUGUGCUAUCCUGUAUUCUGGUUCAAGAUUUUUGAUGGUUGCUUACUAUCAUAUUUUGCUUUGUUUCAGGUUGAGGGCAUUUCUAACUCUUCUCCCGGUGUGACUCAAAGUAUUCCCUUUUGUUAUGUGAUUUGCAUUCCAACUAUUCCUGCCCUGCGAAAGUAAAACUAUUUCUUCUGCAUCUUUGAAUGAUUGUGAUUUAAUUUUCUUGUCAUUUUGCCAACUAUCAUUAUGCUGUCAUUGUUUCAUAUCUUAUUUGACAUAUGUUGAUUUGGAUAGAUUUUAAUUGCUCUGUUUAUUCUCUUUAUAAUCUGUCUAUUUCGAUUUUUCUUCAUUUUAGGGAAUAUGCUAAACUUUUAGUAAGCCGUGGCUUGAUUGGAGAGGCUAUUAAAAAUUUUGAGGAUCUGGUGUUGUGGGAUAGUCUAAUACUGCAAUUGGUAUGAUGUCAUAGAUAACCAUUACCCUAAUCUCUCUGUCUAUCUCUCUCUCUCUCUCUUUCGUGUUGCUAAUGGGAGUUGGUUUUGUGUAUGAUGUAAAAAACAGCCUAUUGGGGAAGAAAGCAGCAGCUGUUGAACUAAUAAAAGCAAGGCUGUCUGAAAAGCCUAAUGACCCUACAUUAUGGUUUGUUGAUGAGCCUUUUCUAUGAUCCAUUUUAUAGUUACUUCUCAUUUCAGUUAAAUCCAUUGUUGAUGUCACUUAUUGCAAUCUAGGGAUGAUUGUUCAUUGGAUGUGAGGAUAUUGUCAGAAGAAAAUGAAACCUUUUAAUUUUAUCUUUUACUUGCUGUAGCCGACUUAAAAGGUCACUGUGCGUUCUUACUGAUUGCUUUUGGUCUUGCAUUUGAGUCAGUGGAUUUUAUACUCAUAUUCUGACAUGUAUUGUUAGCCUUCUGACGGUUCUGCACCUUGGUCCUAUAUUAUCUUCAGCAGUAUUAUCUAAAAGAUCAUUUUUUGCCGAAGAAUAUUUGCAUUCUAAACUAGAAAAGGAGGGGCCGCCCGGGCCCGGGGGGGGGGGGGGGGGUGUGUGUGUGUGAAGGAAGCAUCAGGAGGUUGUUUUCCACUUAUCCUCUUCCCUGCCUGCAUUUUAGAUGAUUCUGAUGCACCAGGUGCCGUGAAAUGGUUGAGAAAUACAUACCAUCAAGUGAAUUCUGAAAAUCAUAUCCUUUUUGAGAAUAUUUGGUGCUAGACAUUUGAAUAUGUGGCCACAAUUUAAACAAUAAAGAUUUUCUGCACUGAUUUCUUAUAAUGGAUAUAUGCAUGUAAUUAUAAUAUGAUAUCUUUUGAUUAUUGACCCAUUUGUUUAGAAAGAAGGGGAAAAAAAAAACAUGGUUGAAAGACAACUGUUACUUGACCUUAUCUUGGUCUGUUCACUGCCGUUUGUUUCCUAUAACUUCUGGUGAUAAUGUAGCCAGAAUGAUGAGUUGAAUUGUGGUUUACUGACUUGUGAUACAUUUUGUAGGUGUUCAUUUUUGUUUUCUAAAUUUGUUAUCUAAAGGAAUGACAAGUUGACAACUCAGCCUCUCUCUCUCUCUCUCUCUCUCUCUCUCUCUGUGUGUCUGUGUCAGGGAUCUGAUUUGUGGAAAGAAAGAGAUCGGUUUGAAAGGUUUUCAUAUGCAUCCUUGGAACUUUGUAAGGUUUACAUGGAAAUUUCUUCCUCUUCUGGUAGCCGUCAAGAACUCUUUGCUGCUGAGAUGCACCUGAAGAACGUACUUAAACAAGUAAAAUACCUUAUAAUUCGAUAUUUAAGACACUUACAGAUGGUAUUACAUUGACAGCAGUAAAACAAAGAAGCAACUGAAAGUUAUCUUCAUAUGAGAAUGAAAGCUUUUCAGCAGCAUAAGCCUUUCACUAUUCAAUUCCAAACACGUUCCUCAACAUGAUAACAAAUUCGUAGACCUUUUCUGGGUCUGGAAGGAUCCUGUAACAGUUUCUCUUUGCAUGCACUUGUUCAUCCAUGCUGAGAAUUUGGGGCACUCAUUCUCAACCUUAAAUCCCCCAAAUUCCUCAACCGCGUAAAACCAUCAAGUCAGUGGAAUGGCAAUCACAUCAACGAAUCCAAAGCUGUCCCCGCCAAAGAAAUCCUUCUCCCCUAAAGCUCCCUCAAGUUGCUUCAAAAUCUCUAUAAAUUCAUUCUUCGCCGGGGACCUCGCCCUUCGUUUUGCAUAUGUUGCAGACUGGAUCGAAUACCUGCCAAAAAAGUGGUGUCAUCUUUUAAGUUCGCAUUUAGAAAGAUACAAACAUUUACACUUGAGAAUUAUAGACUGACCUUCUUGUCAAUAAAAUCUGCCCAGAACCUUGCCUUAGCUCUCUCAGAAGCACAGGAUGGGAGAAGUGAUGGCGAAGGCCAAGUCUCGUCAAUUUAGUUGACUAUAAUAGUGGAUUAACACAAUGGUUCCCCAUCGUGCAGCAAAACUGGGACUUUCUUGUAGAUGGGGUUUGAUUUGAGCAACAGGUCACUCUUGCCCCCGAACAAGUUCUCAGCUCUGGCUUCAUAUCCAACUCCUUUCUCAGCCAAUGCAAUCUUUGCUCUCAAGCAAAAUGGGCUAACCCAACAGUCCAAAAGAACAACCUCUCCCUUUGACAUAUUCAACUAUCAAGGUUGGUAUUUAUAUAGGAGAAAAGAUGAAAUUCCCAAAGAUUGUGUCGCAAUCAAGGUUUGUUCGUUGGCACUUCGAUAAAGGAUGUGGCCUUGUUCUUAUCAUUUCUUAGUUUUUGAAGCUAAAUGUUUUACUUGGCUUUCAACAGGCACAAGAACAAGUUUGUCUUGUGUAAAUAAAAUAAAACCAUAAAAUUCCAUUAUUAGUGUAAAACCAAAAUAAUUAAAAUAAUAAAAGUGAGUUAGUCGUGCGUGUGGACCUCCUCUUUAUGAGUUUGUUAUCACACCAUAUUUGGUUUCUAUAAAUAAAAUAACUAAAACUCUCUUAUCUAAGUAAGAAUAUUGUUAUUUUGAAAUACCAACUCAAUCUCUAACAAAUCUUGAGAUAUAACUUAAGAUUCUUGAGCUUCCAAUAUAAAACAAGUAAGAUUAACAUAACUUUUUCACUUCCUUCCAUCAAAGAAGGGAAUAAGUUAUAUAAUUUAAUUUAUGUUUAAUUAAAUUAUUUUAAAUGGGUAAUAAUUAUAAAUUUUUCCACUUUAUUUAAUUAACUAGAUAAGACCAUAUUGUAAAUUCUUACAUUUAUCACUUUAAUCUCUUUCCUUUUUCAUUCCAACUCCGGUACAAACUAUUCCUUUUCAAAAAGUUGUACUCAAAUUGAUAAGUCUUGGAAGACCAAAACACUAUUUAAAAUUUAUUAUUUGCUUUAGUAGCUUUCAUGGGUGCAAGGUAAGGAACAAAACUCGGUGGAUUUUAUGACAAAAGCUUUAUCUUAUGUAGCACUUUUUUCGAUAUCUCGAACUUUACUCUUUAAGAAUGUUGUAUAAUAUUUCUACAAUAACAACAAACAAAUUAUAACCCUGAAAGAUCUAUAUACACCUCGAUCUCUAGCUAGUUCUCUACAAAAUAUGGCACUAAGUAACAAUGUAAUCGGAGCCAUCAACUUUGUUGCCGUACUUCUUUCAAUCCCAGUCAUCGGUGCCGGAAUCUGGCUUGCCACCGAGGCAGACAAUUCUUGUGUCAAGCUUCUACAAUGGCCAGUCAUUAUUUUGGGAAUCUUGAUUCUAGUCGUGGCUCUAGCAGGCUUUAUUGGAGGAUUUUGGCGCAUCCCUUGGCUCCUUAUACUUUAUCUCGUUGCCAUGCUCAUUCUUAUAAUAUUGCUGGCUUGUCUAGUUGUUUUCAUUUACAUGGUCACGAUUAAGGGCUCAGGUCACCUUGCACCCAGUAGAGCGUACUUGGAAUACCGCCUCGAUGAUUUUUCUGGAUGGCUACGUAGAAGAGUUCGAAGCCCUUACAAAUGGGAUCGGAUCAAAAGCUGUCUCAGCUCGACACAGAUGUGCCCUGAGUUGAACCAUGUAAAAAUGAGUUGCAAAUACUGUUUGGUUACUGAGAAACAGAGAGAAAAUUGAUGAAUAUUCCAGAUCUUAUUAUUUCAUUAAUUACAAAUGAGUAAAUCACAAGUCUUUAUACUUGCAUUUCAUUAGUAAAAGCUAUUAACGAAACUGAUCUGUAUUAACUAACUAAUACUAACUAACUAAUCACGCGAACUCUCAUUGCUGCAUAACAGAAUCAGCUGACUCAGCAUUGUUGACGUGGCAUUGCUGACGCACCUUAGCUUCUGACUUCUUCUCUCUUCUUAGCUCAGCACAAUGAGCUUUCUUCACAGCCCCUCUCAAACUCAAGGGGCAUAAAUGCACAUUGAGUUUGUUCCUCAGAUAAAUGAACUGAGAAGAGUUUAAGGGCUUAGUCAUUAUGUCUGCUAUCUGUUCUGUACUAGGAACAUAUAGAAUCUUAAGAUCUCCAGUUAGAACCUUAUCUCUGAUAAAAUGCAGAUCGAUUUCUAUGUGUUUUGUUCUUGAGUGAAACACUGGAUUAUGAGCAAGAUCUUUGGCACUUACAUUGUCACACCAUAUAACUGGUUUCUCCACACGACAUAGAUUAAUCUCAAGAAACAAAGAUUUUAUCCAUGUUAUCUCUGAAACAGCUGCUGCAAGUGCUCUGUAUUCACUUUCUGCAGAAGAUUUUGUAACUACAGAUUGCUUCUUUGAGGACCAUGAGAUUAAGUUGUUUCCUAGGUACACACAAUAUGCACCAGUGGAUCUUCUGUCAUCAAGAUCACUUCCCCAGUCUGCAUCUGUAAAUGCUGUAACCUUCAGCUCACCUUUCUUAACAAAUUUCAGCCCAUAGUCUUGUGUUUCCUUCAGAUAUCUAAGCACACGUUUGCAUGCCAUAAGAUGUUGAAGUGUUGGUGAAGAUACAUACUGACUUAGCUUAUGAACUGAAUAGGCAAUUUCAGGUCUUGUCAAAACUAAAUACUGAAGACCUCCUACAAUGCUUCUGUAAUGAGAUGGAUCUUCUAUGUAAUAACCCAUUUCCCCUUCUAUAUUCUUCUGCAAUCUGUAAUCUUUGCUGCUGCUCAUUGGUGUAUCUAUUCCUUUACACUCGAGCAUAUCAGCUUUAGCCAGCAAGUCUCUGAUAUACUUCCUUUGUGAUAGAUACAUACGGCCAAGAUCAUACAAAACUUCAAUUCCAAGAAAAUAAGAUAACUUUCCCAGAUCCUUUAAUGCAAAUGCAGAACUGAAUAGCUUGAUAAAAUCUUCCAGCUCAUCACAAUUUGAUCCUGUAAUCAAUAUGUCAUCCACAUAUAUCAGGAUUAAAAUAAUUGAUCUUUUAUUCUUUUUCAAGAACAAAGAUGAGUCAGACUUAGAAUUCUCAAAUCCCCAUUGCACAAGACUGUUUCUCAGCUUGUCAAAACAUGCUCGUGGAGCUUGUUUCAAACCAUAAAGUGCCUUGUGAAGCUUGCACACAAAAUCAGGUCUUUUGGAAUCAAUAAACCCUUCUGGUUGACUCAUAUACACCUCCUCAAUUAAAUCUCCAUUUAAGAAUGCAUUAUUCACAUCAACCUGUCUUAUUUGCCACUGAUUCAUUACUGCUAGACUCAGGACUAUUCUAACUGUUGCUGCUUUCACCACUGGACUGAAAGUCUCAAAGUAGUUCACUCCUUCUAUUUGCUGAAAUCCUUUAGCAACCAACCUUGCCUUAUAUUUUGCAACACUUCCAUCAGUAUUUGAUUUCACUCGAAAUACCCAUUUGUUGCCAACAAGUUUGUGAUGUUCUGUUCUUGGCACAAGUGUCCAGGUACCAUUUGACAUUAGUGCAUCAUAUUCAGCUUUCAUUACUUGAAACCAUCUCUCAUCAUUGAUAGCCUCCUGAACUGUAUCUGGUUCUUUAUGCAACAAUACUGCAGUAUAUACCUUUGGCUUAAAGAUACCUGCUUUCCCUCUAGUGAUCAUGGGGUGUUGGUUUAGUGAUGGUGAGGUUGUCAUUGUUUGAUUGAGAUGAGGGAUAUUGUUAUUGUGUUGGUUUUGUGAAUUUUCAUUUGAGGGCUGUUCUAAUGUUGUGUCAGGUAUAGAAGGUAACAUUAUAGGUGCAGAUGGAUUAUUUCUGUCUGUGUUUGAGGGUUGUUGAUCUGUUACCUGUGUUGAGACUACUGUUGAAGGAAAAAUGUUGCCACUGGAGUAUGCUUGAGAGAAAGAUUCAUUGCUGGUGACUGAAAAAUCUGUUAUGACAGGUAAUGUUGAUAACUGGAAAACUUGUAUAGGAGUAAUUGUGCAAUAUGUAUCAGACUUAGAUUUAUUUGAAUUAUGAAAGCUAGGAUCAGCUGCAAAUGGAUAAGAGUGUUCAUCAAAGACAACAUGCCUAGCUAUAUAUAUAUGUCCAGAGGGGUGAUAACACUUGUAGCCUUUAUGAGAUGGACUAUAACCAAGAAAAAUGCAUUUGGUUGUGUGAUAGUCAAACUUGUGCUUAUUGUAAUCUCUCAGAUAUGGAUAACAAGCACAUCCAAAGCAUUUCAGCAUUUUAUAAUCAGCCUUGUGUUUAUAAAGCUUUUCAUAUGGAGUAGACAUCUUAAGUGCAGAAGUAGGGAGUCUAUUAAUGUGAUAGACUGAGGCAUGAAAAGCAUCCCACCAGAAUUGAAAAGGGAGUUUGGCUUGAGCUAGAAGUGUCAGUCCUAAUUCUACAAUUUGUCUGUGUUUUCUUUCAACAAGUCCAUUCUGAUGAUGAGUGUAAGGGCAAGAGUGUCUAAAGAGAAUGCCACAUUCAUUUAGAAAGGCAGUAAAUGGUCUGUAUUCUCCCCCCCAGUCAGAUUGUAGAAUUUUGAUAGAAGUUUGAAAUUGUUUUUCAACUUGAAGUUUGAACAGCUUGAACACUUCUAGAGCUUCUGAUUUAAGUUUCAAAGGAUAAAUCCAGGUGUAUCUGGUAUGAUCAUCCACAAAGCUAAUGUAAUAUCUAAAGCCAUCUCUAGAAUAUGCUGGUGAGGGACCCCAUAGAUCAGUGUGAACAAGUUCUAGAGCUGAUGUGGAUUUGAUAUCAGUGAUUGGAAAAUGAAGUUUAUGAAAUUUUCCUAGUUGACAUGCUUCACAGAAAUGCUUUGUAGCUUGAUUAACAAUAUUUGUAGAGCACAAAUUGGGAUGCACAAGCUUAAGCAAAUGAAUUAGACUUUGAGUAUUAGGAUGACCAAAUCGUUUGUGGAGUAAAGACAUUUUAUUGAAUGAAUUAGUGCUACAAGUAUUCUUAUUUGACUGAAAACAUUUUCCAGAACAAGAACUAUUAACUGAAGUGCUGAAAUAACACUGAGAUAGCAUGGACACAGGCUUAUUUAUUGAGCUCUGAGAUAGAAAAGAGGUAAAUGUAGAUUGUGAUGAUGAACUCAGCUGCAAUUUGUAUAAACCUUUCUCAGCAAUACCCAGUAGCAGAAUUUUCCCUUUCAGUAUAUCCUUCACAAAGCAAACAGAACCAAGGAAUUCAACAGAUAAGUCAUUAUCAGUGGUCAGUCUAGAAACACUUAUUAAAUUCUUUGUAAUAGAUGGAACAAGCAGUAUAUCUUUAAGUGCAAUGCAUGUACUUGCAUAUUGUAUUUUAGAGCUUUGAAUUGUAAGAUUGGCAUUACCAACAUGUGUGAUUGACAAACCUUUACCAUCACCAAUGAUAAGCUUGUCAUUACCUCUAAACUCAUUGCUGACAUGCAUAUUUGCCAUACUAUUUGUUAGAUGAUGUGUAGCUCCACUGUCAAGGUACCAUCCUUCAUCUGUUGGUCCUUCAAAGUUAGCAGCAUAAGCAGCUCCAGCUCCACUCACAGGUGAGCUCAUUGAGUCAGAUAUGUAUGAAGAAUAUGGUGUAUUAUACACGUGAGGUAUCCCUGAAUAAUCAGCUGCAGCAGGCCAUGAAUCUUCAGUAGGUGCAUUAAAAUAUGUCAUAUAGGCUGAUCUCUGAUUUCUUCCUCUUUUCAUGUGUUGAGGUAUAUAAUUUUCUUCAAACCUAUGCCAACAUUCUACUGCUGUGUGUCCAGAUUUAAAACAGAUCUGACAAACAACAGUCUGUUCCUCAUUACCAUCAGAAUUCGACAAACCAGAAUUAACACUAUAUUGUCCUCUCAUGAAUUGUGCCUGCUUAUUAUUGUUUCCAAUCAUUUGACCUCUGCCAAGAUUAUUACCAAGAUUUCCAGAUCCAGAGGGAAAGCCUCUUGGAUGAGAAUUGAUAAACAUUCCUCUUCCAGUAUGAAAAUUGUUUCUUCCAAAUUGAUUUCCACCAUGAAAUCCUCCAUUAUAUCCACCUCUUCGAGCACUACCUCUUGUUUGAGCAUAAUAAGCAUUCAUCAUACCAUAGCCAUUAUUAUUAUGAGAAACAUUAGCAAGAUUUGCAUUGAACAUCUGUUUUUCAUUUAGACUCUGUUCUAAUCUUGUUUCAUGCGUGAGCAGCAAUGCAUAGGAAUCAUCAAAAUCUAGCUUACUAGCAGUAAUGAAAGUUGCUAAAUCUAGAUAGCCUGGUCCAAGACCAUUAAGGAUCUGUUGUAACAGAUCUUUGUCAGAAACUGGACUACCAGCACAGGCUAAUUUAUCUGCUAUUUGUUUCAUUUUCAAACAAUAAUCUUCUACAUUUAGUGAAUCUUUUCUCAAAACACUCAUCUCAUAUUUGAGUUGAAGAACUCUAGCUUCAGAUUUUGCACCAAACUUUUUCUCCAAUGUUUUCCACACAUCAUAUGCAGUAUUACAAGAAUGAACAUGACUGAGAAUACCUUCAGUGAUUGAGCUUAAUAGCCAGCUUAGUAAUGUCUGAUCCUGUGACCUCCAGAUUAUAUAUUCUGGAUUUUCAACUUGUUGUGUAACUCUUCCCAUUGUUUCAGCAUAGCUUCCUGAAGUAAGAAAUUGAGUAGGUGCUGCCUUUUCUCCAUUGAUGUAGCCUUCAAGUCUGUUUCCUCUUAUAGAAGCUAAUACUUGAUUUCGCCAGAGCAUAUAAUUGGAUCUAUCCAAUUUGAUUGGCGUAAUGAAUGAGAAGGUAGUUUGUAUUGAUUGAUUCAUGUUUGUUGUGUUUGGAUUUGUGUUUAAAUUGCUUGAGCUUACCAUAUUUCUGGCUCUGAUACCAUGUAAAAAUGAGUUGCAAAUACUGUUUGGUUACUGAGAAACAGAGAGAAAAUUGAUAAAUAUUCUAGAUCUUAUUAUUUCAUUAAUUACAAAUGAGUAAAUCACAAGUCUUUAUACUUGCAUUUCAUUAGUAAAAGCUAUUAACGAAACUGAUCUGUAUUAACUAACUAAUACUAACUAACUAAUCACGCGAACUCUCAUUGCUGCAUAACAGAAUCAGCUGACUCAGCAUUGUUGACGUGGCAUUGCUGACGCACCUUAGCUUCUGACUUCUUCUCUCUUCUCAGCUCAGCACAAUGAGCUUUCUUCACAAACCAGAGUUAUAGGAUGGCUCAAGAUUUCUUCAAUGCACAUAUUACCCCUUUACAGGUAAUUAUAAUUAAUUAAGUUCUCGAUUACCAUUAAUUUUAUUUUAUUUUUUUCCAUUAAUUUCUAGAAAUUAAGAUUUAUUAGAACUCUAAAGUUAAAUUCUGAUUAAAAUUUUAAUUUUUAACGUACACAUUCCUCUUUAUAAUUAUGACCGUACGUAAUUUUAUAGCAGAGGAUAAUUCCUACCCAUUAAUUAAGCUAACCCACACGCCCAUGGAACAAUGAAGAAGUAGCUAAUAAAGUAAAAACACUGUAUUAGAUUCGGAAAACCAAGUUUCAAAUCUUCUUUUCAAAAAUAUUCUUCGUCUUUAUCUUUAUUGCGUGCCUUUGUGCUUUUUUUUUUCUAUUUAUUUAUUUUUCUUGUUUACAGUCUGGAUGUUGUAAGCCUCCGACAGAGUGUGGUUACACAUUUGUAAACCCAACAUAUUGGAUAAGUCCAAUUAACAACGCGGCGGACAUGGAUUGCCUACAGUGGAGCAAUGACCAAAUGCAGCUUUGCUAUAAUUGUGAUUCAUGCAAAGCAGGAUUACUUGCUAAUCUGAAAAAGGAGUGGAGAAGAGUAGAUAUCAUAUUACUCGUUACUCUUGUUGCUUUGAUAUGGGUUUAUCUGAUUGGAUGUUGUGCUUUUAGGAACGCCAAAACUGAAGACCUCUUUCGCAAGUACAAGCAAGGCACUUACACGUAAUUGUUAGCUGCACGUAAACUCUCUUUGAUAGUAAUAUUAAUGUGUAAUUAGGGACUGGCUUGAAUUGUUAUUUUGAUAAUUUUAUGAAUUUUUUGUUUAAGAUCCGUCUUCUUGGUUACUUACAUUUGGUUAAAUUAUGUGUGGGGUUUGAUUUGAUGACGACAUAAUCUUGAGUUGUGCGUGCGUGAUUUGUGGAGGGCGCCGAAAGUAGGUGGCUUUUGAAUAUUUGCUUUUUAAGGAGAAGGGAUUUCGCACUUCCGCUCCCUGCUUGCUCGCAUAGGGCAUUAAUUGUAGCUUUGAAAAAAGUUCUGCUUCAGCAUGCGCAAAAGUCAAAGAAAUGGGACAUGUGCUCAUGCAUUAUGCAGCCAGCAUAUGGGUGAUAGCAGACGUAUUUAAUCUUUUAGUCUUUGUUGACAACUCAGCCUCUCUCUCUCUCUCUCUCUCUCUCUCUCUCUCUCUCGCUGUGUCUCUGCGUCAGGGAUCUGAUUUGUGGGAAGAUAGAUAUCGGUUUAAAAGGUUUUCAUAUGCAUCCUUGGAACUUUGUAAGGUUUACAUGGAAAUUUCUUCCUCUUCCAGUGGCCGUCGAGAACUCUUUGCUGCUGAGAUGCACCUGAAGAACGUCCUUAAACAAGUAAAACACCUUAUAAUUCGAUAUUUAAGACACUUACAGUUGGUUUAAAGAUUGCAUUUUCCGUUUCUGUUUUUGACUGGUUCAGGGUAAAACUUUUUCUCACUGUGUUAGAGUGCAUUUCUGUUAUUAUAUAGUACCUGUCAAAAUUUUCCAUUCCAAUUAGUUACAGAGUGAAUUCUGUAAGGUGUGGCGCCCCCUUGAAGGCCAGGAGAGCCGUGUUUAGGGCUUAUCACCCCUCCAAGGUGUAAUCCCUUGUAUCCCUGUAGCUUAUACCAGAGGUCCGGAGUACUGCAGACUUGUGGAGAUACGGGGCUAUGAGUUUCCAUCUUUCGGACAUCACAACACUUGUUCUGGAGAAAUUAUGGGUUUAUUUCAGAACAGAGGAAGGUUACUUCAUUAAGAGGAAUGAGAGAUUUACAAUACACUAGAUUUAGGCUCCAAGACUCGAUGCCUAGAUACAAACCAAGGGUUCCCUUUUAUAGGCACAAGGGAACCACUAUUACACACUGUAGUCAUUAUUGAUCCUUAUCUCUAAGGAAUCUAUUUUACAACUCACUCCUUACUUUAUGUCACACUCAUACUCUCAUCCUUAUCACAAAGGAUGGUACACAAUACAUACGAAUACAAAUACAUAUAUUAUUAUUAUUAGAGAUACAAAUACAUAUAUUAUUAUUAUUAAAUAUACAAAUACAUAUACGAAUACAAAGGAUGGUACACAAUACACUCUGAUAAUAAUAAUAUAUGUAUUUGUAUUCGUAUGUAUUGUGUAUCAUCCUUUGUGAUAAGGAUGAGAGUGUGAGUGUGACAUAAAGUAAGGAGUGAGUUGUAAAGUAGAUUCCUUAGAGAUAAGGAUCAAUAAUGACUACAGUGUGUAAUAGUGGUUCCCUUGUGCCUAUAAAAGGGAACCCUUGGUUUGUAUCUAGGCAUCGAGUCUUGGAGCUUAAAUCUAGUGUAUUGUAAAUCUCUCAUUCCUCUUAAUGAAGUAACCUUCCUCUGUUCUGAAAUAAACCCAUUUUGGUAUCAGAGCCAUAUUUCCCAAAAGGAAACCCCUGGGUGUGCAACAAUAUUAUGCUCUGUGGUUGCCGAAACACUUCGGAUCCUCCACAUCAGAAAGUUGUUGAAUACUGAUCUACCUGUCAAAAUUUUCCAUUCCAAUUAGUUACAGAGUGAAUUCUGUAAGGUGUGGCGCCCCCUUGAAGGCCAGGAGAGCCGUGUUUAGGGCUUAUCACCCCAAAGAAAACCCUUUGUUUUCUCUUAGCCAUGGAAAACUCAAACAGUAAUAGAUCUGGAAACCAAACAGUUUCUGACCAAGGAUCCACUUCGGCUAUCAGAGUUCUAACUGAUAGUUCACCCUCUAUAAACUUCCAUUACGAAACCCAAGAGGAUGAAAGCAGUGAGAGAGCGGUUCAGUCCUUUAGACUUGAUCCGUUAGAUCCCUAUAGAUACUACCAUAUCAAUUCUACUCUUAAUCAAUUAAGAGCCAUAAUUCCUAUUAGACAACCCAAGCUUAAAACCAUCUAUAAAUCCUCUGAGAUUACUGUCCAGUUCAUCUCCUCCAGUUCUAAAGAAACAUACCUUCCUAUAAUCUCUACCAAUGAGGUUACAAGGUAUAAGCUACAGGGAUACAAGGGAUUACACCUUGGAGCAAUCUAGAUAGGAAUACAACCAUUGUUCCUAGCUGGAAAAGAUAUCACAUGCUUCAUUGCCAUCCUUGACACUAGAUGGCAAACUUUUGAGAAAGCCUUGAUCACUGCUGUCGAAGCAGGACUCAACCAAGGUCAUGUUGUUCUCCAAGUUGAACCCAACUUCACCCUUGACAUACACAAGCCAUUUCUCACAGAUGCCAUUAAGGUAUUAAUUCAGGUCAAUGGUCUAACCAUAAAACCUGAUGAAUCUGCCUUGGCAAUUCACCACACCAUGACCUAUAAAGUCCAAACCCAUCUGUUCUCUAUGAGCAGCUCUGGCAGGCCCAUUACCAGAUUUCUUGCUGGUGAUGGCAGAGUCUUUCAACCUCGGACUUAUAGGCAAAAUCAGCUCAUUUUUCUACCUCAAUGGAUCAAUGAGUAUGAAAAAAACAGCAAGCCUCAACAAAUCCAUGAGGUUCCAAAGAUAAGCCGGUUACAAGAAGGAAGGGUAUCAGUCUCUUUUCCCACUGAGACUAAAGCCCUCUAUCCAUGUGAAAAAUGCCAGCUUGAAGGAAGGCAUCCCUCCUUGUGCACUCAUAUGCCAAGAAGAAUCACCUCCUGCAGAAUCAUGGGUCCAAUUAACAUGAUCACCACUCCGGAUCUUGAUAAUGAAUUCCUCAAGGAUAUUCCUGGAGGAAUGUAUGUUGCCAAAUGGGUAAUACAAAAAACCAACCCAACUGAAUUUGGCCCAAUUGAGAAGGCGAUCAACUGGUCAAACAUCAAUGCUGUUGAACAGAACCAAGCGUUGGGAGACAUCAUGGUUACCCAACAGCAAAUUCUUGCUGACUUAGCUGUUAUCAGAAAACAGCUAAAGAAAACCAGAAAACAGCAUAAGGUGACUACCCAGCAGUUUUCCCAAAUGCAUGACAGUGCCUCCAGAUCUAUCAACAUGAUCGUAAUGACCGGAGCUGCAGAUGAGGACGGAAUGAGAAGAACCAGAGAAAGCUAUCAAAGGACAAAAGUGUCCAGGCACUGGAAGAGCAAGCCCACAAAGCCAUGGCAUGUCUGGGAAGAAAAUGCAUCUGGCAACUGUCAAAAGGCAUUUUGGAGAAGCUAUGCUCCACCUCCACAAUAUCCAUGGCCCACUAAGGCUACAGGAUGGGAUGAGGAUAAAGAUACGGAUACUGAAACAAGUAUCUCCUCUGAUGACCAGAUCCCUCUUAUACCAAUUCUUAUGCAAAGAGCAAAUCCUCCAAAUCCAUUCUAUGUGGAUACUCGAGCUAGAUUUGCAGCAUCCACACCAACACAGGGUCAAACCUCUGAUCCUACAAGACAAGAGCAAACUCAACACCCAUCAGGAACAACCCAGUUCACUGCCCCAGAAUUCGCUAAUCCUGCUGCCCAACCAGAAGCAUCUGGAGUAGAAUCCACAAAUCAAGAAGACAGGGCACCACAUAUUGAUGAGGUAAAUCAGGGAGACGAAUGGGAAACCCGUGUCCAACUUGGGCAUUCUACGACGGGAAAAAUGUUCUGGAACAUCGAUAGAAUGAAGCCAAAAGAAAUAUUGGCUUACUUUGAAAAGAUGGUAGCUUGGUAUGAAGGAGAAUGCCAACGAACUCCCCAGUUGAGCAGAAGAUCGGCAGCAAUGAGACUUGUUGCAGGAUUCGUUGGAUCAUUGAGAAGAUGGUGGGGAAGAAAGCUCAGCAGAGAACAAAAGGAAUUCAUACUCAGCAGAGAAGACCCUUGUGGAAGCUUGGUAGAAAAUCUAUCCUUGGAUUUUCUCGGCCAACACACAAGAGAAGAAGAAGUAGCUGAAAAACAAUUUCUCCAGAACAAGUGUUGUGAUGUCCGAAAGAUGGAAGAGUACUACCUAGAGCAAGAAAGGUUGUACUACAUCUUUGACAAACAAACUGACACCAUCCACAGAACAUUCGUGCUAAACAUGCCAGGCCCAGUAGCGGAAAUGAUGGAGGCUAAAUUCAAAGCUGAUGCAAUUGUUGAUUUAGCACAGCUUAGCCUUGCUCAGCUCUAUCAGAUAUCUAUGGAGCUGAUCCAAAGUCAUUGCAGAUCUCAAGACUUAAGAAGGCACAUGAAGCAGAUUGAGAAAUCCUCUCUGCAAAAAUUCUGUAAUGAGGAACCAAACAAAUUUGGUUGCCACCAUACAGACAAAAUGUGCUCUUGCAAGAACAACAGGCAGAAAAGGCCAAAGAAACCCUGGAAGCCCUACAAAGGAAAGAAAUACCGUUUCAUCAAAAAACGAAAACAAAAGAAAGGCUCGGGGAGAUGUUUCAUUUGCGGAAAGAAAGGUCACUAUGCCAAACAGUGCAAAUCCAAGAAAAGACUUCCAGCAAAACUUCUCCAGAUGAUCCAGCAGGAAGAUUUUGAUGAUGACAUCUAUACCUGGUCAGAUAGCCCUACGGUGUUGUAUACACAAUGGAUAAAUAUCCUCUUUCAGACGACGAUGAUACAGAUUCUCUUUCUAGCACUGACAGUGAUUCUGAUGAUGAUCCUGUCAUGACCAUCCAUGAGCCUCUCCAAGCUAACCUGGCAAUGGCCCCUGCCUCUCUCUUCAGACCACAUAUAAAGGUUAUCCUCAACCCAUCUGAGGAUAAACAGGUAGCACUCACUGCUCUUAUUGACACUGGAGCAAUGUGCUCAUUCAUUCGAGAAGCUUGUGUUCCUUCCACCUUUUAUGUUCCUACUAAGGUCUCGUUUGGCUCCGCUAGUGGAAGUAACUUCUCCAGUAAAAAGAUUACCCGGCCUAUAGAAAUCCAGCCCUUUAUGAUAAGGCAUGGCUUCUUUGCCUUUGAUUAUUCAGGCGAAGAUAUCUUGCCAGGCACCGACUUUUUAAGUCUGAUUGCCCCUUUUGCCUUCUUUCCCGAUGGCUUCUCUUAUACCAUUCGGAAUCCUCACACGGGCACCACUAACACUUUCUGGGUACCCUGGGUUGAAAAACAAUCCAUUUUUGGGGAGGGUGGAAAACUACAAAAUUACACCAUCCAUAAAUAUGAACCCCAAAUUAAAGAACUCCUUGAAUGCUGUGCAGAAGUGCCAAACCAGUUUUGGGCUAGAGAACAACAUUUUGUGUCUCUACCAUACAAGGAUGGAUGGACCAUGCCUCACCAGACGGCCUCUCAUCCAGGCAUUCCUCAUGACGAAGAACUAUGCAAAACAGAGAUCCAGGCUCUUAUGGAUCUAGAGCUCAUCAGGCCCUCUAAGUCUCAUUGGGCUAGCCCAGCAUUUUAUGUCAACAAGCAUUCAGAACAGAUACGUGGAAAAAAGCGAUUGGUAAUUCACUACAGAAAACUGAAUGAUUGCUUGCAGGACAUAAGAUACCCCAUUCCACGGAGGACACACAUUUUAAAACGCAUUGCUGGUGCAAAAGUGUUUUCAAAGUUUGACAUGAAGUCAGGCUUUUGGCAAAUUGGGAUUAAAGAAGAAGACAGACACAAGACAGCAUUUGUGGUCCCCCACGGGCAUUAUGAAUGGAAUGUGAUGCCUUUUGGCCUAAAGAAUACACCGUCAGAAUUCCAAAACAGAAUGGAUGAGGUGUACAAAUCUAUCUCAGGAUUUUGCCUUAUCUACAUUGACGAUGCUCUUAUCUUCAGCAACAGUGAAGAAGAACAUGCUGAACACCUGUCCCAAUUCAAGGCACUAACCUAUAAACAUGGGUUAGCUUUGUCAGAAUCCAAAAUGAAGAUAGGCCUUGAUGAGGUGGACUUUCUAGGAUUACACAUCAAGCAGAGAUUCAUCAUUCCUCAGCCACAUAUAGCUGAAAAAAUAUCCCAAUUCCCAGACCAGCUGUCAACCAGAAAGCAGAUCCACCAGUUCCUCGGGAUAAUCAACUAUGCAGCAGACCAUGUGCAGGAUCUGUCAAAGAUGACGAGAGUCAGAUAUCAAAGCACUUAAAGAAGAGUGCCCCACAAUGGUCGGAAGACGCAACAAAAGCAGUGACAGACUUAAAGCAAAAGUGCCAGUCACUUCCACCAUUAAAGAUACCUGACAAGGGACAGCUCAUCCUCCAGACAGAUGCAAGUGACCAUUAUUGGGGAGCACUGUUGAUAGAGGAAUCCGAGGGAAACAGAAAAGUGUGUGGCUAUAAAUCAGGCCAGUUCAACGAUGCUCAAAGCCACUACCCCUCCUCCAAAAAAGAAGUCUUAGCAGUUGUCAAAGGGAUCAAAAACUUUCAAUUCUUUCUUUCACUAACUCCCUUUGUGAUUGAAACAGACUACAAAUACCUACAGGGAUUACUCAGGAGAAAAGAAGGAGAAAUACCAGAUCCACAGCUUGCAAGGUGGUCUGAGUCUCUCUCGAGAUUCAAGUUUGAAGUAAAGCACAUCAAAGGAGAAUCCAACACUGUUGCGGAUUUCCUUUCCAGACCGAUCACCAUGAUCAAAAGAAGAAGCCUUCCAAAAAGAUGGGACGAAGGCAGUUCUAGUGCUCACGCAGCCCGAGCACACUUUCUCAAAGAUCUUAACAUCUUCAUUGCUUGGCUUCCUUCGGAAGUUCAAGAUGACAUCUUUGAGAAAGUCAUCUGCCACAAAAGAGAUCCAGAAGAUCAAGCUCUGACAUGGCGGGUAUGGCAGCUCAUGGCCAUGCAGGAACACAGACCUGCCCAUAACAAACAAUGUCAAAGAGCUUUUGAUCCACAUCCAAAUCCUGACCAGAUGCAUGAAACGGUCUUCAAGGUCGGUUGCACCUUCCACUAUGUAAUAGACGAGAACUCCAACUGGGGUCACUAUGUUAUCUGCGAUAUAACCCCUCAAGCCUAUUACAUAACUUGGUACUGGCCCAACAUUUACCCAGUGGCAAUCCUGUUUGAACCACAUCUGAUCCAUACCAGCAGGAGAUAUGGGAAGGGAAGAUGGUUCGACCGAAUGUUCGCUCCUAUCUUCGAAGACAUCCUAACACUCCGGCUAAUCAACGGAUAUCACAUCACUCACUCUACUAUAGUGAUUGUGAAACUCACAGAUAUCUGGGGAAGAUACAAGCAGCCUCUUGUGCAGGUGGUCCAGCAUGACCUCAACCAUGAAGAAAUUGAUUCCAUGUGGACAGGCUGUUGGAAUGCUAGAAAAGCUUUAGCUGAGGUAUACGGAACUAUUCCAAUGUAUAAUACUCAUAGCCCCGUAUCUUCACAAGUCUGCAGUACUCCGGACCUCUACUACAGAGAGGAGAUCAGGAAUCUCAAGCUUCAUGGAGAAGAAGAUGAAGCAGCAGACUUGCAGCAGUGGUAUAAUGAUUACCUCACUCGCCAUGGCAGGCCAAAAGAAGUCACUUAUCUGGACACUCCAGAUAUUGAAAGAUGGAGGAACGAGCUUGAAGAAAUGGCCCAUUGGCUAGACCUCCAAGAUUGGCCCCAACCUGAGUUAGACCCCCAGCCGGAUAACAUUGAAGAUCCCAUAUGGCCAAAUAUGGGAGAAGAUAUGGAUGCAGCAUCCGAAGAACGAUGGAACCACAGGUCAGGACGUAGCACACCAACAAGUGGCAACUCUGGACUAUAGCGGAAGCUUAGUGGACCCUACAGUGGAAGCAAUGGUGAUAAUAAUAUAUGUAUUUGCAUUCGUAUGUAUUGUGUACCAUCCUUUGUGAUAAGGAUGAGAGUGUGAGUGUGACAUAAAGUAAGGAGUGAGUUGUAAAGUAGAUUCCUUAGAGAUAAGGAUCAAUAAUGACUACAGUGUGUAAUAGUGGUUCCCUUGUGCCUAUAAAAGGGAACCCUUGGUUUGUAUCUAGGCAUCGAGUCUUGGAGCCUAAAUCUAGUGUAUUGUAAAUCUCUCAUUCCUCUUAAUGAAGUAACCUUCCUCUGUUCUGAAAUAAACCCAUUUCAUGGUUAGACCAUUGACCUGAAUUAAUACCUUAAUGGCAUCUGUGAGAGAUGGCUUGUGUAUGUCAAGGGUGAAGUUGGGUUCAACUUGGAGAACAACAUGACCUUGGUUGAGUCCUGCUUCGACAGCAAUGAGAAGAAAAUGCACUUUUUGGAAUCUCAGGCUGAAGGAUUUUUGGUGCUUUAACUAAUCUCAUUUGACAAUGUAAAUAUAUGGCUUCAAUUUCUUUAAAUGUAAUAGCAAGUGUUGUUUUCGACCUCUGUUCUUUUAUGCAUUGCUUACAUGCCGUGAUUUCAUUAACCUAAAUUUAAGAACUGUUUGAGGGAAAUACAUCGAGGAGACCAGACGUGAUGAGCAGGUGUUUGGUGGUGGAGUUCUGCGAGCAGGAAUAUUCUCCUCGUCCACGAAUAUGCCAUUCGCGAGACCGAAUUCAUGUUAGAGGCAUAAGGUCAUUCCUGCUAAGGGUCGAGGCGAGGAGACCCGGUCAACGGCAGUUGGCAAGACGUGCCUUCCUAUCCGAGAAUCAAGGCACGAGGUCCAUCUCCAUUUGCCCACAAUGACGACAAUGGGGCAUCCACAUCCGAGGGUGGGGAGAAUAACGGGCGUAAACUGCGGAAGAUCGGGACUCAGAGGAAGCCUAUAAAAAGGUAGCCAACAAAGGUAAAAGGGUUAGAUUUUUUGCUAUUUGAACUAAGAAAAUAGAGAACUCGAAGGUCUGAGAUUAGUGAAAAGCCAUAAGAUCCGUGGCAAGCAUUCCCAGAACCUUCAUAUCUGACUUGAGCGUCGGAGGGUUUACGCCGGGAAAACAACCGGCGUGCUCUGACCUGUUUCUGUGGACGCAAGGAUACUUAGAGAAGAAAGCGUACGAGGAGAGAUCCUGAUCGAGGUGAGGUUGAUCGAGCAGACAUCCUGGUCGUUGGAAGGUGUAACCAGAAUCUCGCAUCAACAAGAACAAUUUCAUAUAAUUUUUUUUCUGCUUUUCUUUUAUCAUUUAAAAACAAUACUACGCACACACACACGCAUAUAUUUCAGAAAGCAUUUAAACAAAGCAACCGAACGUUGCUGGUUUCUAUUAUUACAUCGACAACAAUAAAGCAAAGAAGCAACUGAAAGUUAUCUUCAUAUGAGAAUGAAAGCUUUUCAGCAGCAUAAACCUUUCACUAUUCAAUUCCAAACAUGUUCCUCAACAUGAUAACAAAUUCGUAGACCUUUUCUAGGUCUAGAAGGAUCCUGGCAACAGUAUCUCUUUGCAUGCACUUGUUCAUCCAUGCUGAGAAUUUGGGGCACUCAUUCUCAAGCUUAAAUCCCCCAAAUUUCUCAACCGCGUAAAACCAACAAGUCAGUGGAAUGGAAAUGACAUCAACGAAUCCAAAGCUAUCCCCGCCAAAGAAAUCCUUCUCCCCUAAAGCGCCCUCAAGUUGCUUCAAAAUCUCUAUAAAUUCAUUCUUCGCGGUCUCUGGGACCUCGCCCUUGCUUUUCCAUAUGUUGCAUACUGCAUCGAAUACCUGCCAAAAAAGUGGUGUCAUCUUUUAAGUUCACAUUUAGAAAGAUACAAACAUUUACACUUGAGAAUUAUAGACUGACCUUCUUGUCAAUAAAAUCUUGCCUUAGCUCUCUCAUAAGCACAGGAUGGGAGAAGUGGUGGCGAAGGCCAAGUCUCGUCAAUGUAGUUAACUAUAAUAGUGGAUUCACACAAUGGUUUCCCAUCGUGCAGCAAAACUGGGACUUUCUUGUAGAUGGGUUUGAUUUGAGCAACAGGUCACUCUUGCCCCCAAACAAGUUCUCAGCUCUGGCUUCAUAUUCAACUCCUUUCUCAGCCAAUGCAAUCUUUGCUCUCAAGCAAAAUGGGCUAGCCCAACAAUCCAAAAGAACAACCUCUCCCUUCGACAUAUUCACUUUCUUUGUUCUUGUUUCUUUUACUUGGUUGAUAGUAAUUAAACCUUGAGUAUCAAGGUUGGCAUUUAUAAAGGAUAAAAGAUGAAAUUCCCAAAGUUUGUGUCGCAAUCAACGUUUGUUCGUUGGCACUUCCUUAAAGGAUGUGGCAUUAUUCUUAUCAUUUCUUAGUUUUUGAAGCUAACUGUUUUACUUGGCUUUCAACAUGCACAAGAACAAGUUUGUCUUGUGCAUACGGAGUUUACUAUGGACAAGCCGAAUUGUAAGUAACCAUUUACACUAAUCAAUCGGUAUUGUCCAAUGAAAAUAAGUAAUGUAAACUUAUCAAAAAAAAAAGUAAUGUAAAAAGUGUCUAGGAUUUUGCCUAAUAUUUCUUAAAAUAGGCUAAUUAAGCCCAAUUCUGGUGCUAGAUUGGUUCAACUUUGAAUCAAACUUGGAAACAUUUUGCUUUAGAUUAUUAUUAUUAAUUUAGAAGAGUCAAAAAGCUAAGAGUAUCGUUGGUAAAGCUCAAACAUGUGUAAUAUCACAUAUUACUUCUUUUUUUUUUUUAUACAAGUAAUAUCACAUAUUACUAGUGAGUGAGUUUCAUAAACUUUCCUAUUGAAAAAGACACAUUUUGGGUUGUAAAUCCUAACACAAUAUUUAUUCAGUUGUUGAGCCUGAAAUAUUACAGAUAUAUCAAAUAUUAUUUGAUGUGGGCGCACAACCCUGCGUCUUCUUAAUUAGGACAACCAAUGAAACCCUGCGUCUUCUUACAUAACUUGUAUGUACACAUUGGCGGGAUAUCCCAAUUAUGUACUCGUUUGUCUUCAUGUGUUUUAAAAAAAUCUAUUGUAAUGGAUAUAUUGUAAAUUUAUCUAAUUGCUUGUUAUAAUGCUUCUAUUGCGGUGUUAUUCGAGCUGUCAUUUUCAGUUUUAUUUUGUUUUUUCUUUAAACAUAGUUAAUUUGAAAUCCAUUACACUUGAAUCAUCAAAUAAGUGAUUCUCGAACAUAAUUGCUGUUGUUACUCGAAUAAGAAAAGAAAACAAAGUAUAGCUAAGAUAAAAGCAAAUGGAAAUGAGAGCAACGUGAUUUUGCAAAGAGAACUUCACACUAUCAUAAAACCAAAAACAUUAAAAUUUAAAACUUAAAUAACAACACACCAAAGCCAAAUAACGACCCACUAGAAUCAUGGUCCAAAGAUUGUACCAUGAUCACAACAUGAACUACAAAAAAAUAACCAACACCUGAAAAGUAGGAACAGUUUGAAACUUUCAACUAAAGUGGGAAAGACCAGGAUGGCACUGCAUGCCCAGCCCACCAACAUUAAAUGCUUUUUUCCCUUAUAAUUUAUCAGUCACAUAAUUUAGAGUGAAGACUUUAAUGCUGUGUUUACUUGCUGGAGUGGGAGUGAGGAGUGUGGAUUCCUCCCACUCCAGCGUUUACUUUCUCUGAAUGGGAAGGGAGUGGGAAUUCCACUCCGUGGGCCCCACCCAUUUUUGGAGUGGGGAGUGGGAGUGGGACUCCCAUAUUCCCACUCCCACCUCUCCCUUUUUUACCCUUUUAUUUUUUUAAUUUAAUUUAAUUUAAUAUUUUAUAAUUAAUAAAAUAAAAUAAAUAUUAUUAUAUUUAUUUGAAUAAUAAUAUUAUAUUUAACUAAAUAAUAAUUUGCAUUGAUUCUAAGUUAAAAUUAUUUUAAAAUAAUAUUAUUAUAUUAAUAGAGAAUUAAUAAAUAUAAUAUUAUUAUAUUUAUUUUAAAAAUAAUAGUACUAUAUUUAUUUAAUAUUAAUAAAUAGUUUAUUCUAAGAAAAUAUUAAUUUUGUACUAAAUAAUAUUAUAUUAUUAUUUUAUAUAAUAAUAAAUUUAAUAUAAUUAUAUUAAAUAAAAUAAGGUUUCAUUUUGUAUUAAAAUUAAUAAUUUAUUGUUGAUAAUUAAGAAUAUUAAUAAUUAUAAUAAAUUUACAAAUAUAAUAAAAUAAAUAUUAUUCAUUAAAUAUAUUUUUUAUUAGUUUUGUAAUUAAAAAUUAUAAUUCUUUAAAUAAGAAUAAAAUUGUAAUUUGAAACUAUUUACUCCCAAUCCAAGACAAAGUAAACACAUAAAUUGGAUUUUGAUCUCUAUUCCAUGCUUCCAUUCCAGUGUAAGUAAACAACCUACUCUCACUCCCACUCCACACUCUCAAUCCUAGGAUUUCCACUCCUCAGGAUUCCCAAUCCAAUCCAAAAAGUAAACGCUACCUAAAAGCAAAUAAAUGAAUUGGCUGAAUCUAGCUAGGAUGCCAGGAUGGGCACGGAUCCACAGAUAACAAGUAACAGUCUUUAAAUCUUCUGUUGUAAGUUCUUACGCCCCUUUUUUUUUAUACGACGAACCCCCGAUUCUACCCUCCAAAAUCAACAAUAGAGAAUUUAGUCUUAGCCUCUCAAGAUGCACUCAAACCUAAGGAUGGCAAUGGAUCAGAUCUGACCCAAGAUCCAUGUGAUCCAAAUCCAAUUGGAUCGAAUUUGGGUCGGAUUAAAAUAGAUUUGGAUCGGAUUUGGAUAUCGAUGCGUGGAUCUAAGGCGGAUCUGGAGCAAAUUCAGAUUUAUCUUAAUAUCUAUAUCCAAAUCCAUAUCCACUCACCAUUUAAUGUAAUUUUAUUUUAAAAAAUUCUUAACAAUUAUGUAAUUAUAAAUGAUGAUAAAAUUUAUUCAUUAGCAUGUAUUUAAGAAUCUUAAAACUUAAAGGUACUUAAUUGAUAAUAAGAUAAAAAUUUAUCAAGUGUAAAAUAAAAUUAGGAUAGUCUGCCCUAAUUUUUUUAAGUUUUUCACUCUACAAUUUAGUCUCUUUUUUCCUCUUUAGUCUACUCUCGCUUCUCCACUUCAUUUGAAUGCUUGGAUCAGUUCUUUAAUUGUUAGGAAAAUCCAUAGACUUGAGUUUAUUUUUCUAUCAUUUUCUCAUAAUCUUAUUUAUUUUGUAUAAUCACUAAUCAAUGGUGGCUAUCAACUAUAAAAUAAUUAUGUUAAUCAUAUAUUUAGUUAAAUAUGAUCAUAAUAAAAAUAAUAAAGCACUGAAUAUAAUAAAUCAUUUUUAACUUAUAUGUUAUUAUUUAAUGAUAUAGGAAUGAUGAUGGUGUGCAGUGGAUAUCAAGAUAGUAAAUGAGACAUUAGAAUAUUAUAAUGAUCUUAUUCAUGCAAUUACUUUUUAUCGAUAUUUUAUUAUCUUUUUUAUUUGUUUAUUUUGGUGUAAAAGCAGAAGCUACAAUACUUAUUAGAUUUUUUGUACAAAUUAUAUAAUUUAAUUGUUACCAAUGCAUUUUAGUCUUAAAUUUUUUUUCUAAAAAAAAUUGAUCUCUUAUUAUUGAGAUUUAGAAUUCAUGAUGGAUCUAGAGCAUAUUUAGAUUGUAAUUUUUCAAUUUGGAUUUGGAGCAGAUAUAGAUCUUUAUUUUUGUUUCGAAUCUAGAUAUGGAGCGAAAAUAUAGAUCCAUAACGGAUCUGGAGCAGAUACAGAUCUUAAUUUUUAUUACGGAUCUGGAUAUGGAGCAAUGUAGAUCCAAUCCAUAUCUGCUCCAUUGCCAUCCCUACUCAAACCUUGAGUAUGGUUUUUACUUACGUAUUAUCGAUUAUGAUUUUAACUAAUCUCUCUUGUCAACGAACUUUUGGUUGAUUAUGGACGCCUUUUUUUUUUUAAUCUAAACAAUAUAAGAUUUCGUACAAAUUGAAUUUGUAUAGACCUCAUCAUUUGGAACUUGUGUUGUAUCCAAAAAUAUCACCCAACCCAAAGAAAAUAAGUUCAAUUCUAUAACUCAUUCAUUUUUCUUAUAGCCCAAUGGAUUGAGAGAAUAGGCGUCAGAGGAAACUUUAUUUCAAUAUAUAAAUAUAGGCUUGCAUACAAUGCAAAAUCAUAUAUUCGAACCAAUAGGCGAAGCAUUGUCCCUCGUUGAUCCACAUGAGCCAACUAGUCAAAGUGGAUCCACAUGAGCCACUUUACAGACUGGGCAUGCAUUGCAACUGUUCAUUUUUGCUUCUGCCAAUAAAGAGUUGAUAGUAACCAAAGAUUGUAUUCUUUAUUGUCAUUUGAGAGUAACCAAUUACUUAGGCAGUCACGUAAGUUGCUGGUUGGCCUCGCACAUUUUUGACCAGCUUGUUUCUGAAGGAAACCAGCUGAGCUGCAACCUCUUCCAUGCUCAUUCGUUCUCUCGGCAACUCUGAAGAGCAAGUGACUCCGAUUGCCAGUACUGAAACCAAGCACUCUUUAACACUAAAACUUCUGGUCCAUUGUUUGUGAGCAUUGGCCUUGCUUGUCUCCCCUUCUUCUCUUUCUACAAGAAGCACUGGAUCAACAAUUUCAGCGAGUCUUUCAGGAAGAGCUUCCUUGACAAAAUUAUGUAGGGUUAGAUUGCCUGUAAACAUCUCAUUCGUCGGCCCCUUUCCUGUAAACAUUUCCAGCAAGAGUAUUCCAAAACUGUACACAUCUCCACUUGUUGAGACUUCGCUCCCCAUUCCGUACUCUGCAAUUCGAAAACUAAAAUUGUUGGUUCAACUAGUAAAAUCUCUAAGGAUUGAAAGACAAGUUAAUUAAAUUAUUGUAUUUACCUGGUGCAGCAUAACCAACGGUUCCUUUUACUCCAACAGAGCUUGAUUGAUUAGAUGACAAGUUAUUGGUGGCUUCCGGAAGGAAUUUUGCUAAUCCAAAAUCACCUACAUGGGCAGUCAAUUCACCAUCCAGAAGAACAUUGCUUGGCUUGAGAUCACAAUGGACUAUUGGAGUUUCGCAAUAAUGAUGAAGAUAAUCCAAUGCGGAAGCAACAUCAACGGCAAUAUUCAGUCUUUGCAGGAGAUUUAAGUUCCUUGGUGCCUCAGCGUUCGGAUGCAACCAUUCCUCCAGGCUCCCGUUGACCAUGAACUCAUAAACUAAAGCCUCGAAAUCAUUUCCUUGGAAGUCAACACUUGCACAGGAAGUUAUUAUUUUGACAAGAUUCCGAUGCCUAAUACUCCUCAAGGCUUGACACUCCGCUAUGAAACUCUUUGAAGCUCCACGAUGCUGAAGAUUAAGUACCUUAACUGCCACCAGCGUUUCAUGAUCAUCGUGACUGAGGAUUCCUUUAUAGACCGAACCAAAGCUACCGGCACCAAUCAAGUUUUCCAAAGAGAACCCAUCAGUUGCUUUGAACAGAUUCUCAUAGGACACUCGUAAAACCGAAGCCAAGAAUGCUGAUGGAGUGGCCGGCUCCCUUUUUGAUUUGCUCCGCCAGGAAGUAAUUAUAAAACACGACAUCCCUGUCACUAACAAAAUUACUGUAACUACAGGAAUCAUCAGUUUCAGGGAACGGGAACGUGACUGCUUGGAUUCUUUGAUGGAACAAGUAGAUAAAUGCAACUCAGAUAUGCCACCACAGAGGUUAUCAUUUCCAUCAAGAGAUAUAGCACUUGAAUUGCUGAAGACUCCUUUUACUGGUACUUCACCCUCAAAAUGAUUAAAAGACAGAUUUAAAUUCUGCAAAAAGGGAAAGUUUUCCAAAUAUUUUGGAAUCCGGCCGGACAAAUUGUUCCGCGAAAGAUCAAGAUUCUCAAUGCCUCUCAAAGAACUGAAUGACGAAGGUAUAUUCCCUUGAAAGAAAUUACCAUUCAUGAUGAGUUGCACCAACAAAAUGCAACUUCCUAAACUACUUGGAAUUUCACCAGACAAUUUGUUCUCAGAUAUAUCUAUAAAACCCAGAUUUUUCAAGAUACCAAAAUUUGAGGGCAUAGGACCAUUCAACUGGUUUUGAGAUAGAUCAAGAUAGAUUGACAAGGAAGAGAGGCCAAUUACUUCAGUGGGUAUGGUACCACUGAGGUUGUUAUUAGAAAGAUUUAAUGAUAUUAAGUUUUGGCAUUUCCCCAGACUUGAUGGAAUGCUUCCCUCUAACAUGUUUUCCUCAAAAUUUAGUGUAGUUAACAAUGUCAAAUUUCCUAUAGAAGAUGGAAUUUCCCCCCAAAACUUGUUCCCCUUCAGGCCCAACCUCUGCAGCUUUUGAAGAUCUCCUAUACUUUCCGGAAUUCGGCCUGUGAAUUUGUUGCCCCCCAGAUGUAAAAGCUCCAAGUUAACAAGAUUUCUUAAUCCACUUGGGAUAUUUCCGAACAACUGAUUGUUUCCAACUGAUAAUAUUGCAAGUCGGUUUGACAAGUUCCCUACUGUUUCAGGUAACAUUCCACCAAAAUUGUUAUCACUAAUUUGCAGUAGCUCUAGUCUAGAAGCGUUAACCAAAGAAUUGACAAAUUCCAAGUUAUCUUUUUCCCCAUAAUUUCCUAAGUGAUUCUGAGAAAUACUAACCCAUUGGAGUUUAUGUAAAUUUUCCAAACUAGGCACCCUUCCACUGAAUCCAUUCUUUGCGAUUGUAAGUCUCAUUAGAUUUGAGGCAUUGGAUAUUGAAGCCGGAAUAGGUCCGGUAAACUGAUUACCACCAACGUUUAGUACUUCAAGUUUAGGAAGAGUGAAGCCUAAGUCUGAUGGAAGGCUUCCUUGAAGUUGGUUAAAAGGAAAAUAAAAACCACUAAGCCAAGACAAGUUGUAGAUUGAAAAGGGGAUUUCACCUGAUAGCUUAUUUGCUCCAAACGAUAUAUAACGCAUCAUCUUAAGCUCGCUCAGGGUUUCAGGAAUUUGUCCCACAAAUUGAUUUGCAGCUGCUGAGAGGACCUGGAGUGAUGACAAAUUGCCGAAGGAAGGUGGGAUUUCUCCUGACAAAUUGUUGGAGUGUAUUACGAGAAUCCGGAGCUUUGGUAAGGAGCCCAGUUUCCCUGGAACUUUCCCCACUAGCUCAUUGAAGUCUAACCAGAGGGAUUCAAGGUUAACGCAAUGCGAUAUGUUGUCAGGAAUUUGACCUCCGAAUGUAUUGUUGUCCAGCCUUAAAAUUCGUAACCUGAACAGAUAUCCAAUCGCUUGAGGGAUUUCGUUGCGGAGGCUAUUGUUUUUUAGAUCUAACACUCUGAGAAAACUCAAAUUACCAAUGUGAGGCGAAAGAGACCCCUGCAAGAGUAAAGAUGGAAGACGUAAUCCAGUCACCCUUUGGUGCCGUCGACUGCAAGUGACACCUUUCCAUUGACAAAAGUGCCUGGAAUAGUUCCAUGAACUCAAAACCUCAAGAGGGUCAUGAGUAACUUUGGCCUUGAAUUCAAGCAAUGCAAGUUGAUCAGUUUCAUUGCUUUUGAGCAUAUAAUCGGUUGACUGCAAGCUGAAGCUGACGCAACAGAAAAUAAAGAAACAAAUGCUUACAAUGAUUGAACUCAUCAUGUUUACAAAAUCCAUUUAACUGCCGAAAGGAAAUUAAAAUGAUAAAACUUUUAUAGAGGUUGGUAAGAUAAACUAUGUUUGUAUAUUUUUUGCAAUGAUUUAUGGACUCUGUACUUGAUGCUCAAAUGUGAACCGGCUGGCACCGUGACAGUGAAACUAAUGCUUUUUAUUUUUCUAAUAAUAUUAAUUAUCAAAUUUAUUACUAUUGUAAGAAUAAUAUAAUACAGCUUUUCCUUUAAGGAAGACCCGCCACACUAACUUUUGACGCUCUAUCAGUUUCCAGUAUUUUGUCAUUUUGUAUUGUAGUGCUUAAUCCACAAUGAAUAUAAAACAAUUUAAUCAACAUUAUUAGAAAAAGAAAAAAAGUAGGAGAAGAAAGUUAAGUAUGAUGGAUGGAGGGUCAGAUUACUGUUAAAUGACUUAAAGGUUUAAAGCACCACAGGAAUCAACGUUUCACAACGCUUUUUUCCCUUUCUGAAAUAUUCGGUGCAUUAGUUGACUAGAAUUAUAAUAUAUCAAACAACUACAAGAAAUAUUUUAAUUUAUCAUUUUACUAUUAUAUAUUUACAUAACUUAUCAUUUUACUAUAUUUCCGUAGUACCAUUAGUUGACUAGAAAAAUGUUAAUUUUACUUUUGAAAAAAAACACAAAUGGAUAUAUUAAAUAUUUUUAGCUACUUUUUAUUUUGAAUUUAUAAUGUUGUAAUACUUUGUGUUAUUAUUACUUUUUAUUUUGCAAAAACAAAUUAUAUAAAGAGAAAAAUUAAUAUUUUAUCAAUUAACUAAUUGAUCUAUAUUAAUUGAAAUAUAAUAAAUUAAUAUUUUAUCAAUUAACUAAUUGAUCUAUAUUAAUUGAAAUAUAAUAAAAUAAUAUUUUAUUUUUAAAUAUAAUAAAAUAAUUUUCCCAUGAAAGAAAAUGAUGAGUUGUUUCAACGUAAUGCAGCUGCCUAGACUACAUGGAAUUUCACCAGGCAAUGACAAUUUAUUCUCAGAUAAAUCUAACGCCACAACAUUUAUCUAGUCACCCAAAUUUGCAGGCGUUCGUUUUGAGACUUGUCAAAACUUUUUCCAAAAAUUCGGGAUUCAGGUCAUAUCAGGCCGGUUAUGUUUUGAAAAACUUGUAAAUUAUCAGUGAUCAAACUUCAAAACUUUGCAAAUAGGUCAAAAUACGGAAAAAAACUUGAUAUAUUAUUGAAUACUCAUUUUGUUUUGCAUUAAUAUAACGCUAUGGGUGAUAUCUAGUUCUGUUGGUAAAAUUUCUUGGGUUGAAAACAAGAAAACUAGCAUUUCAAACUCACUCAUAUGGAUGGGAAAGAAAUUUAGUUAUUAUUGGAUUAAAAAAUAAUAAUGAGAAUUAGAAAAAAAUUAUAAGGCUUCAACGAGAUUUGCUAAUCAUGUAUAGAUUAAUAUGGAGAUUAAGAACAUCACCUAAGCUAAUUAUUGAACUUGAAAGUUUAGGAGAAAAAAUUAUAUGGGUUUGGCCAUCAAUUUAGCAUUCGGAACUUAUUGUUUAGGAAGCUACGGCGGGUUUCGUAGUGGGACUUAUCCUCUUUAAUGCAUAUGGUGAUUUUAAACCAACAUAUAUAUAAUCCUAUUAUAAAACUCAUCAAACCUUCUAAAAUAACAUGUUGAGAUAGUGUGCUAGAUCCAUAUAAAUAUUUCUCCAACUUCUUAGCUUGAAGCGAUAUUCAUUUCCAUUGAUAGUUUAAUGGGCAAAGCCUUUUGAAUUCUCCAUGUUAUCAAGUUAACUUUUGCUGGAAAAUGCAAUGCGGAUAUGAAUAGAAUUUUUUGUGCAAACAAUUUUUCUAUGUUGACACAUCCUCUGGAACUUUCAGUAAAUUUUAUGGAGAAGCUUCAAUUUCUUGGUUGUUGAUUUCGAAUACAUUAAGCUCUUAUUUGGUAUUAAAGUAUUGUGGGCUAAAAGCUAUAGUUUUUAUGGAAAGAAAUUUGUAAUUGCGAAAUAAAAGUUGAUUCAGUGUGAUAAAUAUAAUUUCAGAAUAAAAAAUAAAGUAAACUUCGAAAUUAUAAUAGUAAGUAUUUAUUAAAUACUUUAGUGUUGCAGUAACUGUUUACUACAAUAUCAAAUAGGGGGCUAGUACAACAAGUUGUUAUAUUAAAAGUCUCCCAAAAAGGAAGAAGUGACUUAAAAAAUUAAAAGAAUGCAGGAGCUGAAGUUGGCAAUUUUGUAAAUUGCAAUGGCGAUUGUGAUAUAGUAAAAUCCUUCAAUGAAUCACAGCACUAGCGAUUUCGUAAUAUACAGUAGCGGCAAUUUUGUAAAAUUGAAGUAGUGAUAGUUUUGCAAAUAAAAGUAAAAACUUUUUCCCAAAAUUUGGCUGAGCAAAAAGCCAGCUUAGCCCACACUCUCCUUCGCCACUGGUUGAUGAGCUCUUCCUUCAAUUUUUGAACUUGAAGUGAUGCCCCAUCAACGUCCAGAAUUUUUAAAGUCUCCCCACUGUACAAGUUAAACAAUAAAGUCAGAAUGAUGACGGAGUUACAAACAAUCAAAUAUGAUCCUAAUGAUUCUUUUUAUACACUCACCCGUGCAUUGAUGUGUUUAAUUGAUAUAUAUUUAAGCAGAAAUUGAAGUUUGAACCUGAUUAAUUAGAUGCGAACACACAUUCAUGAGUAAUUACUUAAAAUUAAUUAACCAAAAGAGUAAAUAUAGGAGGAAAUCGAUCAUAUGCGUGCGGACACCACAAUCGAAUUAUAUAUUUAUAUCACCACAGCACAUAAAUUUUAUUCGAAUGAUAUAUGAUUAAUUAAUCAAUUUUUAAUAACAAUUAAAUUAUAAUGUCAAUUGUGCACAUAAGAUUUUUUUUCUUGAUGAAAUUAUGAAAGUUAGUAAUUAUUUUCCAUUUUUUAAAUAAUAGUUGUUAAUACAAAUCAAAAAAAUAUUGGGACUUGAGAUCAGGGUCUACUUGAGUUAGAAUUUUUUAUUAGAGAAGCUAUUAGCCAGCAAUACAAAAUAAAGAAGCAACACAAGAUAAAGAGUAAUAUAUUAUAGAAAGAUUUUAUUCGUUUCAAGUGUGUAUCAAACAAAGAGAUAUUUAUAGUUACAUAAUUACUACAUGAAAUUAAUGAAAACAUUAUGGAUCAUACUUCCUUGCGAGAUAGUGAAAGUUAUAGAGAAGGCAAAGGUUGCUAGUGGAAGAUAGUAGAGAGAUUAAGAGAUGUAUGUUAUAAACAUCCAGAUUUAUUUUAAUAAAUUCAUAGCAUUUUUUCCCCUCAAAUAAUAGGGUGUAGAGAACAAUUGGAAGGAGUUUACGCAGCCUAUAAAUUAAUACUCUGACGAAUUAAUAUCCUCUAUUAUAUAAUGACUUUUUUUAAGCACACUAAUAGGCUAAAAUGACAGUUCCAAUAAAUAAAUAAAAUAAUAUAUUUUUUUUGAAAACCCUUACAUAAUAUUGUGGUCCUACUCAUAUCAUAAAUUAAUAAUUUUUAAAUUAUAUAUAAUUAUUACACAUAAAUUAUAUAUUUUUUAAUAAAUUCAUAAUAUUUUUUCUCAAAUAAUAGGGUGUAGAGAACAAUUAGAAGGAGUUUACAAGACUCGCCUAUAAAUUAAUACUCUGGCGAAUUAAAAUCCUCUAUUAUAUAAUAAUUUUUUUUAAGGUUGCUAGUAGGCUAAAAUGAUAGUUCCAAUAAAUAAAUAAGAUUAUAUUUUUUUUUAAUGAAAACCCUUACAUUACAUUAUGGUCCUACUCAUAUAAUAAAUUAAUAAUUUUUAAAAUUACAUAUAUAAUAUUUUAUUUUAAAAAUAUGAUUUUAUUUUUUAUUAUUUUUUCUUGAAAUUUAAAUAUAGUUAGAUUUCAUCUCUAAUUUUUCUUAUUACUUUUGAGGUUAAAUUUUGAAAUUGCAAAAAUUUUGAAUUUUUUUGGUUAAUUAAAUCUGCAGUGAGUGUAUAAGAUGAUUAGAUUAGUAAAAUAUAAUAAAUUUUUAGUUGAUUAAAUAUAUGUUCAUUUAAUAUGUCUUGUGUAUACAGAGUUUACUAAGGACAAGCCGAAUAGUAAGUGAGCAUUUACACUAAUCAAUCGUGUUGAGUUGUGUCUCAUAUUGGCUAGUAAAGGGGAGAUACUUGGGUUUAUAAGAAGGUAUGUCACUCCACCUAAAAGACUAGUAUUUUGGGUUGGAUACCUAGAAAUCUUAUGUUAAGUCCCCUCAACAAAUCGGUAUUGUGCAAUGAAAAUAAGUAAUCUAAAAAUUGCCUAGGAUUUUGCCUUAUAUGUCUCAAAAUAAGCUAAUUAUGCCCAAUUAUGGCACUUGAUGGUUCAACUUUGACAUCAAAGUUGGAAACGUUUUUCUCUAGGGUGAGGCUAUUUGCACUUGAAUAUCUACUUUGAACACUCAUUUACUCAGCGCACUCAAUUAAUAAUUUCAAACUAUUAAAUUUUACUUGGAACACUCUUUUGAAUUCCUAUAUUAUCCACAUUUCUUUAAUUACUUUAUUUCUUCUUUGUACCCAAUAAAAUAUUCAUCAUCACAAACAAAAUAUCUAACUUUUUUUUUCCAUUUUUAUUCACUUUUAUUUUCUGUUCAUAAUCUGUUUUGAUAUGUAUUUGUUCUUCUCUUAUUGCUACAAUUUAAUUCUGUUUGUCAACCCAUAAAAGCAUGCGAAUUGAGUGAAAAUCAAAGUGCAAAUUUAAAACAAAAUCCUUUGAUUUACUUGCGUUUUCUUAUGUUGGAGUGGUGCAAUUUGUUGUUUGUCCUCCACCUCUAUUUUUAAUUCCUUUUGUUUCAGUUAUAAAGAUGAUCAUGAACAUGUUACUUGAUGUUUUCCUAGCAAUUCUAUUAACCAAAAAAAUGAAAAAAAAAAGUUUAGUCCAUAAGUAUAGACAAUGUUUUCAUUUGAAUAUUGAUUCAAUUCUUCGUUGUUAAUGUGGUUUAUUGUAGAUAAAAUAUAAUGUUAGAUAAAAAUUUGUUAUACUGUAUUUUAUAAUUGUCCUUAAUAGAAAAUUACAUUAAGGUUAAUUUAGUAAUAUAAAAAUUAUUAAAUGUGAGUGUCCAAAGUAAAUUUUAGAGUGCAUAUAGUCUCACCCUUUUCUUUGUGUUAUUAUAAUUAAUUUAGAAAGAGUUAGAAAGCUAAGAGUAUCCUUAGUAAAGCUCAAAUAUGUAAUACAUAUCACUAGUGAGUGAGUUUCAUAAACUUUCCUAAUUAAGUAGAUGAAUUUUGGGUUGUAAAUCCUAACACAAUAUCUAUUCAGUUGUUGAGCCUAAAAUAUCACAACUAAAUCGAUAUUGUCCGAUGUAGUCAUGCAACCCUACAUCUUCUUAGUUAGGACAAUUCAUGAAACCACUUAUUUGGGAUGUAGGAGAUGAUACAAAAUUUGUAUGUGCACGUUGGCUUAAUAUCCCAAUUACACACUCGUUUGUCUUCAUGUGCUCCGAAAAGAUCUAUUGUAAUGGAUAUAUUGUAUCUUUAUCAAAGUGCUUGUUAUAAUGAUUCUAUUGUGGUGUUAUUCGAGUUGUCACUUUUAGUUUUUGAUUAUCUUUUUUAAACAUAGUUAAUUUGAAAUGUUCUUUAAUAUCCAACACACUUGAGAUCAUCAAAUAAGUGAUUCCCGAACAUAAUUGCCUCUGAUCAUUUUGUUUGUGCCAAUAAAGGGUUGAUACAAACCAAAGACUUCUUGUCUUUAUUGUCAUUUGAGAGUAAUCAAUUACUUACGCAGUCACAUAAGUUACUGGUUGGCCUCGCACAUUUGAGAGUAACCAAAUGGAAAUGAGAGCAACGUGAUUUUCCAAAGAGAACUUCACACUAUCAUAAAACUGAAAACAUUACAAUUUAAAGCUUAAAUAACAACACACCAAAGCCAAAUAACGACCCACUAGAAUCAUGGUCCAAAGAUUGUUCCAUGAUCACAACAUGAACUACAAAAAAAAAAAAAAAAAAAAAACCAACACCAAAAAAGUAGGAACAAUUUGAAACUUUCGACUAAGCAACAUUUAUGAUCACAUCAGCAGUCCUAAACACAUCUUCUAACAAUUGCAACUGUUCAUUUUUGCUUCUGCCAAUAAACAGUUGAUAGUAACCAAAGAUUGUUGUCUUUAUUGUCAUUUAAGAGUAACCAAUUACUUACGCAGUCACGUUAGUUGCUGGUUGGCCUCGCACAUUUUUGACAAGUUUGUUUCUGAAGGAAAGCAGCUGAGCCGCAACCUCUUCCAUGCUCAUUCGUUCUCUCGGCAACUCUGAAGAGCAAGUGACUCCGAUUCCCAGUACUGAAACCAAGCACUCUUCAACACUAAAAUUUCUGGUCCAUUGUUUGUGAGCACUGGUCUCGCUUGUCUCCCCUUCUUCUCUUUCUACAAGAAGCACUGGAUCAACAAUUUCAGCGAGCCUUUCAGGAAGAGCUUCCUUGACAAAAUUAUGCAGGGUUAGAUUGCCUGUAAACAUCUCAUUCGUCGGCCUCUUUCCUGUAAACGUUUCCAGCAAGAGUAUGCCAAAACUGUACACAUCUCCACUUUUUGAGACCUCACUCCCCAUUCCGUACUCUGCAAUUUGAAAAUUAAAACUGUUGGUUCAACUAGUAAAAUCUCUAAGGAAUGCAAAAGAAGUUAAUUAAAUUAUAGUAUUUGCCUGGAGCAGCAUAACCAACGGUUCCUUUAACUCCAGUAGAGCUUGAUUGAUUAGAUGACAAGUUAUUGGUGGCGUCCGGAAGGAAUUUCGCUAAUCCAAAAUCACUUACAUGGGCAGUCAAUUCACCAUCCAGAAGAACAUUGCUCGGCUUGAGAUCACAAUGGACUAUUGGAUUUUCGCAGUAGUGAUGAAGAUAAUCCAAUGCGGAAGCCACAUCAACGGCAAUAUUCAGUCUUUGGAGGAGAUUUAAAUUCCUUGGUGCCUCAGGGUUUGGAUGCAACCAUUCCUCCAGGCUCCCGUUCACCAUGAACUCAUAAACUAAGGCCUCGAAAUCAUUUCCUUGAAAGUCAACACUUGCACACGAAGUUAUUAUUUUGACGAGAUUCCGAUGCCUAAUACUUCUAAAGGCUUGACACUCCGCUAUGAAACUCUUUGAAGCUCCUCGAUGUUGAAGAUUAAGCACCUUAACUGCCACCAGCGUUUCAUGAUCAUCAUCAUUGAGGAUUCCUUGAUAGACCGAACCAAAGCUACCGGCACCAAUCAAGUUUUCCAAAGAGAACCCAUCAGUUGCUUUGAACAGAUUCUGAUAGGACACUCGUAAAACCGAAGCCAAUACUGCUGAUGGAGGAGGGGCCGGCUCCCUUUUUGAUUUGCUCCGCCGGGAAGUAAUUAUCAAACACGACAUCCCUGUCACUAACAAAAUUACUGCAACUACAGGAAUAAUCAGUUUCAGGGAACGGGCACGUGAUUGCUUUGAUUCUUUGAUGGAACAAGUAGAUAAAUGCAACUCAGAUAUGCCACCACAGAGGUUAUCAUUUCCAUCAAGAGAUAUAGCACUUGAAUUGCUGAAGACUCCUUUUAUUGGUACUUCACCCUCAAAAUGAUUAGAAGACAGAUUUAAAUUCUGCAAAAAGAAAAAGUUUUCAAAAUAUUUUGGAAUCCGGCCAGACAAAUUGUUCCGCGAAAGAUCAAGGUUCUGAAUGCCUCUCAAAGAACUGAAUGAUGAAGGGAUAUUCCCUUGAAAGAAAUUACCAUUCAUGACGAGUUGUUCCAACCUAACGCAACUUCCUAGACUGUUUGGAAUUUCACCAGACAAUUUGUUCUCAGAUACAUCUAGAACACCCAGAUUUUUCAAGAUGCCAAAAUUUGAGGGCAAAGGACCGUUCAAUUGGUUUUGAGAUAGAUCAAGAUAGAUUGAUAAGGAAGAGAGACCAAUCACUUCAGUGGGUAUGGUACCAGUGAGGUUGUUAUUAGAGAGAUCUAAUAAUAUCAAGUUUUUGCAUUUCCCUAGACUUGAUGGAAUGCUUCCCUCUAACAUGUUUCCGUCAAAACUUAGUGUGAAUAACAAUGUCAAAUUUCCUACAGAAGAUGGAAUUUCCCCCAAAAACUUGUUCCCCUUCAGUCUCAACCUCUGCAGCUUUUGAAGAUCUCCUAUACUUCCCAGAAUUCGGCCUGUGAAUUGGUUGUCCCCAAGAUCUAAAAGCUCCAAGUUAACAAGAUUUCCUAAUCCACUUGGGAUAUUUCCGAACAAUUGAUUGUUUCCAACGGUAAAUCUUUUAAGUCGGGUUGACAAGUUCCCCACAGAUUCAGGUAACAUUCCUCCAAAAUUGUUAAUACUAAUUUCCAUCAUCUCUAGUCUAGAAGCGUUGACCAAAGAACUGACAAAUUCCAAGUCAUCUUUUUCCCCAUUUCCUAAGUGAUUCAGAGAAAAGCUAACCCGUUGGAGUUUAUAUAAAUUUUCCAAACUCGGCACCUUUCCACUGAAUCCAUUUUUCUGGAUUGUAAGUCUCAUUAGAUUUGAGGCAUUGGAUAUUGAAGCAGGAAUAGGCCCAGUAAACUGAUUAUUACCAAAGUUUAGUACUUCAAGAUUAGGAAGAGUGAAGCCUAAGUCUGAUGGAAGGCUUCCUUGAAGUUCAUUAACAGGAAAAUCCAAAAGACUAAGCGAAGACAAGUUGUAGAUUGAGAAAGGGAUUUCACCUGAUAGCUUAUUUGCUCCGAAUCCUAUUGAACGCAUCCUCUUAAGCUCGCUCAAGGUUUCAGGAAUUUGUCCCACAAACUGAUUUACAGCUGCUGAAAGGAACUCGAGUGAUGACAAAUUGCCAAAGGAAGAUGGGAUUUCUCCUGACAAAUUGUUGAAGUGUACUGCUAGAGUCCGGAGCUUUGAUAAGGAGCCUAGUUUCCCUGGAACUUUCCCCACAAGCUCAUUGAAGCCUAACCAGAGGGAUUCAAGAUUAACGCAAUGUGAUAGGUUGUCAGGAAUUUGACCUCUGAAUGUAUUUUUCUCCAGGCUUAAUUUUUGUAACCUGAACAGAUAUCCAAUCUCUUGAGGGAUUUCGUUGCGGAAGCUAUUGUUUUUGAGAUCUAACACUCUGAGAAAACUUAAAUUACCAAUGUGAGGCGACAGAGACCCCUGUAAGAGUAAAGAUGGAAGAAGUAAUGCAGUCACCCUUUGGUGCCGUCGACUGCAAGUGACACCUUUCCAUUGACAAAAGUGCCUGGAAUAGUUCCAUGAACUCAAAACCUCAAGAGGGUCAUGAGUAACUUUGGCCUUGAAUUCAAGCAAUGCAAGUUGAUCAGUUUCAUUGCUUUUGAGCAUAUAAUCGGUUGACUGCAAGCUGAAGCUGAAGCAACAGAAAAUAAAGAAACAAAUGCUUACAAUGAUUGAACUCAUCAUGUUUACAAAAUCCAUUUAACUGCCGAAGGAAAUUAAAAUGAUAAAACUUUUGUGGAGGUUGGUAAGAUAAACUAUGUUUGUAUAUUUUUUGCAAUGAUUUAUGGACUCUGUACUUGAUGCUCAAAUGUGAACCGGCUGGCACCGUGACAGUGAAACUAAUACUUUUUGUUUUUCUAAUAAUAUUAAUUAUCAUAUUUAUUACUAUUGUAAGAAUAAUAUAUUGCAGCUUUAAAGAAAGACUCACCAUACUCCUUUUCGAGUCCUGUCAGUUUCCAGCAUUUGGUCAUUUUUUUAUUUCACCGCUUAAUCCACAGUAAAUAUAAAACAAUUUAAUCAACAAUAUUGAAAAAGAAAAAAAGUAGGACAAGAGAAAGGUAAAUACUGUUAAAUGAGUUGGGAAACGUUCAAAGCACGACGGGAAUUAAAAUUAUAAACUUUUAUAAAGGUUGGUAAGAAAAAACAUAUUUGUAUAUAUUUUUUUCAAUGAUUUAUGGACGCUAUACUUGAUGCUGAAAUGUGAACCGGCUGGCACCGGGACAGUGAAACUAAUGCUUUUUAUUUUUCUAAUAAUAUUAAUUAUCAUAUUUAUUACUAUUGUAAGAAUAAUAUAAUACAGCUUUUCCUUUAAGGAAGACCCGCCACACUAACUUUUGACGCUCUAUAAGUUUCCAGUAUUUUGUCAUUUUGUAUUGUAGUGCUUAAUCCACAAUGAAUAUAAAAGUUUAAAGCACCACAGGAUGAUGGAUGGAGUUUCACAUUACUGUUAAAUGACUUUGAAAGGUUUAAAGCACCACAGGAACCAACGUUUCACAAUGCCUUUUUCCCUUGUGAAAUAUUCAGUGCAGUCUCUCCCAGAUUUUGCUAGUGCAACAACGAGACGUCAUGCCGUUAACAAUUUUAAACUGUAAAUGACAUGUUGUUUUUACAAGACAUAUUAUGCGUCGAUACAUACCUUUUCUGGUUGUUGGUUUAUAAAAAUAUAUGAAACGGCAUGAGUGUGACAACUCUUGUAAAAUUUUUAAAAACAACAUAAUCAAUGGUAUUCUUAUCUCCCAGCUGCCGUUUGCCGUUUGGAAUUGUUCUGUAUAAGAUCUUGAUCAUCGAAUUUACCACUAGGGCGUAUGCUUUAUUUUCUCGAAUUACAUUGCUGCCUCAUCUUUUGUGUUUUCGGUUCUGUUGUGGAUCUCCUCUGUUUUUUUCUGAUUUUGGGCCCGAAGGGCACGUUAAUUGAAAUCAACAAAUCUGGUAAAAAUGACGUUAAAUUCGAUCAGAUUUACAUAUUUAAUUACAAAUGCAGUAACCCCGAUCAGAUGCAUACACUAAUUUUAUUUAUUUUGUCAGCUUUAACCUCACUGUCAUUUUGAAUAGCCUACAAGAGUCGAAUGACUAGAUUUCCAAUUUGCUAUCAUCCCCCUUGAAUGGGUUCAAGAAAUUCAGCAGGUUGCGAAACAAUAAGAUUCAUUCAAUCCGUGUAGAUAUCUAACUGACUGAAAUUAAAUAAAUGAUGAUGAUAAGAAAUUUGAAAUCAACAAAUCUCGGCACAUCUAUUCUGCAAUUUAGCCGUACUUCAAAUAAUCUUGCGAUAAAAAUUUCUUAAAAAUCUCAGAAAGAGGACAGAACAACCAAGGCAUCAGCGAAAGCAAUCGAUGUUAGGAAAUUGGUGGGUGCAGCAGUACCGCAACUAAAAUAAAAUUGGAAAUAAAAUAAAGAACAAGCACAAUAGAGGACACCAAAAAUUACGUGGUUCGGCUUUUAGCCUACAUCUACGGGCGAAGACAGAAGGAAAUAUUUUACUAGUGAAAUAAGGAUUACAAGUAUUGUAAGAUUUUAGCUCACUACCCAAAACCCCAAUACACCCAAUCUCUCACUCACUACACAUGCAAGAGUUUAUUAAACUCUUGAAAACUCUCAACACUCAAAGAAAGAAAAAUUUCUCUCAAUGGAAUUGAAUACAAAAUGAAAUGAGGAGCUCUGCCUUUUAUAGCCAAAAAAUGGCUAUUAAAUUAUUAUUUUUACCACCGUCUUCAUUCUGCUAUUUUCUUCUUUCUUCUUUUUUCUUCAUUCCAAAUUUGCUGCUGCCAAAUUCUUCAACAUUUUCUUUGGCCGGCUGUCAAAGCCAACUUUGCUUAUUCAAGGGUUCUAGAUGCAGUAGCUUCUAGAUGCAGCCAAAUUUGACAUUCUCCCACUUGGAGAUUAGAUUGAGAAUCAAUCAAUCUCCACAUCAUCCUUUCUGUUUCGCCAUAAUCAUGUUGCCUACGUUGCUGCUAGGCCACAAGAGGAUCUACUCCAGAUAAACUUGUCAGCAUUUAUUGGCUUGGUCAAAACAUCUGCUAGGUUCUCCUUCGUAUGGAUUUUCUGCAAAUCCACACUUCCAUCUUCCACUACUUCUCGAACGAAGUGAUACUGAACUCCUAUGUGCUUUGUCCUGGAAUGAAAGGCUAGAUUCCUUGCAAUGUGCAAGGCACUCUGACUGUCACAAAACACAAGAAUUUUCUGUUGUUUGUGCCCGAGCUCCUCCAAUAAUCUUUGUAUCCAAAUAGCUUCCUUGCAAGCUUGUGUAGCUGCCAUGUAUUCUGCUUCUGUUGUAGAUAAUGCCACAACGGUCUGCAGUUUCAAAACCCAGCUUACAGCUGCUCCCGCAAGUGCAAACACAUAACCAGUAGUGGAUUUCCUUUUAUCAAGGUCUCCUGCAAAAUCUGAAUACACAUAGCCCCUGACAGUAAACUCUGAUCCUCCAUAACAUAAUGCAACAUCUGAGGUUCCUCUGAUGUAUCUCAGAAUCAUCUUCACAGCUAUCCAAUGCUCUCCGCCAGGAUUCGCCAUGUAUCGACUGACUGCUCCCACUGCUUGUGCAAUGUCCGGUCUUGUACAUAUCAUAGCGAACAUUAAACUUCCCACUGCUGAUGCAUACGGUACUCGAGACAUCUCCUUCCUCUCUGCUUCAUUGCUAGGACACAUACUUGAGGAUAAUUUGAAAUUAACAGGAAAUGGGGUAGAAAUUGACUUACAAUCUUGCAUGUUGAAGCGCCGCAAGAUUUUCUUCAAGUAAUUCUUCUGUGAUAGCCAAAUCUUCCUGUUAUUUUUGUCUCGGUGAAUUUGCAUCCCUAGAAUCUUGUUUGCUGGUCCCAAGUCCUUCAUUUCAAACUCCCUAGCCAACUGUGCCUUCAAUUCUUGGAUUCGAUCUUUGUUGGGACCUGCUACCAACAUGUCAUCUACAUACAACAGCAAAAUGAUGAAAUCAUUAUCUUCAAACCUCUUGUAAUAUGCACAAUGGUCUGAACUGAGUCUGUUGUAUCCAAGGCUCAUGAUGAAGGAAUCAAAUCUCUUAUACCAACACCUCGGCGCCUGUUUGAGACCGUAUAGAGAUUUGUUCAACUUGCAAACCAAGUUCUCCUUUCCUGUUUCUGCAAAACCUUCUGGUUGGAGCAUAUAUAUUUCUUCUUCAAGUUCUCCAUGAAGAAAUGCAGUUUUCACAUCUAACUGCUCUAGAUGUAGGUCAAAUGUAGCACACAUUGCCAAGACUAUUCUGACUGUUGUGAGUCGAACCACGGGCGAAAAUAUCUCGUUGAAGUCAAUGCCUUCUUUCUGAGCAUAUCAUUUCACCACCAAUCUUGCACGAUACCGCUCCACUUGGUCAUUGCCAUCACGCUUGAUCUUGUAGACCCAUUUGUUUCCAAUGGCUUUUCUUCCAUGUGGUAGUGGUACAAGUUCCCAUGUCUUGUUCUUGUGUAGAGCUUCAAUUUCUUCCUGCAUUGCUGUCAUCCACAAAGCAACAUCUGAGCUGUUUAAAGCUUCAUGGAAAGUUGAAGGCUCUCCAUCCUCUGUUAAAAGACAGUAUGCAACGUUGAUCUCUGUGACAUACUCAGAGUGCCACACCGGCGGUCGUCUCUCACGAGUUGACCGACGAACUUCUGGAGCCUCGGACUCGACUGGUUCUUGUUCCUCGUGCUCUGGUGCUGCUUCAGAAGAAUCUGAAUCUUCUGGAUUAUUUUCUACAUAUACCGGCACAAUCUCUGACUUUUCUUUUACAGUGCCAUCAUCUCCAUCUUUCAUUUGCAGUUGAUCUUCUACAAAAAUAACAUCUCUGCUGAUGACGAUCUUGUGGGCAGUGGGGUCCCACAGACGAUACCCCUUUACUCCAUCAGCAUACCCCAAGAAGAUACAUCUUCUAGAUUUUGGAUCCAACUUUGUUCUUUCUUGGGCAUUGUACAUCACGUACACAGGACAUCCAAAUGCAUGUAGGUAGGAAUAAUCAGCUGGCUUUCCAGUCCACAUCUCCAUCGCCGUCUUCAACCCAAUCGCUGUAGAUGGUGAUCGAUUUACUAUAUAACAGGCAGUUUUGGCUGCUUCUGCCCAUAAUGAAUUGGGUAAACCAGCAGUCCUCAACAUAGCUCUUAUUCUUUCUGUAAGAGUUCUGUUCAUCCGCUCUGCCACUCCAUUUUGUUGAGGAGUGUACGCCACCGCGAACUGCCUCUGAAUACCUUCUUGCUUACAGAAAGCAAGAAACUCGCCCUCUGUAUAUUCUCCACCAUUAUCCGUCCUCAAGCACUUGAUCUUUUUACCAGAUUCAAGUUCCACACGCGCUUUGUAUUCUUUAAACACAGGAAAUACAUCUGACUUUUUCUUAAUUGGAUACACCCAACAUCUUCUAGAAUAAUCAUCAAUGAAAGUCACUAUGUACUUUGCACCUCCCAUGGAUAUAUCCGGUGAUUCCCAAACAUCAGAAUGAAUCAAGUCUAGAAUGCAUUUACUUCUAGCAAUAGAUCUACUGAAUUUUAAUCUAUGCUGCUUACUUAUAACACAAUGCUCGCAAAAUGGUCUGAAUUUUAAUCUAUGCUGCUUACUUAUAACACAAUGCUCGCAAAAUGGUAAACUUACCGAUUUGAGCCCCGGAAGCAAUUUUCGCUCAGAGAGAAUCUUCAAGCCUUGUUCUGACAUGUGACCAAGUUUGAGAUGCCACAUCAUCGUUGAUUCUUCUCCAUUUGACGCGACACACGUAUUAGCCUCCUGUAGUGUUUCUCCUCUAAGCAUGAAUAGAUUAGCACCGAUCUUUUCUGCUUUCAUCAAUACAAGCGCGCCUUUAACGAUCUUCAUAAUUCCAUUCUCCACAUGAGUUUUGUACCCAUGACUAUCCAUGUGUCCCAAAGACAAUAGAUUUUUCUUCAAGCCAUUGACAUGUCGUACCUCUCCAAUUGUGCGAAUUGUACCAUCAAACAUUUUUAUUUUGAUAGUACCAAUACCAGCGAUCUCCAAGGCAUGAUCAUCUCCCAUAUAUACAGAUCCUCCUGAGAUAGGUUCAUAUGUGUGGAACCAUUCUCUCCGAGAGGUCAUGUGCCAGGUAGCUCCUGAGUCUAUAAGCCAGACAUCAGACAAUCGUUUUCUGCCUUCUGAAACAGUUGUUGCCUCGCUGUAAAGAAUUUCGCCAUCAUCUGAGGUACUUGCUACACAACCCUGAGCAUUUGAUGACUCAGGUUCUUUUCCCUCUUUUCUCUUCUGGUUACUCCAACAUUCUUUCUUGAUGUGCCCUUUCUUGCCACAUUUGUAGCAUUUAACAUUAUUCUUACUCAUGGAUUUUGAUCUACCCUGAUUUUGACUCCCACUGGGGCCACGUUCCGUUGAUCUCCCUCUCGUCACCGAUAGCGCCUCCGCUUGCUGCGAACUUGCUUGUCUGUUUUCCUUAUUUUUCCACCUGCUCUCCUCAUUUAAUACGGAGGCUGCAACAUCGUCGAAAACUAGACUCUCCACUGGAUUGUUGUUCGUCAGGUUGAUGAUGAGUUGAUCAUACGAAUCUGGUAGACUUUGAAGUAGAAGCUCUGCACGUUCAUUUUCCUCUAUAUUAUGACCCAACAUUGUGAGUUGUGAAAAUAGAGUCUUCAAUGUGUUGAUGUGGUCGGUCACCAUUGUAGAUUCCGUCAUUCGAAGAGUAUAGAGUUUUCUCUUCAAGAAGAUUUUGUUGUGUAGUGACUUGGCCUCAUACAAUUUUGUGAGAGUAUCCCAUAUUUCCUUCGCCGUAUUUUUCUCUGCCACACUGGAUAAUACUCCAUCCGCAAGUGCCAAGUGUAGAUCAGAAAUGGCGUUGCCGUCUACCUCGUUCCACUUGUCAUCAGUUAUCUCCAUGGGCCUUUCUCCAAUUGCUGCCAAACAAUUAUUUUUCCUCAAUACAGCUUUCAUCUUCAUUUUCCACAAUGAAAAAUUAUUUCCGUUAAACUUCUCAAUUUCAUACUUUGCCGCCAUUUUGUUGAUAAAUACUGUACACAAGUUAGUGUACCACCUUGAAUAGUUGUGAGUAUGUGUGAUAAUGCACACCAGGAAAGUUCCCAGGAAAGACUGGAGGGGUCACAAUGGUCCCACUUAAAACCCAGACUCCUUAAGCUCUUAUCGCCUUUGUGACAGAACUUUCCUAGACAUGUACAAAACCACAGUUGUUUUUCUCACACUACUAUUCCCUGCUUUGCACCGGAAAAUUCUUGGAUCGCUUCCACCGUUUCACGUGAAUAGUACCGUAUACGUGAACAAUACCAUAUAUGUGAACAAACCCGUAUACGUGAACAACACAGUAUACGUGAAUAGUGUCGUAUACGUGUACAGUGCCGUAUACGUGAAUAGUACCCCUUACGUGAACAGUUCCCGACUCCAAAAAUACAACCAAUAGCUCUGAUACCACUGUUAGGAAAUUGGUGGGUGCAGCAGGACCGCAACUAAAAUAAAAUUGGAAAUAAAAUAAAGAACAAGCACAAUAGAGGACACCGAAAAUUACGUGGUUCGGCUUUUAGCCUACAUCCAUGGGCGAAGACAGAAGGAAAUAUUUUACUAGUGAAAUAAGGAUUACAAGUAUUGUAAGAUUUUAGCUCACUACCCAAAACCCCAAUACACCCAAUCUCUCACUCACUAGACAUGCAAGAGUUUAUUAAACUCUUGAAAACUCUCAACACUCAAAGAAAGAAAGAUUUCUCUCGAUGGAAUUGAAUACAAAAUGAAAUGAGGAGCUCUGCCUUUUAUAGCCAAAAAAUGGCUAUUAAAUUAUUAUUUUUACCACCGUCUUCAUUCUUCUAUUUUCUUCUUUCUUCUUUUUUCUUCAUUCCAAAUUUGCUGCUGCCAAAUUCUUCAACAUUUUCUUUGGCCGGCUGUCAAAGCCAACUUUGCUUAUUCAAGGGUUCUAGAUGCAGUAGCUUCUAGAUGCAGCCAAAUUUGACAAUCGAGGCAGGGCACGCUCAAGCCACGAAUUAGAGGAAUUUUAAAUAUCAAAACCAGCUCAGAAUAAUAAGAAGUAAAAUGAAACUAAAAAAGGCUCAGAUUUUUGGAUGAGUGAAGGGAAGAUGAGAAGAUGAAAUGCAGAAAGUCAAGAAAUGAAUAAACCAAUAUUAAUAAUCUUGGACCCACAUCUCUAAUUUGGAUUAAGCAUCCAUCUGCCUAUGUGGAUAAUAUUUUUGCUAAUUUUUCAGCCAUGCAGCAGGAUCAUGUUCGUCUUGUUUUAUUUGAUAGAAGGAAUUUUCCCUUGGAAGAAAAUGAUGAGUCGUUUCAACGUAAUGCAGCUACCUAGACUGCAUGGAAUUUCACCAGACAAUGACAAUUUAUUCUCAGAUAUAUCUAAAUCUAACGCCCCCACAUUUGUUUAGUCACCCAAAUUUGAAGGCGUCCGUUUUGAGACUGAUCAAAACUUUUUCCAAAAAUUCGGGAUUCAGGUCGAUCAGGCCGGUUAUGUUUUGAAAACUUGUAAAUUUUCAGUGAUCAAACUUCAAAACUUUGCAAAUAGGUCAAAAUAUGAAAAAUUCUUGAUAUAUUAUUGAAUACUCAUUUUGUUUUGCAUUAAUAUAAGGCUAUGGGUGCUAUCUAGUAAUGUUGGUAAAAUUUCUUGAGUUGAAAACAAUAAAACGAAAAUAGCUCUAAUAGAUCCACCCCUGUUUGAAACUCACUCAUAUGGAUGGGAAAGAAAUUUAGUUACCAUUGGAUUAAAAAAUAAUUAUUAUUAUUAGAAAAAAAAUUGUAAGGCUUCGACAAGAUUUGCUAAUCAUGUAUAGGUUAAAAUUUAUGUGGGUUUGGCCACCAAUUUAGCAUUAGGAACUUAUUGUUUAGGAAGCUAUGGUGGGUGUCGUAGUGGGACUUAUUCUCUUUAAUGCAUAUGGUGAUUUUAAACCAACAUUUAUAUAAUCCCAUUAUAAAACUCAUCAAACCUUCUAAAAUAACAUGUUGAGAUAGUGUGCUAGAAGUAUUUCUCCAACUUCUUAGCUUGAAGCGAUGUUCAUUUCCAUUGAUAGUUUAAUGGGCAAAGCCUUUUGAAUUCUCCAUGUUAUCAAGUUAAUUUUUGCUGGAAAAUGCAAUCCGGAUAUGAAUAGAAUUUUUUGUGCAAUCGAAUUUUCUAUGUUGACACAUCUUCUGGAACAUUCAAUAAAUUUUAUGGAGAAGUUUUAAUUUCUUAGUUGUUGAUUUCGAAUAUAUUAAGCUCUUAUUCAGUAUUAAAGUAUUGUGGCCUAAAAGAUAUAGUUCGUAUGGAAAGAAAUUUGUAAUUACAAAAUAAAAAUUGAUAAAGUGUGAUAAAUAUAAUUUCAAAAUAAAAAAUAAACUUAACUUCAAAAUUACAAUAGUAAUUAUAAAGUAUUUACUAAAUACAUUAGUGUUGCAGUAACUGCCCUACCACAAUGACAAAUAGGGGGCUAAUACUACAAAUUGUUCCAUUAAAAGUCACCCAAAAAGGAAGAAGUGACUUAAAAAAUUAAAAGAAUGCAGGAGCUGAAGUUGGCUAUUUUGUAAAUUGCAAUGGCAAUUGUGGCCUAGUAAAAUCCCUCAAUGAGUCACAGCACUAGCAAUUUCGUAAUAUACAUUAGUGGCAAUUUUGUAAAAUUGAAGUAAUGAUAGUUUUGCAAAUAAAAGUAAAAACUUUUUCCCUAAAUUCGGCUGAGCUAAAAACCAGCUUAGCCCACAGUCUCCUUCGCCACCGGUUGACGAGCUCUUCCUUCAAUUUUUGAACUUGAAGUGAUGCCCCAUCGAUGUCCAGAAUUUUUAAAGUCUCCCCAUUGUACAAGUUAAACAAUAAAGUCAGAAUGAUGAUCCUAAUGAUUCUUUUUAGAGAGUCACCUGUACGUUGAAGUGUUUAAUUGAUGUUUAUUUAAGCAGAAAUUGAAGUUUGAUCCUGAUUAAUUAGAUGAGAACACACAUUCAUGAGUAAAUACUUAAAAUUAAAUUAAUCAAAAUAGUAUAAAUACAGGAGAAAAUCGAUCAUAUGCGUACAGAAAUCACAAUCGAAUUAUAUAUAUCACCGCCGCACAGAAAUAACAAUUAAAUUGUAAUGUCAAUUGUCCACAUAAGAUUUUUUUUUUUUUUUUUUUUUUUUUUGUUGAUGAAAGUUAGUAAUUUUUUUCCAUCUUUUUAAAUAAUAGUUGUUAAUAAAUAUCAAGAAAAUAUUGGGACUGGAGAUCAGGGUCUACUUAAGUUAGAAGUGAGAGUAGUGCAGAUAUGUGGGGAUUAUAUGCAAGGUGGCUUAAAAGUAAAGGAGAUCUUACAAUGUGCUCUGAAGCCCUCUUAAAGCAAGUCAGAUCAUAUCAGGUUUCUCCAUAAAUCUCAUCAUCUUAUAAUAAGUUAGCAUUAUGUUUUACUUUGAUGUUGAUGGAAUUUGUUAAUGCUAAUCAAAUUUUGUUAAUCUCCCUCUCUUUUUUUUUUAAUUUAAAAGAAGGCAAAUAAAAAGCUUUGUGAUUUCAUUUUUGUUUUCUAAAUUUGUUAUCUAAAGGAAUGACAAGUUGAUAACUCAGCCUCUGUGUGUGUGUGUCUGUGUCAGGGAUCUGAUUUGUGGAAAGAUAGAGAUCGGUUUAAAAGGUUUUCAUAUGCAUCCUUGGAACUUUGUAAGGUUUACAUGGAAAUUUCUUCCUCUUCCGGUAGCCGUCGAGAGCUCUUUGCUGCUGAGAUGCACCUGAAGAACGUACUUAAACAAGUAAAACACCUUAUAAUUCGAUAUUUAAGACACUUACAGUUGGUUUAAAGAUUGUAUUUUCUGUUUCUGUUUUUGACUGGUUCAGGGUAAAACUUUUUCUCACUGUGUUAGAGUGCAUUUCUGUUAUUAUAUAGUUUCUUAGAAGAAAAUGCACUUUUUGGAAUCUCAGGCUAAAGGAUUUUCUGACAUGGAAGAGUUCAGGGAUCUUCAAGCUUGCCUUGAUGAAGUGAAGACAAAACUCCAAUCUGGUCCCGUGGCUACCUAAGUAUCAGGAAUGUGCUAUUUUUGAAAUUUAGUAACAAGGUUAAAUCUGCAACUAAAAAUUAUUUUAGUUUGUACUGUAGUGGAGACCUUAAGCAGGACUGAAUAUCUUGUAUUGUUGUAUCACCUUUUCUGUAACAAAACGGUCUAGUUUUACUAUUUUUAUUAUUUUUGUAUUUUCGGUGCUGUAACUAAUCUCAUUUGACAAUUUAAAUAUAUGGCUUCAAGUUCUUUAAAUGUAACAUCAAGUGUUGUUUCAACCUCUGUUCUUUUAUGUAUUUCUUGCAUGCGGUGAUUUCAUUAACCUCAAUUUAAGGACAAUUUCAUAUCUUUUUUCUUUCUGCUUUUCUUUUAUCAUUUAAAAACAACACACACACACACACACACAUUUAUAUUUCAGAAGAGGAAAUUGCACGGGAUAUGACUCAAUACUUGCUAAAUGCCAAGACUAUGACCCAAUUAUUUACAUGCCGAGACUAUGACCGAAUAACAAGUGAAAGUACACAAAUAUCCUUAUAAGUAACUAAGUUAAAAAUAUAAAACUUGAGUUAGGAAGUUUAGGAAUGCAUUGAACUUGUAUUCAUUACUUUGAUUAAUCCAUUUACCGUUAUACAAGACAAUAACACGUACCAUAUCCAUUUACAUAAAAAUUAUGAGUUGACAAAGUAAGAAUAUUAACAAAAAUAAGUUGUUAAAAGUUCUUGUAGACUUCUGUGCUUCAGUUCUAGACUUCUAGAUUUAUAGACUUACCUACAUGUCUAUAAGUCUAGAUGUAAAGAAGUCACGAAAACGAUAACAAUGAUAAACAAACUCAAUUCAACAACAAAUUUGAUGUGUAAAAAUUGUGUUGAAGAAUUUUUUGGAAUCUGUUUGAAUUUGUUAAGGGAAUGUGAUGAUUUUAGUAAGUGUUUGAUAACAACUUAGAAUGUUGGACGCAUUAUAGUGCUGGGUGCAUGCUUUUGUUGGAAAAGAUAAGGGCAUUUUAGACUAGGGAUCACCAAAAUGUCAUACAAAUUUAAUUGAGUAAAAUUUGUCAUAUUUAUAUAAAAUGUACAUGAUUUUGUCAUAUAUAAAUAAAAAACCCAUUUCAGAAAGCAUUUAAACAAAGCGAGAGUACAAUAAAAAACCCAUUUUAGAAAGCAUUUAAACAAAGCCAGAGUACAAUAUAGAAAGAUUUUACUCAUUCUAAGUGUGUACCAAACAAAGAAAUGAACUCUCCUUUUCUAGUUAUAUAAUUAUUACAUGAAAUUAAUAAAAACAUGACGAAUUAUAAUUCCUUGCGAUAUAGUGGGGGUUAUAGAAAAGUCAAGAGUUGCUAGUGGAAGAUAAUAGGGAGAGUACAAUAUAUAUAUUAUGAACAUUCACAUUUAUUUUAAUAAAUUCAUAGCAUUUUUUUUGCUUAAAUAACAGGGUGUAUGUAUAUAUAUAUUGACAUAAAAAUUGCAUGACGUGUGGUUUAGCGUUUCUUGGUUGUUCAGUGCUAGUUUUAUGUCAAUUUUUAUUGACAUAAAAAUUGCAUGACACAAAAAAGGCUGUUUUAACCAACUAAAAACCAAAAGCUAAAACCCAAAACCCCCCUCUUUUUCGUUUUCCAGGGACUUCACCUUGAUAUUCAACCAACACUUCUGAUGUCUGCCCUUCAAUAAACCAAGUCAUUCAUACACAUGAUUCUACUAUUGGUGAUGCCUCUGAUGUUUUUGUGACCCCAAAAUUAUUGGGGAAUAGUCAUGAAUCUGAAUCUGGAGUCCAAUGCAUUCACGCUGGUGGCUCAGCAGCCCAUUUAAAGGCAAUCCAACAGGCAGUGAUCUUGUCGAGGUGCCUUCUAAUAGAAAAGAGCUCAUGGCAAGAUGAAAUGCAAAGUAAGUUGUUUUAUGGUUGGCCGGUGUGUAGUCAUCUCGUUAAAGGCCAUAAGAUGUUUAGCAUAUUGCUAUUUAAUUUUUAAAUCAUUCUCAGUAAUAAUUCCUUUAGUAGAUUGAUGAUAAGAGAUUGCAUUACAGAUGAUAACGGAGCACAAUUUUUGUAGUUGUAUCCCUGUACAUCCAUCUUAAUAUCCUCAUUAUAUUCACAUGCCUUUUACGGGUGUUAUUUCUGGAUGCCGAAUGCUUUGCUCCACGUCUGGAUACCAAAUGCUUUGUUCCACAAAGCUGAGCUGGUUGAAAAGCUAGCUGAUGAGGUCAACACGUCCCUUAAGUAAUUUGAGGAUGAACACUGUGUUCCCGAAAGUCUUACUCUAAUGAUACUUAAAGAAGCAAUGAGAAUGGAUGUUGCAGCAGCUUUGCUGAACUCAACUCCAGUUCCAAAAAUGGAACAUGUGAAAACCGAAAAUGCAUUGUUUUUUUUUUUUUCCUCUUUAUGACUUCUCUAGUUGGGGAAUGUAUUAGAUAUUCACCUAAUCAGUAGGCCUUGAAGGGAUCCCAUGUUAGCCCCUUGAUGUUGGUCUGUAACUAAGUAAAUACUUGACCUUGAAAAAGCUUUUGGAGGCAUCAGUUUCUCUCUGACUGGUGCUACUUUUUGGAUCUGUUGAUUUGGUCAUUUGCUGAUUUAUAGUUUGUUUUCUGAUUCAGGAUGGGAUAUGGCUCCAUACAUAGAGGCAACUGAUUCACAGCAGUCGUCAUGCUUCAUUGUAAAUAUAUAUACAAUACAGCAUCAGUUUUUCUUGAUUUUAAAUCUCAUAUUCUGAAGUGGUACUUCUGAUUCUCACAUGAUUUUUCCAUCUUUCAGCUAAAGUUUUUCUGUGAUCUCUUACGUAUUAGAUGGGAAUCCACCCGCAGUCGCACAAAAGGGCGUGCUUUAGAGAUGAUGGACAAACUGGUAUGAUCUGUGAGCCUUUUCUUCUUAAAUAUUUUGUUACCUAAACCAUUUUCAUUCAAAUUGACAAGUGUUGCUUAUCAAUCUAUAGAAGAUUCCAAACUUUCUGCAGCUAGUACUUUAUUGGACCCAAAAGCUUUUUUGCUUUUUCUAAGCUGCUAAUCAGGACUAGGUUUCUCUCCCUUAUAUCGCUAGAUAUCCCAUUAAUCGUUUGAUUUAGUUGUCUAGAGAGAUUAGGUACUUGCAUCUUCGCUUUUCACUUCACAAGUGAUUUCAUGUGCUAUCCUGUAUUCUGGUUCAAGAUUUUUGAAGGUUGCUUACCAUCAUAUUUUGCUUUGUUUCAGGUUGAGGGCAUUUCUAAUUCUUCUCCCGGUGUGACUCAAAGGAUUCCCUUUUGUUAUGUGAUUUAAGUUCCAACUAUUCCUACCCUGCGAAAGUAAUACUAUUUCUUUUGCUUCUUUGAAUGAUUGUGAUUUAAUUUUCUUGUCAUUUUGCCAACUAUCAUUAUGCUGUCAUUGUUUCAUAUCUUAUUUGACAUAUGUUGAUUUGGUUAGAGUUUAAUUGCUCUGUUUAUUCUCUUUAUAAUCUGUCUAUUUCGAUUUUUCUUGAUUUUAGGGAAUAUGCUGAACUUUUAGUAAGCUGUGGCUUGAUUGGAGAGGCUAUUAAAAUUUUUGAGGAUCUGGAGUUGUGGGAUAAUCUAAUAUACUGCAACUGGUAUGAUGUCAUAGAUAACCAUUAUCCUAAUCUCUCUGUCUGUCUGUCUGUCUCUAUCUCUCUCUUUCGUGUUGCUAAUGGGAGUUGGUUUUUUGUAUGAUGUAAAAAACAGCCUAUUGGGGAAGAAAGCAGCAGCUGUUGAACUAAUAAAAGCAAGGCUGUCUGAAAAGCCUAGUGACCCUAGAUUAUGGUUGGUUAAUGAGCCUUUUCUAUGAUCCAUUUUAUAGUUACUUCUCAUUUCAGUUAAAUCCAUUGUUGAUGUCACUUAUUGCAAUCUAGGGAUAAUUGUUCAUUGGUUGUAAGGAUAUUGUCAGAAGAAAAUGAAACCUUUUAAUUUUGUCUUUUACUUGCUGUAGCCGAUUUAAAAGCUCACUGUGCGUUCUUACUGAUUGCUUUUGGUCUUGCAUUUGAGUCAAUGGAUUUUAUACUCAUAUUCUGACAUUUAUUGUUAGUCUUCUGACGGUUCUGCACCUUGGUCCUAUAUUAUCUUCAGCAGUAUUAUCUAAAAGAUAAGUUUUUGCCGAAGAAAAUUUGCAUUCUAAACUAGAAAAUGAGGGGCCGGGGGGAGGGGGGGGGGGGGGUAGGUUGGGAGGCAACGGGAGACUGUUUUCCACUUAUCCUCUUCCCUGCCUGCAUUUUAGAUGAUUUUGAUGCACCAGGUGCCGUGAAAUGGUUGAGAAAUACAUACCAUCAAGUGAAUUCUGAAAAUCAUUUCCUUUUUGAAAAUAUUUGGUGCUAGACAUUUGAAUAUAUGGCCACAAUUUAAACAAUAAAGAUUUUCUGCAUUGAUUUCUUAUAAUGGAUAGAUGCAUGUAAGUAAAAUAUGAUAUCUUUUGAUUAUUGGCCCAUUUGUUCAGAAAGAAGGAAAAAAAAAAAAAUACAUGGUUGAAAGACAACUGUUACUUGACCUUAUGAUACAUUUUGUAGGUGUUCAUUAGGUGAUGUUACAAAUAAUGAUGCCUGCUAUGAAAAAGCUUUGGAAGUUUCGAAUGAUAAGUCAGCUCGAGCUACGGUGAUAUUGUAGUUCACAUUAUGCUUGUGCCGUGAUCAUUUUUUAGUUAACAUAUCUUUAUGUGAAUCAGAGGUCUCUAGCUCGUAGUGCAUACAACAGAGGGGAGUACGAGACAUCUAAAAUCCUUUGGUAUGUUGCUUUAAUGCUUUACUUCUCUUUCUGCCACACAGUAAUUUGCUGCAUUGACAACUGAUACGGCUGAAUGACAAUUUACCCUUGGUUUUGUCUCGGGGAGGCUGCCAUGGCCUUGAAUUCUUUGUAUCCGGAUGGCUGGUUUGCUCUUGGUGCUGCUGCAUUGAAGGUAUCAUAUUUUUGUAUUAGUAUGUGUUUAGUGUGAAGCAAUUUCUUAUCCUUUUGCCCCAAGUUUCUGAAACUCUCGGCUGAAAUAUAAAUACAGGCUCGGGAUGUUGAAAAGGCUCUGGAUGGGUUUACUCGGGCUGUUCAACUUGAUCCAGACAAUGGGGAAGCUUGGAACAAUAUUGCUUGCUUGUAUGCUCUUUUCUUUGUCAUCAUGUCAUUCCAUCCUCUUGCUCUGUAUUCUUUAAUAUUGUGUCAAUCACAUUCAUCUUCUAUCUGCAAGAGUAUGCUUCCCAUAUUUGGUUUACUUUGUUUUGACUUUCUUGUUGCAGUUGUUCUAUAUAAAUUUUAUAUGGUUCCAUAUUCCCUUGAUGAGUGAAUUUAGUUGCUGCAAAUGUUAAGAACUAGAUAGUACUGUUAUAAUUAGGAAUAGGGCAAAUAUUAGCCAGCUCUUUUGAGGAUUAUCCAUAGCAUAUACCUCCGUCGUUUUCAAAGCGAUUGAAGUUCUCCCUUUUGUCUUAUUUAAAAGAAAAAAGCACAAAUUGCUUCCCUCACAUCUAUCUACAGUCUCUUUUCUCUCUGUUUAAUUUUUUCUUGUGCUUAUUAUUUGUCUUUUAAUGCAUCUUUUCUUCUUAUUUUAUACUGUACUAGAAUUUGUGCUGUCUCGAUUUUAUCUUGCAUGUGAGUUACUGUGUUUUUCGCAAUUGUAGAACUUUAUUUAGCAGCAUAAUUAUUAGUUAGUGAGACAUUAAUUGGUUAAUACCACUUGUGAAGAUACGAAGAGCUACUUAUUCUCUCUUCUAGUACAUUUAAAAAAUUCAUGACAAAAUAUCUGGGAUGGUAAAAUUCUCGUCAAUUAUAACUACGGAAGUCUUGAGAUUUAUGUAGUCUUGCAGGCAUAUGAUCAAGAAGAAGAGCAAAGAGGCUUUUACAGCAUUCAAGGAGUCCCUAAAGUUGAAGUUCUGUCUUUUUUCCCCCUGAUCACUACAUUUUUAUUUUCUGUCAUGCACAAUGCAGUCGGACACUAUCUGAUCACAAGAAAACUGUCAUACAUAAUUUGUUGCUGCUAGGCAAAAGGUGAUAUCUAAUGUAAUAACCUAUAACAUGAUUUUGUAACAGACGGAACAGUUGGCAAUUGUGGGAAAACUACAGCCAUGUUGCUUUGGAUGUGGACAAUAUUGGUCAGGUAACCGCGGUUGUGCGCUUAAUGUCCAUCAUUUAUCACUGAAAUCUUUUGAGAUGAAGCUGGCAUUUCCUUAGCCACCCUCUGAUGGUUUUGAUUGCUUCAUGUAUGUUGUCAUCUUUGUCAACUAAUGAAAGCUGCAGAGAUUUUGUCAUCUUUUCAUUUAAAAGAAUUUGAUAGUUUAUAGCCCAUUGUCAUGUUUGCAUAUGUAUGUUAUUGUUCUUUUGACCUUUUUGUACCUCAGCUUCAUCCUUUUAUGCAAGCAAUUCUUUGUCAAGAAAUAUCUGGUUAACAAUUUCUUCGCAUGAAUAUUUUUACGGUCAUCAAGGUCCUUGAACAGUCAUGGUUAAUUGAUUACAGAUUCUCAAAUUUAUAAUUAUUUUUUUCAGGGUCAUUGUCCUUUGAUAUAUGCAAUUGAUGCAUGACUUUCUAACCAUUAUCUCCCUGCCUUCACCAUGGUCGUAUAAAUAUUUUGACAAGUGGGGAUUUUAUGAUUACUGUGUGCUAGGAAUUUUUUUGGUUGGAAAGAAAUGGGAGGAUUUUUCAAGAAGCUAGGGAGGGAAGACACCAAAUUUUUUUUGGUGGAUAAAGCCUGCUGUCACUUUGGGCAUCAAUUUCUAAUGAAUGCAAUAAUGUUCCUUUCUUUGCUAUUCAUUAAAAUUGAGUUGUUCUUCUUGGAUGGCCUUCUUUUUACUUCCCAUCAUUUUGCCAGCUUGUUGAUUGUCAUUUUUGCUUGUUGGCAGUCUUUUCCUGCAGUGUUGAUAAUAUUUAAUUAUAAUAUUAGACAACAGUGUCCUCAACAUGAUCUCUCUCCCAAAUUAUUACUCUUUUAUUCAUUAUACUUUUAGCAGUUUCUUUAUUUUUGUUAUAUUUUAUGUUUUCAGGCUCUAGAGGCUGUGCAGAUGGUGUUGAACAUGACUAAUAAUAAACGAAUUGAUACUGUAUUAUUAGAAAGAAUAGUGCUAGAUAUGGAAGGAAGGACUUCAAUUAUAGAAUCUGAGUCUUGCAGGACUACCCAUAAUCUUAACAGAACUAAUAACACUUGUGCAAAAGAUUAACCUGUAGAAUCUGUCCAUGUAUCAUCACCUGAGGAGUCAAUCAUGGGAAGAUCGCGAGAAAAUGAGCACUUGAUGGAGUUUCUUGGGAAAAUUCUUCAGCAGGUUGCACAUGGCUCCAUGAUCAUCUUUUUUCUGUCUUUUAAUACUGAGCCAAGGGACAGUCUCUCUCUUUCACGCAUAUCCACAACACAUGUACAUAUUUCUCAUAUUUCUAUGCGUAUAUAUUGUCAUUUCUGAUCUUUCUUAGUUUAUAUGAUAAUUGUCUUUGGGCAUAUGAUUCAUAUUUUCUGGGCACCCUAUGGUCUGUGGGUCAAUAAUAAUCCAUAGUAUCUGAAUUUCUAGACAAAAUUGGUCAUUUUAGCAAAUCAUUUGGAUGUAUCUAUGCAGCAGUUUACUAUUUUAGUGCUUGCAGGAAUUGGUAUGCUUAAAUUUUGGGCUUAAAUUGUGUGAAAAUAAUCAAAGUGAUAUGCAAAUUAAUUCAAGCCACAUGAGGAAAGAAUAUCCUUUUUUUUUUUUUUCAGCUUAUGUUACAUGUUUCUGUGUAUGGCAUAGGUAGUUCGAAGUGAGAGUAGUGCAGAUAUGUGGGGAUUAUAUGCAAGGUGGCUUAAAAAUAAAGGAGAUCUUACAAUGUGCUCUGAAGCCCUCUUAAAGCAAGUCAGAUCAUAUCAGGUUUCUCCAUAAACCUCAUCAUCUUAUAAUAAGUUAGCAUUAUGUUUUACUUUGAUGUUGAUGGAAUUUGUUAAUGCUAAUAAAAUUUUGUUAAUCUCUCUCUCUCUUUCUUUUUUAAAGAAGGCAAAGAAAAAGCUUUGUGAUUUCAUUUUUGUUUUCUAAAUUUGUUAUCUAAAGGAAUGACAAGUUUACAAUUCAGCCUCUGUGUGUGUGUGUGUGUGUGUGUGUGUGUGUGUGUGUGUCUGUGUCAGGGAUCUGAUUUGUGGAAAGAUAGAGAUCGGUUUAAAAGGUUUUCAUAUGCAUCCUUGGAACUUUGUAAGGUUUACAUGGAAAUUUCUUCCUCUUCUGGUAGCCGUCGAGAACUCUUUACUGCUGAGAUGCACCUGAAGAACGUACUUAAACAAGUAAAACACCUUAUAAUUCGAUAUUUAAGACACUUACAGUUGGUUUAAAGAUUGCAUUUUCCAUUUCUUUUUUUGACUGGUUCAGGGUAAAACUUUUUCUCACUGUGUUAGAGUGCAUUUCUGUUAUUAUAUAGUUUCUUAGAAGAAAAUGCACUUUUUGGAAUCUCAGGCUGAAGGAUUUUCUGACAUGGAAGAGUUCAGGGAUCUUCACGCUUGCCUUGAUGAACUGAAGACAAAACUCCAAUCUGGUCCCGUGGCUACCUAAGUAUCAGGAAUGUGCUAUUUUUGAAAUUUAGUAACAAGGUUAAAUCUGCAACAAAAAAUUAUUUUAGUUCGUACUGUAGUGGAGACCUUAAGCAUGACUGAGUAUCUUGUAUUGUUGUAUCACCUUUUCUGUAACAAAACAGUCUAGUUUUAUUAUUUUUGUAUUUUCGGUGCUGUAACUAAUCUCAUUUGCCAAUGUAAAUAUAUGGCUUCAAGUUCUUUAAAUGUAACAUCAAAUGUUGUUUUCAACCUCUGUUCUUUUAUGUAUUGCUUACAUGCCGUGAUUUCAUUAACCUCAAUUUAAGAAAAAUUUCAUAUCAUUUUUUUCUGCUUUUCUUUUAUCAUUUAAAAACAACACACACACACAUAUAAGCAAAGAAGCAACUGAAAGUUAUCUUCAUGUGAGAAUGAAAACUUUUCAGCAGCAUAACCCUUUCACUGUUCAAUUCCAAACAUGUUCCUCAACAUGAUAACAAAUUCGCAGACCUUUUCUGGGUCUGGAAGGAUCCUCGCAACAGUUUCUCUUUGCAUGCACUCAUUCUCAACCUUAAAUCCCCCAAAUUUCUCAACCGCGUAAAACCAACAAGUCAGUGGAAUGGCAAUGACAUCAACGAAUCCAAAGCUAUCCCCGCCAAAGAAAUCCUUCUCCCCUAAAGCUCCCACAAGUUGCUUCAAUAUCUCUAUAAAUUCAUUCUUCGCCGUCCCUGGGACCUUGCCCUUGCUUUUCCAUAUGUUGCAUACUGCAUCGAUUACCUGCCAAAAGAGUGGUGUCAUCUUUGCAUUUAGAAAGAUACAAACAUUUACACUUGAGAAUUAUAGACUGACCUUCUUGUCAAUAAAAUCUGCCCAGAACCUUGCCUUAGCUCUCUCAGAAGCACAGGAUGGGAGAAGUGGUGGCGAAGGCCAAGUCUCGUCAAUGUAGUUAACUAUAACGGUGGAUUCACACAAUGGUUUCCCAUCGUGUAGCAAAACUGGGACUUUCUUGUAGAUGGGGUUUGAUUUGAGCAGCAGGUCACUCUUUGCCCCCAAACAAGUUCUCAGCUCUGGCUCAUAUUCAACUCCUUUCUCAGCCAAUGCAAUCUUUGCCCAACAGUCCAAAAGAACAACCUCUCCCUUUGACAAAUUCACUUUCUUUGUUCUUGUUUCUUUUAGUUGGCUGAUAGUAAUUAAACCUUGAGUAUCAAGGUUAAUUGGCAUUUAUAAAGGAGAAAAGAUGAAAUUCCCAAAGUUUGUGUCGCAAUCAACUUUUGUUCGUUGGCACUUCCUUAAAGGAUGUGUUUGAGGGAAAUACUCCGACGAGACCAGACGUGAUGAGCAGAUGUUUAGUGGCAGAAUUCUGCGAGCAGGUAUGUCCUGUAAGAGCCAGGUAGCAGGGGAACAGGGGCAGGAAUAUCCUGCUCAUCCACGAGCACGUCAUCUGCGAGGCCAAUUUCCUGUAAGAGGCAUAAAGCCAUUCCUGCUGUAUUCUCGCUGAGGGUUGAUUCGAGGAGACCCGGUCAACGACAGUUGGCGAGGCAUGCUCUCCAGCCCGAGAAUCUAGGCACGAAGGCCACGCAACCACCCAUGACUACGGAAAUGGGGAAUCCACGUUCGAGAGGUGGGAGGAUAACGGGCGUAGACUGCGGAAAACUGGGAUUCAGAGGAAGCCUAUAAAAAGGUAGCCAACGAAGGUAAAAGGGUUAGCAUUUUUGAGAUUAGAAGAGAGCUAAAGAAAUUCUAAAGAAGAGCAAACUACGAAAAAGCCAUAAGAUUUGUGGCAAACAUUCCCAGAACCCCUAUAUCUGACUUGAGCGUCGGAGGGUUUGCGCCGGGAAAACAACCGGCGUACUCUGACUUGUCUGUGUGCGCAGGAACCUCUGGAGAAGAAGCCUUACGAGGAGACCUCCUGGUCGUGGUGAAGUUGAUCGAGCAGAGAGCCUGGUCGUAGAACGAGGAGAACCAGAAUCUCGCAUCAAUAGGAUGUGGCAUUGUUCUUAUCAUUUCUUAGUUUUUGAAGCUUACUGUUUUACUUGGCUUUCAACAUGCACAAGAACAAGUUUGUCUUGUGCAUGCGGAGUUUACUAUGGACAAGCCGAAUCGUAAGUAACCAUUUACACUAAUCAAUCGGUAUUGUCCAGUGAAAAUAAGUAAUGUAAAAAGUGUCUAGGAUUUUUCCUAAUAUUUCUCAAAAUAGGCUCAUUAAGCCCAAUUCUGGUGCUAGAUUGGUUCAACUUUGAAUCAAACUUGGAAACAUUUUUCUUUAGAUUAUUAUUAUUAAUUUAGAAGAGUCAAAAAGCUAAGAGUAUCGUUAGUAAAUGUCAAACAUGUGUAAUAUCACAUAUCACUAGUCAGUGAGUUUCGUAAACUUUCCUAAUUAAGAAGACACGUUUUGAGUUGUAAAUUCUAACACAAUAUCUAUUCAGUUGUUUAACUUGGAAUAUUACAAUUAUAUCAAUAUUGUUUGAUGUGGGCACACAACCUUGCGUCUUCUUAGUUAGGACAGCCAAUUAAAUCCACUUCUUAGCGAUGCAGGGGAUGAUACAUAACUUGUAUGUGCACGUUGGCGGAGUAUCCCAAUUAUGCACUCAUUUGUCUUCUUGUGUUUUAAAAAAUCUAUUGUACUGGAUAUACUGUAAAUUUAUCAAAUUGCUUGUUAUAAUGCUUCUAUUUGCGUUGUUAUUCGAGUUGUCAUUUUGAGUUUUAUUUUAUUUUUUCUUUAAACAUAAUUAAUUUGAAAUGUUCUUUAAUUUUCAUUACACUUGAGAUCAUCAAAUAAGUGAUUCGUGAACAUAAUUGCUGUUGUUACUCGAAUAAGAAAAGAAAACAACGAUUUGCUAAGGUAAAAGUAAAUGGAAAUGAGAGCACGUGAUUUUGCAAAGAGAACUUCACACUAUCAUAAAACCGAAAACAUUACAAUUUAAAGCUUAAAUAACAACACACCAAAGCCAAAUAACGACCCACUAGAAUCACGGUCCAAAGAUUGUGCCAUGAUCACAACAUGAACUACAAAAAAAUAACCAACACCAGAAAAGUAGGAACAGUUUAAAACUUUCAUUUAAGCAGCAUUUAUGAUUCCACAUCAGCAGUCCUAAACACAUCUUCUAACAAUUGCAACUGUUCAUUUUUGCUUCUGCCAAUAAGGAGUUGAUAGUAACCAAAGAUUGUUGUCUUUAUUGUCAUUUGAGAGUAACCAAUUACUUACGCAGUCACGUAAGUUGCUGGUAGGCCUCGCACAUUUUUGACAAGUUUGUUUCUGAAGGAAAGCAGCUGAGCCGCAACCUCUUCCUUGUUCAUUCGUUCUCUCGGCAACUCUGAAGAGCAAAUGACUCCGAUUUCCAGUACUGAAACCAAGCACUCUUUACCACCAAAACUUCUAGUCCUUUGUUUGUGAGCAUUGGCCUCGCUUGUCUCCCCUUCUUCUCUUUCUACAAGAAGCACUGGAUUAACAAUUUCAGCGAGUCUUUCAGGAAGAGCUUCCUUGACAAAAUUAUGUAGGGUUAGAUUGCCUGUAAACAUCUCAUUCGUCGGCCCCUUUCCUGUAAACAUUUCCAGCAAAAGAAUGCCAAAACUGUACACAUCUCCACUUGUUGAGACUUCGCUCCCCAUUCCGUACUCUGCAAUUCGAAAAUUAAAAUUGUUGGUUCAACUAGUAAAAUCUCCGAGGAUUGAAAAACAAGUUGAUUAAAUUAGAGUAUUUACCUGGAGCAGCAUAACCAACAGUUCCUUUUACUCCAACAGAGCUUGAUUGAUUAGAUGACAAGUUAUUGGCGGCUUCCGGAAGGAAUUUUGCUAAUCCAAAAUCACUUACAUGGGCAGUCAAUUCACCAUCCAGAAGAACAUUGCUUGGCUUGAGAUCACAAUGGACUAUUGGAGUUUCACAAUAAUGAUGAAGAUAUUCCAAUGCGGAAGCAACAUCAACGGCAAUACUCAGUCUUUGCAGGAGAUUUAGAUUCCUAGGUGCGUCACGGUUUGGAUGCAACCAUUCCUCCAGGCUCCCGUUAACCAUCAACUCAUAAACUAAAGCCUCAAAAUCAUUCCCUUGGAAGUCAACACUUACACAGGAAGUUAUUAUUUUGACGAGAUUCCGAUGCCUAAUACUCCUCAAGGCUUGACACUACGCUAUGAAACUCUUUGAAGCUCCACGAUGUUGAAGAUUAAGCACCCUAACUGCCACCAGCGUUUCAUGAUCAUCGUGAUCCAGGAUUCCUUUAUAGACCGAACCAAAGCUACCGGCACCAAUCAAAUUUUCCAAAGAGAACCCAUCAGUUGCUUUGAACAGAUUCUGAUAGGACACUCGUAAAACCGAAGCCAAUAAUGUUGAUGGAGGAGUGGACGGCUCCCUUUUUGUUUUGCUCCACCAGGAAGUAAUUAUCAAACACGACAUCCCUGUCAGGAACAAAAUUCCUGUAACUAUAGGAAUAAUCAGUUUCAGGGAACGGGAACGUGAUUGCUUUGAUUCUUUGGUGGAGCAAGUACAUAAAUGCAACUCAGAUAUGCCACCACAAAGGUUAUCAUUUCCGUCAAGAGAUAUAGCACUCGAAUUGCUGAAGACUCCUUUUAUUGGUACUUCACCCUCAAAAUGAUUAAAAGACAGAUUUAAAUUCUGCAAAAAGAAAAAGUUUUCCAGAUAUUUUGGAAUCCGGCCAGACAAAUUGUUCCGCGAAAGAUCAAGAUUCUCAAUGCCUCUCAAAGAACUGAAUGAUGAAGGGAUAUUCCCCUGAAAGAAAUUACCGUUCAUGACGAGUUGUUCCAACCUAAUGCAACUUCCUAUACUGCUUGGAAUUUGACCAGACAAUUUGUUCUCCGAUAUAUCUAUAGCACCCAGAUUUUUCAAGAUACCAAAAUUUGAGGGCAAAGGACCAUUCAAUUGGUUUUGAGAUAGAUCGAGAUAGAUUGACAAGGAAGAGAGACCGAUCACUUCAGUGGGUAUGGUACCAGUGAGGUUGUUAUUAGAGAGAUCUAAUAAUAUCAAGUUUUGGCAUUUCCCUAGACUUGAUGGAAUGCUUCCCUCUAACAUGUUUUCCGCAAAAUUUAGUGUGAUUAACAAUGUCAAAUUUCCUAUAGAAGAUGAAAUUUCCCCCCAAAACUUGUUCCCCUCCAACCUCAACGUCUGAAGCUUUUGAAGAUCUCCUAUACUUCCCGGAAUUCGGCCUGUGAAUUGGUUUUCCUCAAGAUAUAAAAGCUCCAAGUUAACAAGGUUUCUUAAUCCACUUGGGAUAUUUCCGAACAAUUGAUUGUUUUCAGCUGAUAACAUUCUAAGUCGGGUUGACAAGUUCCCCACAGUUUCAGGUAACAUUCCACCAAAAUUGUUAUCACUAAUUAACAGUAGCUCUAGUCUAGAAGCGUUGACCAAAGAAUUGAAAAAUUCCAAGUCAUCUUUUUCCCCAUUUCCUAAGUGAUUCACAGAAAUACUAACCACUUCGAGUUUAUGUAAAUUUUCCAAACUAGGCACCUUUCCACUGAAUCCAUUCAUCGCGAUUAUAAGUUGCAUUAGAUUUGAGGCAUUGGAUAUUGAAGCAGGAAUAGGCCCGGUAAACUGAUUAUCACCAACGUUUAGAUAUUCAAGAUUAGGAAGAGUGAAGCCUAAGUCUGAUGGAAGGCUUCCUUGAAGUUGGUUGACAGUAAAAUCAAAAUCACUAAGCGAAGACAAGUUGUAGAUUGAGAAGGGGAUUUCACCUGAUAGCUUAUUUGAAUCAAAUGAUAUAAAACGCAUCCUCUUAAGCUCGCCCAGGGUUUCAGGAAUUUGUCCUACAAAUUGAUUUAUAGUUGCUGAGAGGACCUGGAGUGAUGAUAAAUUGCCGAAGGAUGAUGGGAUUUCUCCUGACAAAUUGUUGGAGUGUAUUACGAGAAUCCGGAGCUUUGAUAAGGAGCCCAGUUUCCCUGGAACUUUCCCCGCAAGCUCAUUACUGCCUAACCAGAGGGAUUCAAGGUUAACGCAAUGCGAUAUGUUGUCAGGAAUUUGACCUCCAAAUGUAUUGUUGUCCAGCCAUAAAAAUCGUAACCUGAACAGAUAUCCAAUCUCUUGAGGGAUUUCGUUGCGGAAAAUUAGAAUUAGAUAUAUUGAUUUGGAAUGUUUGUUUACAGAGAAAAUCUGAGCAAGAGAGAAAGAAAAUUUAUUCUUGUUAUUAUUAACAAAAUGGGAUCACCAGCUUAUAUAUGUUGCUUGCUGGAAUCUCUUUUACGCACUCAUCACUUUCACGUGUAUUUCACCUUUUUAGAGAAGCUAAAUAACAAACUAAACAGACUAACGACUACUUUGCUGACUGGACUGCCACGUCACCAUAACUGAAUUAACUAAACUAAUGCUGUUAACACAUAUUCUUAUCAUCCCCCCUCAAGCUUAAGUUCGGGGAAGAACAUUAAGCUUGGUACGAAGAUAAGCAAACUGAUCAAAGAAGAGGGGCUUGGUGAGAAUGUCUGCAAGUUGUUCUGAACUAGAAACAUGACUGAUAGUCAGUUGCUUCUGUGCAAUGUGCUCUCGAAUAAAAUGAAGAUCCAACUCAAUAUGUUUUGUACGAGAGUGAUACUUGGGGUUGCUAACUAGUGCCUCAGCACUCUGAUUAUCACAAUACAAAACUGGACUGUGAGUAGGCUGAAUAUGCAGCUCUUGAAGUAAAUAAGUCAGCCAAAGAAUUUCAGAGGUUGCUGAAGCAAGAGCCCGAUAUUCGGAUUCUGCUGAGGAAUGAGAAACAAUUGUCUGUUUCUUAGAAGACCAGGAAAUAAUGUUGUUGCCUAAGAAGGCACAAUACCCUCCAGUAGACUUUCGAUCAUCUGGAUCAGCUGCCCAAUCAGCAUCAGAAAAUGCUGUUAAAGUCACUGAUCCUGAAUUCCAAAGUGUGAAGUAGCUUGUAGAUAUCGAAGAACCCUUUUGCAAGCUUGCCAGUGUGCAAUAGUUGGAUGAGCUAGGAACUGACUGAGUUUGUUUACAGGGUAAGCUAUGUCAGGUCUGGUAAGCAACACAUAUUGAAGAGAGCCUACAAUGCUUCGAUACAAGGAGGGAUUAUCAAAGGCUGUACCACUGUCCUUUGUAAGCUUAGCACCUGGACUCAUAGGAGUGUUAAAACCUUUGCUGUCAAGCAUAUUUGCUUUGCUAAGGAUAUCACCAAUGUAUUUGGUUUGAGAUAAAUGCAGUCCCUGAACAGAGGGUGUCACUUCAAUACCAAGGAAGUAGUUAAACUCGCCCAGAUCUUUGAGUGCAAAUUCUGAAUGAAGAUAUUGAAUAACAGCCUCAAGAUGUUGAGAAUUAGAACCAGUAACCAAAAUGUCAUCAACAUAUAUAAGAAGGAGCACAAUAUCAUUGCCAAUAUGUUGAAUAAACAUAGAAGUAUCAGAUUUGGAAGAAUGAAAACCUUUAUUGAGUAAGGAACCCUUCAGCCUCUCAUACCAAGCCCGAGGAGCUUGUUUGAGACCAUAUAAGGCCUUGUUUAAUUUGCAAACAUAAGAUGGAUGUGCAGAGUCUAUAAAACCUUGUGGCUGAUGCAUGAACACAUCUUCUUCAAGCAUGCCAUUUAGAAACGCAUUAUUAACAUCCAGCUGUCUAAUUUGCCAAUGAUGCAUCACUGCGAGGCUGAGUACAACUCUGACUGUGCAAGGUUUCACAACUGGGCUGAAGGUCUCAAAGAAGUCCACUCCUUGAGUUUGAUGGUAACCCUUGGCAACCAACCUAGCUUUAUACUUGGAAAUGCUGCCAUCAGGAUUAUACUUCACCCUAUAGACCCACUUAUUGCCAACUAUUUUAGCAGCACUGUCAGAGGGUACUAGAGUCCAGGUUUGGUUCCUUUGUAGAGCAUCAAAUUCCUCCUUCAUAGCAUGAAACCACUUAGGAUCAUGCAAGGCACUUUUUACACUGGCUGGCACAAGAUUUUCAGUAGCUGCCAGAUAUGAUUUGGGUUUGAAAACACCAGCUUUAGCUCUAGUAAUCAUUUGGUGAGAUGGUAAAGAAGAUGAGUGAGGUGGUUCAGCUGAAGAAUGAAAGGAAGGAGAAGGCUGUGCUGAACUGGAACUUGAUGGAGAAGACAUUGCUGGCUGAGGAUUAGGAGAUGAUGACUCUACAGUGCUACUGUCAACCUGAGCAGAACUUUGAAGAAAGGAAAAUUGUACUGGUGAAGAUGAGACAUCAACAGUGGAGACUGAUGAAAUAGAGUGUUUCAAAAACAAUUCUUUGUAAGGAAACUCAGUUUCAUUAAAAACAACAUGUCGAGCAACAAACACUUUACCAGAGGAAUUUAAACAUUUAUAACCCUUGUGAAGGGGACUGUAACCAAUGAAAAUGCAUUUUUGAGUGUGAAAGUCAAGUUUAUGCUGGUUAUAAGGUCUAAGGAAUGGAAAACAGGAGCAACCAAAAACUCUGGGAAACUGGUAGUCAGGUAGUUGAUUAUGUAACUUCUGAAAUGGAGAUAGAUUGUUUAGAACUGAGGUGGGCAUCCUGUUAAUGAGGAAAGAGGCAGUGUGAAAGGCUUCCCACCAAAAGGAAAGAGGCAAUUGGGAUUGAGCUAGAAGUGUUAAACCUGUUUCAACUAUGUGCCUGUGUUUCCUCUCAACAACACCAUUUUGAUGGUGUGUGUAUGGACAGUUAUACCUAAAGCAUAUACCCUCUUGCUGAAGAAAGGUUUUAAAGGCUAUGAAUUCACCACCCAUAUCUGACUAUAGUGUUUUGAUAGACAAGGAAAACUGUUUUUCAACAAGAAGUUUGAAGUGUUUGAAGGUUUCUAAUGCUUCUGAUUUUGUUGUGAGAGGAAAGAUCCAAGAAUAUCGUGUGAAAUCAUCCACAAAGGAGAUAUAAUAUCUGUAUCCAUUCAUAGAAUAUUCAGGAGCUGGUCCCCAUAAGUCUGUAUAUAGAAGCUCAAGUGGUGCUUUUGUUUUAAUGGUAGUAACAGAAAAAUGAAGCUGAUGCAUUUUGCCAUAUUGACAGGCAUCACAAAAACUAAUGAAUUGAUUUGAAAAACAAUGCGUAGAAAGACUCUUAAUAAUUGUUUGCAAAGCAUGUUUAUUAGGAUGACCAUAUCGAUUAUGAAGUAACUGAACUGACAUCUUUCCAGUCUAGAAGAAUUUCCAGAAACAGAAUAUGCAAAAGAUUCAGUAGUAUUUACAUUGUGCAACUUUGACACAUGAUUAUUUGACUCUGGUAGAGAGUUUACAACUUUAUUAUCAACACACAAAGACAGCAUGGAACUUGGUUUAAAAGAAUUUGGAUUGCAAUCUGCAGAAUGGGGAGAGAACACAUCAAGUGACAGUAGCUUGUAAAGACCAUCUUCAACAAUCCCCUGUGCCAGCAAAAUUCCCUUCUUCUUGUCCUUAAUAAAACACAUGGUAGAAUAAAAUUCAAUGAUUAUGUUGUUAUCCAAAAGAAGUUUAGAUAUACUGAUGAGAUUUUUGGUUAUUUUGGGAACACACAAAGUAUUGGUUAAGGAUAAACAGGUGCCAAAAGAAGUAGAAAGAUAAGUGCAGCCAAUAUGUGUGAUAGUGAGACCUUGACCAUUACCAACAAACAACAAUUGAGUGCCAUUAUAAGGGUUACCUUCAACCAAAUUUUGCACAUUGUUGGUGAGAUGAUGAGUGGCUCCACUGUCCAGAUACCACCCCUGAUCAGCAACUCCUUCUGAAGUAGCCAUAUAAGCUGUUCUUGGCCCUUGAUUUGGCAUUGGAGAAUUUGGAAUAAAGUUUCUGUUAAAUCUGUUUCUGCAUCUGCAGCUGAGUGGUUUGGUUUGAAACAUAUUUGGCAGGUGAUAUUUCCUCUGCCACCUCCUCUACCAAAACCACCAGAGGAUGCUGGAUUUCUACCAUUAAAGCCACCAUUUCCAAUAAAUCCACCAGUAUUACCAUUAAAUCCACCAGAGUUUGAGCCUCUACCUUGAUUUCCAAACCAGCCUCUCCCUGAAUUUUGAUCCAUGAAGCCACCUCUGCCAGAUCCAUAACCUCCUUUGUUGUUGAAAUUACCAUUUCUAUUUCUAUUUACAAAAUUUCCAUUCCAAUUGCCCUGAUUAUUAUUAUUCCAAUUAGCAUUGUUUCCUGACUUCUUUUGAUUAUUGCCAGUAUUAGCCACAUUAGCACUAAAAUUCAACUUAGUUUCCUUAGCUACACCAGAAUGAUUACUCUCAAGCCUAGCUUCAUGAGAUAGCAGCAUAGAAUAAGCCUCAUUGAUACUUAUUUUAAGAGCAUUUGCUUCAAUAUAAACCACAACAGGGUAAUAAGACUGUCCUAGACCUGAGAUCAAAUGUGUAAUGAAGUCAAGAGAAGAAACUGAACUUCCAGCCAUUGCUAAUUCAUCAGUUACUGACCUCAGUUUACAAAAAUAUUCAGUAAUGGACAUGGAUCCUUUCUUAAGAUUGUUUAACAACAUCUUUAAAUGCACUUUCUUUGCUGCUGUUUCAAAUCCAAAUUGUUCCUCUAGACUUAUCCAAAGCUCUCGAGAGGUUUUAGAAUUUACCACAAUGCUUAAGAUCUCCACAGUGAUUGAAGACAGAAGCCAGCUCAAGAUCAUCUGAUCUUGCCUUUUCCAAGUGAUGCAAGCAGGAUUCUCUGAGACAACCACUGCAUCUGUGCUUGUUGAUUCUCCAGUCAGCAGCUGGUUUGGACAGGUACGUGAUCCAUCAAGAAAACCUUCCAGAUCAUUUGCUCGAAUGGCUGAAAGGAUCUGAGAUUUCCAUAUGGUGUAAUUCGAUCUGUCAAGCUUGAUUGGUGUGGUGAAAGUAAAUGUUGAGAUUGCGGAAGAGACAUUUGUACUAAGACUUGAAGAGGCCAUGAUCAUGAAGUGAUUCAAGGCUCUGAUACCAAAUUAGAAUUAGAUCUAUUGAUUUGGAAUGUUUGUUUACAGAGAAAAUCUGAGCAAGAGAGAAAGAAAAUUUAUUCUUGUUAUUAUUAACAGAAUGGGAUCACCAGCUUAUAUAUGUUGCUUGCUGGAAUCUCUUUUACACACUCAUCACUUUCACGUGUAUUUCACCUUUUUAGAGAAGCUAAAUAACAAACUAAACAAACUAACGACUACUUUGCUGACUGGACUGCCACGUCACCAUAACUGAAUUAACUAAACUAAUGCUGUUAACACAUAUUCUUAUCACGGAAGCUAUUGUUUUUGAGAUCUAACACUCUGAGAAAACUUAAAUUACCAAUGUGAGGCGACAGAGACCCCUGCAAGAGUAAAGAUGGAAGAAGUAAUGCAGUCACCCUUUGGUGCCGUCGACUGCAAGUGACACCUUUCCAUUGACAAAAGUGCCUGGAAUAGUUCCAUGAACUCAAAACCUCAAGAGGGUCAUGAGUAACUUUGGCCUUGAAUUCAAGCAAUGCAAGUUGAUCAGUUUCAUUUCUUUUGAGCAUAUAAUCGGUUGACUGCAAGCUGAAGCUGAAGCAACAGAAAAUAAAGAAACAAAUGCUUGCAAUGAUUGAACUCGUCAUGUUUACAAAAUCCAUUUAACUGCCGAAAGGAAAUUAAAAUGAUAAAACUUUUAUAGAGGUCGGUAAGAUAAACUAUGUUUGUAUAUUUUUUGCAAUGAUUUAUGGACUCUGUCUUUGAUGCUCAAAUGUGAACCGGCUGGCACCGUGACAGUGAAACUAAAACUUUUUGUUUUUCUAAUAAUAUUAAUUAUCAUAUUUAUUACUAUUGUUAGAAUAAUAUAUUGCAGCUUUAAAGAAAGACUCACCAUACUCCUUUUUGAGUCUCUGUCAGUUUCCAGCAUUUGGUCAUUUUUUAUUUCACCGCUUAAUCCACAGUAAAAUAUAAAACAAUUUAAUCAACAAUAUUGAAAAGAAAAAAAGUAGGACAAGAGAAAGGUAAAUACUGUUAAAUGAGUUGGGAAACGUUCAAAGCACGAAGGGAAUUAGAAAAGAAAAAAAGUAGGAUAAGAAAGUUAAGUAUGAUGGAUGGAGUUUCACAUUACUGUUAAAUGACUUGGGAAAGGUUUAAAGCACGACAGGAAUCAACGUUUCACAACGCUUUUUAGAUUUUUUUCUAAAAGGAAAAAGAUAUUCUCACAAAAGUAAGUACAAAAUUUCACACAAAACGGUGCAUUUAAAUAAAGUAAAAUUGCAAAAAUACUCAAAAUAUAUAAGAUUGAUUAUUUACACCCUCUUUGUUUAUCUUGGGUGAACUAUUUCUGGAAAAUGGGCAGAGCCUAGUUUGGUUCAAAAUUUGAAAUAACAAAAGGUAUAUUGGUGGAAAACCAGCGACAUAUUUUCUAAUGGUUAACCUAAAUGGGAAUUAUAUCGGUUUGUACUGUCAAUAUAACAAACAACUAACUAAAUUAUUUAGAAGUCAUGAAUAAAAAUGGAUAGAACAAGAAGUAUAUUGCUAUUCGAUGCAAGAAGUUGGAUUAUUAAACCAUAAUAAAAUAAUAUAACUACACAUGUGCAAUAUUAUUCACUAGAAAGAUUUAAUUUAGAUAUUAAACAGUUAGUGCAACUGUAUCGAUCUCAUGCUCAUUAAUUUAGAGUUUGAGAACUCAUAAUAAAAGAAAAUAGAAAUUUAAACAUAGAUCCUAUCCUAUUAAGUAGAAUCAGAAAAGAAGUUUACAGAAAUAAUUUUUCAUGGAAAUAAUGAAAUAUUAAUCCUGUUGAUGGAUAUAUUGGUGAAUACAUAAUAGAACAUUAUAAUAGAUUUUUAUCUAUCAAGCAAAGGGAAGAAUAUAAUUGGAAUAACAAAAGAAUUAGAAGUAAAUAGUAAUAUGCUAAUAGGAUAUAGAGGAUUAAUAUUAAUUAUCAUAUUUGUGUGUGUAUGUAUAUAUAUAUAUUUUAAAUGAUUUAGGGACUCUGUACUUGAUGCUGAAAUGUGAACCGGCUGGCACCGGGACAGUGAAACUAGUACUUUUUUUCCCUUAAAGCACCACAGGAAUCAACGUUUCACAAAGCUUUUUUUCCCUUUCUGAAAUAUUCGGUGCAGUCUCCCCCAGAUUUUGCUAGUGCAACCAAGAGACGUCAUGCCGUUAUCAAUUAUAAACUGUAAAUGACAUGUUGUUUUUACAAGACAUAUUAUGCGUCGAUACAUAUCUAUGAAUGGGUUCAAGAAAUUCCGAAGGUUGCGAAACAAUAAGAUUCAUUUAAUUAUGUGGGUUUGGCCACCAAUUUAGCAUUAGGAACUUAUUGUUUAGGAAGCUAUGGUGGGUUUCGUAGUGGGACUUAUCCUGUUUAAUGCAUUUGGUGAUUUUAAACCAACAUAUAUAUAAUUCCAUUAUAAAACUCAUCAAACCUUCUAAAAUAACAUGUUGAGAUAGUGUGCUAGAUCCAUAUAAAUAUUCAUUUCCAUUGAUAGUUUAAUGGGCAAAGCCUUUUGAAUUCUCCAUGUUAUCAAGUUAAUUUUUGCUGGAAAAUGCAAUCCGGAUAUGAAUAGAAUUUUUUGUGCAAUCAAAUUUUCUAUGUUGACACAUCCUCUGGAACUUUCCAUAACUUUUAUGGGGAAGCUUUAAUUUCUUAGUUGUUGAUUUCGAAUAAAAAAUAAACUUAACUUUAAAAUUACAAUUGUAAUUAUAAAAUAUUUACUGAAUACAUUAGUGUUAAUACUACAAAUUGUUCCAUUAAAAGUCUCCCAGAAAGGAAGAAGUGACUUAAAAAAUUAAAAGAAUGCAGGAGCUGAAGUUGGCAAUUUUGUAAAUUGCAAUGGCAAUUGUGGCCUAGUAAAAUCCCUCAAUAAGUCACAGCACUAGCAAUUUCGUAAUAUACAUUAGUGGCAAUUUUGUAAAAUUGAAGUAGUGAUAGUUUUGCAAAUAAAAGUAAAAACUUUUUCCCUAAAUUCGGCUGAGCUAAAAGCCAGCUUAGCCCACACUCUCCUUCGCCACUGGUUGACGAGCUCUUCCUUCAAUUUUUGAACUUGAAGUGAUGCCCCAUCGAUCAAAUAUUUAAGCAGAAUGAUGACGGAGUUACAAACAAUCAAAUAUGAUCCUAAUGAUUCUUUUUAGAGAGUCACCUGUACGUUGACGUGUUUAAUUGAUGUUUAUUUAACCAGAAAUUGAAGUUUGAUCCUGAUUAAUUAGAUGAGAACACACAUUCAUGAGUAAUUACUUAAAAUUAAAUUAAUCAAAAAUAGUAUAAAUACAGGAGAAAAUCGACCAUAUGCGUGCAGACACCACAAUCGAAUUAUAUAUAUCACCGCCGCACAUAAAUCUUAUUCCAAUGAUAUAUGAUUAAUUAAUUAAUUUUUUUAAUAACAAUUAAAUUGUAAUGUCAAUUGUCCACAUAAGAUUUUUUUUUUUGUUGAUGAAAGUUAGCAAUUUUUUUUCCAUUUUUUUAAAUAAUAGUUGUUAAUACAAAUCAAAAAGAUAUUAGCACUUGAGAUCAGGGUCUACUUGAGUUAGAAUUUUUUAUUAGAAAAGUUAUUAGCCAGCGAUGAAAAAUAAAGAAGUAACACAAGAUAAAGAGUAAAAUGAGAGAGUAUGUAUUAUAAAAAAUUUUUAUCCAUUUCAAGUGUGUACCAAACAAAGAGAUGAACUCUCCUUUCAUAAUUACAUAAUUAUUACAUGAAAUUAAUGAAAAUAUUAUGGAUUAUAAUUCCUUGCGAGAUAGUGGGAGUUAUAGAAAAGUCAAGAGUUGUUAGUGGAAGAUAAGAGAGAGAGUAAAAGAUAUAUGUUAUGAAGGUUUACAUUUAUUUUAAUAAAUUCAUAGUAUUUUUUUCCUUAAAUAAUAGGGUGUGGAGAACAAUUGGAAGGACUUUACGUGUGUGUGUAUAUAUUGACAUAGAAAUUGCAGGACGCGUAGUUUAGCGUUUCAAAUAGGUGCUCUCAGUUGGAAUUAUAUAUAGAACAUUAUUUAUGGCAAACAGGUGCUCUCAGGUGCUCUCAGUUUACGGCUUUUUACGGCAAACAGGUGCUCUCAGUUUUCAAAAUCUCGAGCGCGCGGGUUAUUUUUCAUUACCUUUAUCGCCGAAAGGCUGUUUUAACCAACUAAGAACUAAAAGCUAAAACCCAAAACCCCCCUCUUGUUCGUUUCCAGGGACUUUACCUUGAUGGCCGAAAAGCAACUGGAAAUCCUCCGCGGGUACGAGCUGCGGCUCUUGCCCUGCACCCUCGCUCCCCCACCGUCGGACCUUCGCAUUCAAUCGCAACCGUUGAACGAAGAAAGCCAAUGCUCUCUCCUUCCACUCCACGAGCACAUCAACAGCCUCAUCAACUCCAUCGAGUCCGGCCACUAUCUCCAGGCUCUGUCCUCCGAC
rnacentral:lncRNA from 1 species